CCUUUUAGGAACUGGAUUUGUUGGGCCUAUAAAUAGACUCAUACCCUACUCACUUAUACCUCAUCCAACGCUUAUUCCUCAUCCAAUCGGCAGAAAGGUAUAGAAAACUUUUCUUCUCCCUUUCUCUUUUUUUUUUUUUCUUUUUUUUUUGUGUGUGUGUUUUUUUUUUAUUCUGUUUUGUUUUUUUUUUUUUUUUUUUUGUUUUUUUUUUUGUUGUUUUGUUUUUUUUUUUUUUUUUUUUUUUUUUUUUUUGCAGGAAUGACUUUGUCGAGCUUCUUCUAGGGACGAUCGGGCUUUUGCCGUCAGAUCUAUCGCCCUAGUUGGAGAGAUCGACUCUGUCAUCGUCGGGCUUCGAUCUUCGUUUGCAGAAAUGACUUUGUUGAGCUUCUUCUAGGGACGAUCGGGCUUUUGCCGUCAGAUCUAUUGCCCUAGUUGGAGAGAUCGACUCUGUCAUCGUCGGGCUUCAAUUUUCGUUUGCAGAAAUGACUUUGUUGAGCUUCUUCUAGGGACGAUCGGGCUUUUGCCGUCAGAUCUAUUGCCCUAGUUGGAGAGAUCGACUCUGUCAUCGUCGGGCUUCAAUUUUCGUUUGCAGAAAUGACUUUGUUGAGCUUCUUCUAGGGACGAUCGGGCUUUUGCCGUCAGAUCUAUCGCCCUAGUUGGAGAGAUCGACUCUGUCAUCGUCGGGCUUCAAUCUUCGUUUGCAGAAAUGACUUUGUUGAGCUUCUUCUAGGGACGAUCGGGCUUUUGCCGUCAGAUCUAUCGCCCUAGUAGGAGAGAUCGACUCUGUCAUCGUCGGGCUUCGAUCUUCGUUUGCAGAAAUGACUUUGUUGAGCUUCUUCUAGGGACGAUCGGGCUUUUGCCGUCAGAUCUAUCGCCCUAGUAGGAGAGAUCGACUCUGUCAUCGUCGGGCUUCAAUCUUCGUUUGCAUAAAUGACUUUGUUGAGCUUCUUCUAGGGACGAUCGGGCUUUUGCCGUCAGAUCUAUCGCCCUAGUAGGAGAGAUCGACUCUGUCAUCGUCGGGCUUCGAUCUUCGUUAUCACCAAUUGAGCUUCUUCGUUUUUUUUUUUUUUUUCUUCUUCUUCUUAUUCUUCUUUCUUUUUGUUUUUUCUUCUUUUGCUUCUUUCUUUUUGUUUUCUUCUUCUUCUUCUUUCUUUUGUUUUUUUUUCUUUUUCUUCUUUCUUUUUGCUUUUUUUUUUUUUUUUUUUUUCCUUCUUUCUUCUUCAUCAUUUUCUUCUUUCUUCUUCUUGCUUCUCCCUUUUUUUUUUUUCUUUCUUUCUUGGUUGUGGUACUAGGGAGAAGAUGAAGAUGAAUCAAUCUAGCUUGCGACACCUUAGAGCUGAUGAAAAUGAAUUCCAUCGGCCGGGUUGUGACACCUGUUAGAUGAUAAAGAUGAAUACUCUCAGCUACGACAUAUAGGAGAAGAUGAAGAUGAAUCCUCUCGGCUAUGACAUAUGGGAGGAGAUGAAGAUGAAUUCUCUUCAGUUGCAGCACUUGGAAGAAGAUGAAGAUGAAUCCUCUCAGCUAUGACAUAUGAGAGAAGAUGAAGAUGAAUCCUCUCGGCUAUGACAUAUGAAAGGAGAUGAAUCCUCUCGACUAUGACAUAUGGGAGGAGAUGAAGAUGAAUCCUAUUCAAUUGCAGCACCUGGGAGAAGAUGAAGAUAAAUCCUCUCGGCUAUGACAUAUGGGAGAAGAUGAAGAUGAAUCCUCUCGGCUAUGACAUAUGAGAGAAGAUGAAUCAUUUUCGAUUGCAGCACCUGGGAGAAGAUGAAGAUGAAUCUUCUCAGCUAUGACAUAUAAGAGAAGAUGAAGAUGAAUCAUCUUUGAUUGUAGCACCUAGAAGAAGAUGAAGGUGAAUCCUUCCGGCUACGACAUAUGAAAGAAGAUGAAGAUGAAUUCUCUUUGGUUGCAACUCCUAAAAGAAGAUGAAAAUGAAUCUUCUUUGGUUGCGACACCUGAAAGAAGAUGAAGGUGAAUCUUCUCGGUUGCGACUCUUAGGAGAAGAUGAAGAUGAAUCUUCUCAGUUGCAAUUCCAAUGAGAAGAUGAAGAUGAAUCCUCUCGGUUGUAGCACCUAGAAGAAGAUGAAGGUGAAUCCUUCCGGCUACGUCAUAUGAAAGAAGAUGAAGAUGAAUCCUCUUUGGUUGCAGCACCUGGAAGAAGAUAAAGAUGAAUCUUCUUUGGUUGCGACACCUGAAAGAAGAUGAAGGUGAAUCUUCUCAGUUGCAAUUCUUAGGAGAAGAUGAAGAUGAAUCCUCUCGGUUGUUACACCUGAGAGAAGAUGAAAAUGAAUCUUCUUGAUUGCGACUCCUAGGUGAAGAUGAAGAUGAAUCAUCUCGGUUGUAACACAUGGAGGAAGACAAAGAUGAAUCCUCUCACUUGCGACACCUUAGAGCAGAUGAAGAUGAAUCAUCUUCGAUUGCAAAACUUAGAAGAAGAUGAAGAUGAAUCCUCUUCGGUUGCAAUAAGCUGAAGAUGAAGCAGAGGUUAAAGCUUUAGCAUUGCAUGCAUCUUCUUCAAGAGGCAGAAACGAUGUUACACUGUCGUUUUCAUCUUGGAGAGGCGAAGGCAGAGCUACCCGAUCGUCGUCCUAUCAAAGUUGUACCAUCGUUAUCCUCUCAAAGAGCUGGAGCUACAGCAUCGAUGAAGCCUUCAAACUUGAAUAUAAGGAAUCAUCAAUGAAACUUUUAUGCUUGAAUUUGAGGGAUCAUUAAUGAUGCCUUUGAGCUUGAUUUUAAGAUUCUUUUUUUUUCUUUUUACAUGCACUCAACUUGUACAUAGUCUUUGCACGGAGUUUGUACAUCUUCAAUUUAUUUCAUCUCAUUGUUACUAAAGAUGAACAUCUUGAAUUUAGGGAUUUGCCCCCAAUUUGUUAUGAUUCCUUAGUAGAGAUGAACACCCUUUGAAGAAAAGAAUUAACUCACGACGUAGUUCAAGGUUUUUUUUUUUUUUAUAAUGGUGGACUGAACUUAAAGUUUUCUUUAAGUUGCCUACGUACCCUUUAUAAUGUAGGGAUCAAGUCAUAACGUAGUUCAACUUUUUUUUUUGCUGGACUGGGCUUAAGGUUUUCCUUAAGCUGCCUACGUACCCUUUAUAACAUAGGGAUCAAGUCAUAACGUAGUUCAAUUUUUUUUUUGCUGGACUGGGCUUAAGGUUUUCCUUAAGCUGCCUACGUACCCUUUAUAACAUAGGGAUCAAGUCAUAACGUAGUUCAAUUUUUUUUUUUUUUUUUUUUUUUUUUACCUAACAAAAUUAAGCAUAAAAUUUCUUAAGAAAUUUACCAUUGAUUGGGCCAAUUCGUAGUCCGUCUUGAUCAACGAUCUUGUAUGCGCCAUUUGUAUAAACUUCUUUAACAAUGUAAGGUCCAUCCCAUUUAGGUGUGAACUUAUUUCCUGUAUGCCUUGUUGUGAUGAUCGGUCUCCUUACGGCAAGUACUAGAUCACCGACUUGAAAGGAGCGAGGUUUAACGUGUUUAUCAAAAGCUUUGGACAUUCUCGCUUGAUAACAUUCCAAUGCUUGCUGAGCCUCUAAUCGCUUUUCGUCAAGUGCUUCUAAUUCUUGAAGACGUAACUUCACUUUAUCUUCGGUAGUCAAUCCCUCUUGUACUGCCAUUCUUAGUGACGGAAUUUCCCUUUCGAGAGGAAGGACAGCCUCCACACCGUAAACAAGCGAAUAUGGUGUAACCCCUGUAGGGGUGCGAUGAGUCGUCCGAUAAGCCCAUAAUGCCUCGCCGAUCUUUUCUUGCCAAUCCCUCUUUGACUUGGAGACAAUUUUCUUUAAAAGAUUGCACAAUGUUUUGUUGAAUGCUUCUGCUAGUCCAUUCGCAGCUGCGUUGUACAUGGAUGACUUAUAUUGCUUGAAUUUGAAUUUUUCACAUAACUUGUCCAUCAUACUAUUGGAGAAUUGCUUUCCAUUAUCCGUCACGAUUCGAUGUGAAAUACCGUAUCGAUAGAUGAUGUGUGUUCGAAUAAAGUCUGCCACGUUCUCCUUCUUGGCUUCUCUCAAUGAAAUGGCCUCAGCCCACCUUGAAAAAUAGUCGUUGCUGCUAGGAUAUAAGAAUGUCCUGCUGAUGAUUUUGGUGUAAUGGGGCCAACCAGAUCGAGUCCCCAAGCCUCAAAAGGCCAAGAAGCCACAGUUGGAUGAAGAGGUUCUGGAGGUUGGUGUAUGAAGUUUGCAUGGUAUUGACAAGGCUCACACUUCUUCACAUAGUCUAUUGAAUCUUGGAUCAUCUUAGGCCAGUAGUAGCCCAUUCUUCUUAGCUGGAAUUGAAGCUUUGGUCCCGAUUGAUGUGCUCCACAAACACCUGCAUGUACUUCCUUUAGAGCUUUUACCGAAUCUUCCUUUCCGAGACAUCGAAGGAAGAGCCCUUCAAGAGAACGGCGAUAUAAAGUUCCCUUGUAAUAAAUGAAGUGUGCUGCCCUUCUUCGUAUCUCAAUUUUAUGACGAGAAUCCUUUGGAAGCUUUCCAUGUUCAAGAUACUCUAUGAUGGGUUGACGCCAAUCUUCUUCAUCAAUCAAAUAGGAUGUUGCCAUGUUCACUUCCUGACAUUCAGGCCUAACUGGGGGUAAUCCAUCGUUGACAAAGUGGUAUGUUCAGAGUUACAUCAUCUGGCAUGGUCAAGGCCGUGGCUAAAUUUGCCAAUGCAUCCGCUCUCUUAUUUUCUACUCUAGGGACAUGUUCUAACAUCACGUUAUCAAACUUUUCCAUCAAUUGUCGAGCAUAAGCAAAAUAUGGCUUCAAGUCUUCAUGUUUCACGUCAUAUUGAAGCGAGAGUUGAUUGAUUAUCAAUUUUGAAUCACCAUAGACUUCUAUGAAUGACACUCCGAUUUUUAAUGCUAUUUGAAGGCCAAUUAUCAAAGCCUGAUAUUCAGCCACAUUGUUUGAACACAAUUCGGAAAGUGCAAAGCUAUAAGGCAACAUAUGCUUCUCAGGAGAAAUGAGGACAAUGCUUGCCCCCGCACCACUUCUUCGAGCUGCACCAUCGAAGUACAUAGUCCAAGGUUCCAUAACUUCUGUGAAGAAAACCUCAUCGUCUGGUAGGUCAUCACAUAACUUCCAAUCCGAAGGAAUUGGGUGGUCUGCUAAAAAGUCUGCUAGCGCUUGUCCUUUUAUCGCCUUUUGGGGAAUAUAGACAAUGUCAUAUUGUUGGAGUAGAACCGCUCAUUUGGCUAAGCGUCCAGAGAUGAUUGGCCUGGAUAGAACAUACUUUAUAGGGUCUGCUUUUGCCACUAGAUGAACCGUGAAGGCCUGCAUAUAAUGCCUCAACUUAUCAAUGGCAAAGAAAAGUGCAAGACACAUCUUUUCGAUAGGAGAAUAGUUAACUUCAGCCCCAAUUAAUGUUCUGCUUAGAUAGUAGAGAGAACGCUCUUUUCCCUUUACCUCUUCUUGUGCCAGUAAUGCUCCUAAGGACCUUUCUUGUGCAGCAAUGUACAAUAUUAGUGGUUUGUCAGGUACUGGAGCUCCCAGCACUGGGGGAGUAAGCAAGUAUUUCUUUAUGCUAUCAAAAGCGUUCUGACAAGCUUCAUCCCACACAAAAUUUUCUCCUUUUCUCAUCAACUUUUGAAAAGGUUGACACCGACCGGCCAAGUUAGAGAUGAACCUUCGGAUGUAAGCCAGUCGUCCUUGGAGACUUCUUAGGUCAUGCAAACUUUUAAGUCUUGACAUCUUCUGAAUGGCAUCAAUCUUGGACUGGUCUAUUUCGAUCCCUCGAUGCCUUACAAUGAAGCCAAGAAAUUUUCCUGAAGUUACACCAAACACACACUUGAGAGGGUUCAUCCUUAGCUGAUAUUUUCGCAAGCGAUCAAACACGACUUUUAGAUCCUUCAAAUGGUCUUGUCGUCUCUUUGUUUUGACUACAAGAUCAUCAACAUAACAUUCAACAUACCUGUGCAACAUAUCAUCAAACACUUUCUGCAUGGCACGUUGAUAAGUAGCACCGGCAUUUUUCAAUCCAAAGGGCAUCACCUUGUAACAGUAUAUUCCCUUUGGAGUUCUGAAAGCUGUCAUUUCUUCAUCUGAGAGGGCCAUCCGUAUUUGAUUAUAUCCAGACGACCCAUCCAUAAACGACAACGCCUCGUGUCCAGUAGUUGCAUCAACCAUGAUUUCGGUGAUGGGCAAGGGAAAAUCAUCUUUAGGGCAUGCAUUAUUCAGAUCGCGAAAGUCUACACAAACGCGAAGUUGUCCAUUUUUUUUUCUAACAGGGACAAUGUUUGCUAUCCACGUUGGAUAUUUGACCUCGCGAAUGAAUCCUGCUUCGAUCAACUUGUUGACUUCCACCUCGAUUUGAGGGAUAAGCUCUGGUCAAAAACGUCGUUGUGCUUGUUUAAUCGGUCGAUAUCCAGGUUUAAUUGCAAGAUGAUGGACUGCUACUUUUGGGUCAAGUCCUGGCAUCUCCUUGUACGACCACGCAAAGAUGUCCCUGUAUUCGGUGAGCAAACUCAUAUAUUUAUCCACCUCUUCGUUAGAGAGGGACGCACUAAUGAAAGUCGGACGUGGUUCCUCUAUUGUACCAAGGUUCACCUCUUUUAGCUCGUCUACAGUAGAUUGGCCACCAUCCUCUAAACUUUGUGGGACAUUUUCUGCAUCUUCUUCAUGAGUUCCAGUCUCCGAUUCCUCAAUAAUGGUGAUGUGAUGACAUGAAGUUUCACAUUCCCCUUGUUCCGACCCUUCUUUUUCAGGAUUCGUUAGUAUAACAUCAUGUCUUUUUACCUUUAACGAACCUUGACUUGUAUUGAGAGUAACAAAAGUUUUUCUUUUCAUGCGAGAAGGAACGUUGCUAUGAAUUUCUCCAUUUUCCUUUGUCUCGCAAGGAAACUUCUUACUACGAUAAUUAUCGACAUCUGUAUGCUUAAUUCGACGCCAAACUUUCACACGAGACAUUGGUUCCUUCUUCUUUGUAUCUAUGUUGGAAUCAAUGUUGUCGUGUGAUCCUUUAUCCCCGAGAUGAUUAAAAAUCGGAGCACGAGGUGCUUGUACAUUUUUCUUUUUAGACACACCUAGCCUUUCAAAGGCUGAUGGUCUUGUAGUUGUCAAGGCAUGGCAUGUGCUUUCUUCCUUUAUGGGAGUCGUAGUUAGCCUUCGAAAGACCGAAUGUCUCUCAAGGUUUGGUACUGACUGGAGCCUUUCUCUUUCUGCCUCUGUCAUGCUUAGCCUUUCAAAUACUACGGGACGUGCAACAGAUGGUCUAAUUCGAUCAAAUACUGAGAUUCUCUGAUUAUCACCUUCUUUUACGUCAGUAUUGUCAUCCUCCUCUAUAGUUAUAUGAUUGAUGUCAACCACUUUUUCCUUCCCCUUUUUAGUUAUACGGAUCGGUUCUGGCGACUUGUAUCCGAGUCCUUUUCUCGACACGGGUAUAGAAUGUCCUUCCCGUAGAAGCUUCUUUUGAGUUGAGGAGAGCUCAGGUCGGUCAUGAAUUUCCAAGCUUUUAAACUCGGUGUGAGCUGUGAAGUCAUAACCUGCUUUCGCCAUCAAUUUGUAAGCCUUGGGGUCGAAUCCGUCUUUCGUUCGCCUUUGGGGCAAGCUUGCUUCCACCAGAUCUACCUUUACCUCUUGCUUCGCUAUCUUAGUUAGUGGUGUAGUGAAGUUUUCUUUUAUGAUUUCGAUGUCCCCAACUUUCAAACCUUUUGGAGACUCCAUGAAUGGUGAUUCGCCUUUCUUGCGCCUUGACAGAGGGACAUAACGCAAAACUGGUGUGUUUGCAGCAUUUUCAUUCUUCAAGAUCAUACCCUUUGUGCUGCGAGUGUAUGUUUCACCCUUUCCAGAGUUAAAGGUUCUCGCACUUUCAUGUGGUUCUGUGGUUGCGAGUGAUUUCAGUUGUGAAUUAUCUUCUCCUUUUGUAAGAGGGGUUUCUGCAGGCAAAACUUCUAAAAUAUUAUUAUUCUUUGAAUAAAACUUUGCAUCUGCGAAGUGAGACUCAGCUUCUGAGAAUGGAUUAGAGUCGGCUUCAACCUUCUUUACACCGUCCUGAUAAAAUUUGAAGCACUGAUGCAGUGUUGAAGUUACUACUCCGUUUCCAUGAAUCCAAGGACGCCCUAGUAACAACUUGUAAGUAGUCCUUGAGUCUAUGACAUGAAACAAUGCACUGGCCUUUAGGUCGCCAAUUAUGAGUUCUAACCGUAUCAUGCCUAUUGCUCUUUGGCUACCUUGGUUAAAACCUUGAAUUACUAGCUUGCUAUUUGAGAGCUCGUCCAUCAAGAUGCCUAAUUGCCACAUAGUCGACUUUGGCAUUAUGUUGACAGCUGAGCCAUUAUCAAUGAGGAUUCGAUCGACUCUCUGUUCUCGAACGUAUCCAGAAACAUACAAAGGUCUAUUAUGAAGUUUAGAUCCCAACAACAAAUUCUCAUCUGAGAAGUCUAUAGACAUACAAUAAGAACCACUCUCAUAUGUCAUAGUCGGAGUACUCGAACUUGAUGCUCUUGAAUUUAGCAAUGCAUCAAUAAGGAUGGUUUUGGUCUCUUGAGGAAGUGAUAAUAGAUCCUCUACAUUAAACCUUGAAAGGUCUUUUGAUACUCCCUCUCCUUCUAGUGAUCUUGGAGGGAUUCUUUCUUCCUCCGUUGUGUUGAUAGCAUGACACGCAACGACUUCUGGGUCUUCAUCCUGAUGAUCACAAAGGAAGCUUUUUGGAAGGAAGUCUGCCAAGGUCACUAAGCGUUGAGGUCGAGAGAAAUUCAUGUCUUCAUUAUGUACGAGCUUAAGCUUAUGAGUCUUCUUCUUUUUCUUAUUCUUUUGAGUCUUAUUUCCUCUUCUAUAGUUUUGGUAAGAGCGAGACUCUCUUUGGGUCGGGAUCGACUGCCUUUUCUUUCGGUGGGUCACCACUAUCCACCCUUCAUCGUCUUCUUCGAUUGGUCUUUUCUCUCCUUGAGGAUCCUCGUAUGAGAUUUCCUGAAAGAAUUGGACAACUAUAGGCUCAAAGGUCCCGAACUGGACCAAGCUUUUCCUUUGCUCAAAAAUCAAUCUCGACGAAGAAGCCUCAGACAUUAUCGUCACUUCAGCGUGGUUUGUUUGAGCUACUUCCUCCAAAUCUAGCUCAAUCCUUUUCUCACGAGCCAACCUUAGAAUUAGCUCCUUCAGCACGAAGCAUUUCUCUACUGGAUGACUGAUGACCCGAUGAUACUUGCAGUAAUUGGAUCAUCUACCUUUCCUGCUUGCUCAGGUCGUUUACAUUCUGGCAGCUGGAUCAGCUGCUUCUCUAGUAGUUGCUCUAGCAUGUCAGCGAUAUCUGAAUCAGGAAAUGGGUAAACUUUUUCCUGUCUUUCUUUUAAAGUCAGACGUCGCCUUUCGCUUCCAUCAUCCUUCUUUUCAACCCUCGCUUCCUUUCCUUUGGAGAAUUUCAGCGGGGUUGUGUUUACGACCAUAGAUUCUUUCGCGGUGCUUUUCACUAUCUUUUCAGCACCUUUCAUCUCUUUCUUAUCUUUCUUUACUUCAGGAACAAGAAAAUCUUUAGUUCCUCUAGUGGCGAUGCUCAACUCCAUAUCAUGAGCUCGAGUUGCCAGUUCUUCAAAUGUGCGGGGCUUUAUUCCCUGCAAAAUGUAGAGGAGUCCCCAGUGCAUGCCUUGGGUGCACAUUUCUACAGCCGACAGUUCGGUGAGCCGAUCUUUACAGUCAAGACUUAGAGCUCUCCAUCUAUUGAUGUAGUCGAUGACUGGUUCUCCCUUUCUUUGUUUCGUAUUUGUAAGCUCCAUCAUGCUUACAGUACGCCUGGUGCUGUAGAAGCGAUUGAGAAACUCCUUUUCUAGUUGUUCCCAACUCUCAAUGCUUUCUGGCUCCAGAUCAGUAUACCAUUCAAAAGCAUUUCCUUUCAAGCUUCGAACAAAUUGUCUGACUAGUUGAUCUCCUCUUGAUCCUGCAUUCUCACAUGUUUCGACGAAGUGAGCAACGUGCUGUUUUGGAUUGCCCUUUCCGUCAAACUGCUGGAAUUUUGGAGGCUGAUAUCCAAGCGGCAUUCUCAAGUUGUCGAUUCUUUUGGUGUAUGGUUUAGAGUACAUGAAAGAAGUCUGAGAUGGGCCUCCAUAUUGUGCUCUGAUGGAGCUUGUGAUCAUAUCUUGUAAUUGUUGAACCGAGAGAGAAGCCACAGAAGUUGAUUGUUGUUGUGGCUGAUUUUCUUGUACCACGUUCUUCCCUUUGUCAUCAACUUUAACGACAGGAGUUUGACUCGAUUCAGCAGUUUCACGAGUCUGCAUCUGCUCCUUUAAAGCUGCAAUUUCGUGGUCUCGUUCAUCAACAACCUUCAUCAGGAGAUUAAUUUUUCUCUCCAUCUCCGCCAUGGCAGUCUCGACUGCUACAUCAGCCAUCAUGACGGACAUCACAUCUGGGUGUGCUUCUUUCAGUGACCUGCUAGAGGCAGAAUCAUAAUCAUUAUAUAGAGGAUUUUCCUUGAUGACAAUUCCAGCUUUAGGAGAUUCCAUCAAUUGCUUCAGGAUGCUCUGCGCGAUAGCGGAACCUUGGUCUUGCCCAUGGAUGAUCCCCUUGGAACGACUACGGGUGAUAGGUCCCGUGUAGGUGUCGCUUGCAGCUGAAGAUUUGGAUGCAGCUUUCUUUGAUGCCAUUGGUUUGCUUGUAGAUGUAGAUGAUGAGAGAGAGAUGAGAGGUAGAGAUGGUCCCACUGGCGUGCCAAUUUGUUCGCACGAGAUUUCCGGAGAAAUUUAAUUCGUGGACUUGAACUUGGGUUGAUGUUGUAUUUUUGUUGAUUUGAUGCGAUGCGGUUCAAUCUCUAGAAUUUGAUCCUCUGAUUCUCUCUCAACUGUAUGUCUACGCUUGAUUUGGGGGAAGCGGAGCACGUGAUGUUCUUGAAGUUUGUUGAACGUCUACGCUUGAUUUUGGAGAAGCGGAGCACGUGAUGUUCUUGAAGUUUGUUGAACGUCUACGCUUGAUUUGGAGAAGCGGAGCACGUGAUUUUCUUCAAGUUGGUUGAAUGCUUACGCUUGAUUUGAGGAAGCGGAGCACGUGAUGUUCUUGAAGUUUGUUGAACGUCUACGCUUGAUUUGGAGAAGCGGAGCACGUGAUGUUCUUGAAGUUUGUUGAACGUCUACGCUUGAUUUGGAGAAGCGGAGCACGUGAUGUUCUUGAAGUUUGUUGAACGUCUACGCUUGAUUUGGAGAAGCGGAGCACGUGAUUUUCUUCAAGUUGGUUGAAUGCUUACGCUUGAUUUGAGGAAGCAGAGCACGUGAUGUUCUUGAAGCUUGUUGAACGUCUACGCUUGAUUUGGAGAAGCGGAGCACGUGAUGUUCUUCAAGUUGGUUGAAUGCUUACGCUUGAUUUGAGGAAGCGGAGCACGUGAUGUUCUUGAAGUUGGAGUCUUGGGAGAAAGUUUGUAUCUUCAAAACAGCUUCAAUCUUCGAGGGUGGUCAACUUCAGAAGUUAGGGAGUCUUCUAGCUUUUGGAAGAAUUCUCUUCUAGCUUUUGGAAGAAUUCUCUCUGGAUCUUCUAGAGUCAAAAUUUUCCAACCUCUACAAAUGAGAAGAAUUCCUCUAUUUAUAGAGUUUACUGGUGGGCUUUAUGGGUUUGAAUCUGGUUGGUCCAUGGACCAGACCCAUGGGCUCAACCAUAUGGACUUAGGUUAUAUUUAGUCUUUGGGCUCAAUUAAGCUUUUUUUUUUUUUGGCUUAAUUGAACUUAGUCCAAGUAAAUAAUAUUUAAUUGAACUAAAAUGAUUAACUUAAUCCAACGAUUAAUAUGAAAACAUGUGGCAUUCUUAGAAUGACCAAUUUAUUUAUUUUAACUCUUUAAUUUGGAGCAUGUGUCAAUUUUAAUUAGUCCCAAAUUUAAUUAUUUGUAUUUUUCAUCAUUAACUUAAUAAAUGAUGUGGCAACUUGUGAUUGGUCUCAAAAUUUCUUAUUCAACACCCAUUAAUUUCAUUUGGAUUAUGAUGUAAUUAGACAAGGGCAGAAACGAUCAAUCAUUUCAAAGAAACAACAAAGAAUUAGGUAACGACAGACCCGUAUGGACCAGAAAAGAAAAAUAAAAUAAAAAUCUUUAUUAAUUUUUAUUUUCUCAAGUAAAAUCACAUCAUGAUCAAUGGUAAGUACAUGCAGUAAUAAAAAUUUAAAAACAAAAUUGGUUUUUUUUUUUUUAAAGAAAAAGAAUACGUAACAUUCCAUUUGAUGAAGCACAUCGAACAAGUAACGCCAACCAUUCAAAUUUUAAAUGUAAUCAAGAAGCAUUAUUAUUCUUAUCGUUAAUUUUGAUUCACCACAAAAAUAAAAAAUAAAAACUAAUAAUUAUUUAACGAAAGGAAAAUGGGCAUUCCCGCCGCAAUAACGGCGAUUGGAAAGACAAGUUACCAAAAACUGCAAAACAGUCCCUAUAUUUUAAUGCAUUCACAUUGAAUAGCCCCCUGCUUCAAUCCAAUUUACAAAACUACCUCCACAAAUUUACAGAAUGGGGGAAGUUCAACCGGAUGCACUAUGAUCACUCCCAUCUCUCUCUGUUUUACCAGAACCACAUGAAAUUAUUGGAAUAUAGUUCGUUCAAUUAACUUUCUAUUCAAUAAUCGCAACAAAUAGAAAGAGAAAAUUGAAUAUUAUAUAUAUGGAUUUAUUUGAGAACUCACGGAGUAAUGAUCUCAGGCGGUUUGUCCAGGGGCUCACCGCUGGAACUGGAAGAGAGAGAAGGAUUAGAAGGGAGAGGAAGAGGAGCGUCUGAUAAUCCAGCGGAGUCUUCGAUGAGUGGAGUAGUAGUUGUAGUAGUAGUAGUAGUAGUGGUAGUGGAGGUUGGAGGGAAAUCGGAGUGGAUCCGGUGAGAGUGAGGGAAUCGAGAAGGUUGAGGUUGAAGAGAGUGGAAAUUCCAACCGAAUUCGGUGAGGAUGGUGGAAUCGGAAUCGGGAGGGAAGAAGAAAAGAGCGUCGGAGGGGGAAGUAGAGGAGGAAUCGGCAGUGGAGAAAAGAGGAUGAGGAGGAGGAGGAGGAGGAGGAGAAUCGGCCAUUAAUGGAAGAGGAAGGAAGAAGUGAGAGAGAGAGAGAGAGAGAGAAAGGAGAGGGGAAUUAAUGAAUUAAUUAAAGAGAGAAUUAGGGUUUGAGAAGAGAAAGGGGAAAUGGAGUGUACGUUGAAGAAAGAAAAAGAAGAAGAAGAAGAAAUGGAAAGGACGCGUAAUUUUUUCUUUUUCUUUUUUCUUUUGGUUUUGGGUUUUUGAACUUUUUGAAAGGUUUUGGAAAGCAAUGUCCCGUCAAUAUACAGUUGCGAUUGAGAGAAACGUAGAAGGAGGAAGGGAAAAAUAAAAAGUAAAUUUUAAAUUUAAAAAAUAGAAAGAAAAAAAAAAGCCUCAACUUCUUAAGAAGAACUAAGUCAUGGACGGAGGGUGGCUCCCCACGCGCCCAUCUAUUCAAUUUUACAAAUAUUCAUUAUUACGUUUAUUUUUUGUUUUAAUCCUUAACUCUUAUUUCAACUCAUUUUUCCUUUUUUUCAAAAAAUAAAAAAUAUAUAUUAUGUUUCUUUAUAAAUUUUUUUAAACUAAAUUUAUAAAUACACCUCGUUAAUUGUUGAUGAUUAAACACUACAAAUAAAAUGAUAUUUGAUUUUUAAAAUUUAAUAUUUUGUCUUAUAAUUUUAAUUAAAAAUUUGUGUGCUUAUGUUCGUUGAAAUUGGUGAAAGUAUAUCGUGAUAGAAAAUUUUAGAAGAAAUUACGAAGAUAAAUUACAAACACAUAAAACUAAAAACGAGAUUGUUAAUUAGUGAAUAGAGUCCUAAGAGUUUAUUUCUUUUAUGAAAAUUGGAAUAUCUAGCACGUGUGACAAUGACUCGGAAAGAUAUGACAAUAUUUUUGUUUCAAUUUCAAUCUUGGUCAUUAGUUGUUGUAGCCUUCCAAAUAAUCUCUAACUUUUGUAAUAGUCCAAUAGAACCAAACAUUAUAUUACAGCCUUUACAAGAAUUACAAGUAUUUUUGUAGUUUGGACUCUAUCUCUUAGUAAAACAUUUAAAUUCUCAUCCAAAUUUAAAAAUACAUAAAAAAGAAAAAGUUUAUAAAAACUAUAUUUUUAGUUUUCAAACAUUUAAAUUACUAGAUAGCAAAAUAAACAAAUUGAGGAGUGAAAGCAAAGUUUAAUAAUCUUUAACUUUUAAAAAAUUAAAAUUUAUAAAUCAAACAACAAUUUAUAAUUGAAAAAUAAGUUCAAAUGUUUAAUGUUAAUUGUAACUGAAGGGUUAUGAAUUAAGUUUUGGUUUAAUUUAUGUUUUAAAACGUGGAGAUUAAAAAAAAUUAGAGGAAAAGUUUAGUAUUAAAAUUUGAAAUUUAAGAAGGGAAAGAAAAGGAAUGAUAGUUAGAAAAAUGACCGUAAAAAGGGUAAAAUGAAGGCACUUUCCGACGAAAAGGAAGGCCAUGUUUUUCUGUACCAUCACCUAAAUUCUCCUUUUCUUUUUCUUUUUAUUUCUUUUUUGAUCUCUAAGUUAUUGUUUUUAUUUUAUUUAUUUAUUUUACACAAAACUUCCAAUCUCUCUUCUUCUUUUUCUCUCUCAUUGUAUUUAAUUUUACUGAAUGCAAUGUUUCCCUUUUUUUGUAUUAUCUAUAAACCAAUCAUUUCAUAUCUAAAAUGGAAAAAGAAAUUAAAAACACUUUUCAAAAACAAAUAAUAAUAAUGAAAAUGGAAAGAUCAAAUAAAAUAAAAUAAAAUAAGAAAGCUACUUUUUUAAAAUUUGUAAAAAUAUAAAAGAAAAAACAAAAUGAAAGUUUGUUUGGUUUAACGGACGAUCUUGUUUUUCUGUUUGUGAUUUUUGAGCAAUAAUUUAGGUCAAUUUGUAUGUUUUAAUUAGUUGAAAUUAAUGAGUUUAGGUAUAGAUUUAAUUGAUUAGUAAUAAUACUAAUAAUGAUCUAAUGAAGUAGUAUGAUAGAUAUGCACAUAAAUGAAAAUGGAUCUCGAAAAUCUCGAAAGUAGAAUUUUAGUAUAAGCGCAUAUUCCGAUGGUAGUUCAAACGUACUGUUCAAGGGUUACUUAAUUAAUUAAACUUUCUUAUCAAAGUAGCGAUCUAACUCAUUUGAUAAGAAAAUGCAUCCAAUGUAUAGAAUUGUGCAAACCAACUACGCAAGAUCUUGAUUGAAACCCUAGUCGAUGGCGACAUGAUGGCCCUAUUGGAUGGUGACCAUCCGUGUGAGUGCUAGCACAUCCCUCUUUUGAAUGGCACGAUGUUGACACAUUGCCGCCUCAAAGAAAAAGGCUAUACAUAACCCUAUAAAAGCAUCUAAUGCAACCUUUAUUCACAUGUAUUACACAUACUAGCUAUCGUUAUGAUUGUACUCGUUUGUUAUUCACUCUCCCCAAAUUUCACUUUAAGUUGUUUACUCGCGUUAAUUAGAAUAGCUAUAAUGUUAAAUUUUGUUGAGUUUUGAUAUUUUCAUUUACACGAUCACAUUUACUCCAAUUACGUCUAUUUUAGGGUUAGCUAUACCGUAUCUACAUAAUAUACGUGUGAAGAUUUAUCAUACUUAUUCUCCUAAAACAAGAAACAAGGUAUAUGGAAUAUUAUUAUUAUCAUAAAUAUUGGAGAAGGAAUUUAAGAAUUUAUACCCAAACUCACUUUGUUGUUUUAAUUAUUUUAAUUUUUUUUCCCCUUUCCCUAUUAGAAGCUAUAUUGCAUUUAGUAUCUCUAUUAUUUAUGGGAUUAUUAUAAUUUUAAGUUAAAGUAGCUAUCUCAAUACCACUAUUAGUAAAUAGCUCAUUACUAUUACACAUACAUUUAUAUAUAUUUAUUAUAAUCUAGAAAUGAAAGUGAAAUACUAAUUAUUAUAAAGUUUUAAAGGAUUACAUUUAGCAUGCAUCUAUGUAAUUACAAGUAGUUAUGUAAUGCAUGCACAUAUUGAAUAUAUUCUAAAUUUGUACGUGGAGAUCAAAUUCUAAUUAAUUAUGUUCUUUUAAUUUUAUUUUAACAAUAUGCAGAUGAAAACAUUCGAAUUUAUAAUCUCUCUUGAUCGAUAAUUUUAGAUUUUAUAAUAGUUUAGCGUUUCAAUGUCUGCACGAAUUGAGAUAUAUCCAGGUGCACUCAACUGACCUAUCGUAUAUUUUUCGAAAAAAAUAUAUGUAUAAAUUGAGAGGUUUGAUUCUAAAUGUUUUUAAAUUCAAAAUGAUAAGAAUCUAAUUUGUAACUCGAACCAUAGCUACAUUUUGGCCUAUGUACACACCUUAUUUUAUACGAUAAUUUAUUUUAGAUUUCACUAAUUAUUACGUGAAAGAGAUUAUUUUUGCAAGAUUUUUAUAGCGUUUGUUUAGAAAAACGUAAGAAUCUAAGUUAUUGGAUUGGUUUUUUAUAUUCUUCUAUUUACUUACAUUAGUGAUAUCAAUUUGGAAGGAAUUGGUGUCAGCAACAAAACAUUAUUUGUAUGAUAUAAUUGAUUUUUGGGAGAUUAAUUUCCUUAUAUUCAACACAUUCUUUUGUAGAAGCUUAGCGGAGAAAUUGCAUAGUUAUGUAAUUAAUUAUGAUACAACUAAUUAAAACCUUACGCAAAUUGCACAUAAUCUCUCAAAUAUAUAAGAGAAGAAUAUUAUUGAAUCUUAGCACUUAUGGAAAGGGAUUUGAUCAAUACCAAUUCCAACCCCAAUUUCAUGUCAUCAAUACUAUAAAAUUAUGGACUUUAAUGUCAGUUCAAAACUGACACUAAAAUUUUCUUUAUCAAAAUUUAAACUAUUAUUCCAACCCUAGAAUGAUUUCAUGUCAUCUACUUUUGUUUUUUUUUUUUUUUAAUUAAUUGAUUACAUAAAGAAAAUGCAAAGUAAUGUUUAUUAUUAUUAUUAUUAUUAUUAUCAUUCAUAUAAGCAAUUAAUUAAUUAGACGGUUACCAACUUGAAGUAUUAUUUUGGAAGUAGGUUUUUAAUAAUUUGAUGGGCGUUGGGUGAUGAGGAGUACUAUAGUAUAGUGUGUCCUCCCAAUUUUAAUGCCCUAAACCUAAGCAUAUAUUUAAUUAUGCUAUUAAAAUUUCUAAUCACAAUCCAUUUUAUUUUAUUUUUAUGCUCUAUGGGCCUAUAUAUUUUCAAUGAUAUAUAUAACAAUAUUCACUUUUCGCGGGUCACAUCCUAUCAACCUAUCUUAUGGUUGUGUGAUUGUACGAUAACUCAUAUUCAUUGUAUUAAUUAAAAAGUUUAAUUAACAUAGUUUGAUGUAGUACUUAGGGAUAUGAACGCAUAUGGUUAGACAUAAUAGCUAAUUUAAAUCCUCAACUUUUCUUAUUUUUUAGAUAUAUAUAACAUUUAAAAAAAAAUUAAAGGUCAAGUUUUUUAAUCGUUUUGUUUCUAAAAUGAAACCUAUAUAAACCUCUUUUAUCUUUAGGGUGGAUGAGUUUGGUAAUAGAAUUUAGGCUUUUAAAAUAGUGUAAUUCAAAACUCAGGUUUGGAUUGAACGUUUUGGGUCUGGUUUAUAAUACCCAAACCAAUUUUGUUUUCACAUUUCUGAACUCGCGCCCUCUUUUUCCACCAUUUUCACGUUGCACGAUCUCAUUUUCUUUCCGCCCUCAUUUAUUCCUCAUCCAUUCUAACGCCCAUCAAGUUCUUAGAAUUCUUGAUUAAAUCUCAUGCUUUGUUGUCUAUUUUUUACCAAAAUGGUGACGUGUAAAACUAUUCAUCUUAAUUCACUUAUUACUUAAAAAAAUCCUAAUUCACUUCCAAUUAUUUCUCCUUAGGAUAUAUAUUUUCAAAUGUUUUAAAAAUGGGAAUUUAUACAUUGGAGUUUUACUUGAAUGCCCCUUUUGUAUGCAUAAAUUUAGGAUGACAGGGAAAGGGUAAAAAGGUAAUUUUGAAGCUAUUGAUCUAUAGAUGUGGUUGCAAAUGAAGAGGUUCUCUAUUAUUCCAAAACUCCUUUUUAGGGAAAUUUAAUUUAAGCUAAUUUAGAGGGUCUUGUUUUAGUAAUGAAGAAAGAGUACUAAACCUAACAAGUAGGUUUGGUAUUAUUUUUUUUUUUUGAUAUCCAACUUCCCAUUUAUAAAAUUUUAGAUUACACACAACAUAUAUAUAUAUAUAUACCUAAAAAUAUCAACAACAUAAAGUGAUUAUAAUUUAAAGUACUAUAAAAAGCUUAACAAACAUGACCCUCAUCCGUGUUUUUGCAUCCGCAAUUUAAAACAUAAUCAAUCAAUAAAAAUAGAAUAAUUUUAUAAUUCAUCGUGUUUACCACACUUUAAUUACAAUGCAUGGGAAUCAAACAUUCGUACCUUCAAUCUUCAAUUAUAUAUUUUUUAUCGGAGUGAAAAUGAUAGACCGAACAAAUAUUAAUCAAGUUGAUUAAUCAAAACCGAUUUAACUAAGGGUAGUUGGUUGAAAUUGAUUUAAAGAUUUACUAGAUCAAUCUUAGUAAAUUCAUUAGUGAUUUCGUUAAAAUCCAACUUGUACCAACAAUGCUUACUCCAAAAUUUACUAAAUUUCGUUUACUAUAUUACAAAAAUAUAAUUUCAAAAUAAAAAUAAAUAAAUUAUUACAUUAUCUUAUUUUGUCAAUUAAUUACAAUAUUAGUUCAUUUUGAAUUUUUUUUUUGUCUAUUUUAAAAGUAUUCAUAAUAAAAUUAUGCUUUUUGUCAAAAUUGAAAAUUGAAUUAUUGAGUGAGUGUGUUUUAUAUUCUUAAUUUUAAGUUAAUUAAACAUUAUCCUUUUUUUUUCAAAGUAUAAGAUUUUGAAUAAAUAAAAAUGAAAAAGUGACAUUUUUAAUUCUUAGAACUGAAUAUUAUUUCUUAGAUUCUCUUUUUUUUUAAAUUAACUUUAAAAUUAAAAUAUAAAAAAUAUUUCAUACUACCUAAGCUUAAAAAAGAAAAGAAAAAGAAAAAGAAAAAGAGAAACAAUAUCAAACAAUUAUUAACAAUUAAAACUAACUAUCUAAAAUUAAUCAAAUCAACUAUUAAUCACAAAAUUAUAGUCUCAUACAUGUGAUGAAACAUACAUUCAACCAAUUCAUAUUUGUUCUAAAAUUUAGAGAAUCGUUGAAACGAGAGAUUAUUUGAUUAUUCGAUUCUUCGACGUUUAAAUAAAAAAAUUAAAUCAAAUAUAUCAAAAUAGAUAAAUUGGUUAAUAAUCUAAUACUUGAAAUGUCAAUAUAUAUGAUUUAAAAAAAAGAAGAAGAAGAAGAAGAAAUUGGUGAAAGAAAAUAGAAAGGAAAGGAAGGGAUUGUGAUCACGUGGUUGAUUGAAGGGAAUAUUUAGAAAAAGGAAAGAGAGAAAGGGGAACUAAUCAGAAUCUUUCUUCUUUCUUCUUUUCCUUUUAAUUAAUAAGCUAACUUGAUUCUAAAGCAAAAAUCUCAUUUUCACCCCCACACCCCUAUACUAUUUCCUUUUUACAUUACCAACCCAACCAACCUUUUCUUUCUUUCUUUUUUCUUUUUUCUUUUUCUUCCAUUAUCACCUUUUUAUAUAUAAUUUAUCUUUUUUUUGUACGAAGUAUAUAAAAUUAAAAAAAUAGAUCAUUCUAUAUGCGGAUUAACAUCUUACUCUUACUCCUUUCUCUUCUGUUAAGUACUCUCUAUUCUUUAUCGCUCUUUGCUCAGUAGUGAUGAGAAUCGAGAGCCUUCCGCACACAUGCAUGAUAAGGUGGUUUUGGAAAAAAAAAUCUCAAAAGUGGGGUAAAUUUCAUUAUCUGGAUAUGAAAUGUGGAUCAACGGUGAUUAUUUGCCUUUUCAAACUUACACAAUCCUAAAACUUUUAAAUAAAGUGUAUGGGUUGUUUAUUGAAGAAACUUUUUCUCUCAUGACUUUACAAUCUACACGAUUGUUGGAUUCCCUUGAAAAAAACAUACCUAAUUGGCUAAUUUCAAUAUCAAGUUGUCCCCUCUUUACCUAAAAAUCCACCGUAUGAUGUAUGAACUAAUUUCCUUUUUCCAUUUUUACCCAAACAACGCCACAUCCUUAAAUCUCUUACAAUCUUAUCAAAAUAGAAUCGUUAGCUUAGUUACGUUAAUCAAAAUUUCUCAUCCUCAAAAUUCACUUACCCACAAUCAAACAACAUAAAAUUUAAAAAAGUUGCAAUAAUAGAAAGAAAAAAAACCAUAGAGAUAAAAACGAUAGACGACCAAAAAAACAUAGCCGAGCAACAUCGAAGUCGAUUUGGGUUGAAAAACAAGAGGGUUUGGUUUCGGAAAGCUUUAAAUCAAGAAUUUUUCAAAAGUAUUUUUAAGUGUUAAACCGAUUAAUAACCGACUUUUAUCGACAGUGAUCAUCCCUAGUAAUUAAUGUGAUAUCUAUUAUAUACUCGAUGGAUGGAUGGAGGAAGGUUAAGAUGACGUAUUAGUGUAUAUUAGAAAUUGUUUUUCACUUUUUGGUGGGUCGUACGAGCAUUUGAAGGACACGUGUUAGAAGAUGAAGGAGUACCCCACAUUGUCAAUUCAAGAGAUUUUUGGAGAUUUCAACUUUUUGGUAAGUGGAGGGAAAGCCCAUUGCCCACACACAAAAUAUCUUUACUUGCUUCCUUAUCAUCUUCAUUACUUUCUUUCUUUUCUUUUCUCUUUUUAAUUUAGCUAAUCAAAUCUUAAGAUAACAUAUUUAGUUGGUUAUAUUGGUCAUUAUUAGUCCUAAUUUUAAUUAAUUAACUUCUCAUAAGUGUGAAUAAAUUAAUUAUACCUUUGUGUAUGGUUGAAAGGUCUGUCAAUAUUGGAAAUGAUAUCUCAAGACUUCCUUUUUUUACUAAAUAAAGUGAAGCCUUAGUUUUCAUAAUUCACUUAAUUUUGGUUUCAUUUGUGUGGUAAUUUAAUCAUCUCUAUCCCAAACAAACACACUCCAUCAUGUCAUUAACAAAAAAAAAAAAAAAUCUAAAUUUAAUACGAAAUUUCACAAAUAUCCUAAAUUAAAAUUUAUUAUUUUAAUUAGAAUUUGGUAUAUUUUUAGAACAAUUUUAACCUUAUUUUCAUUAUUUAUUAUAUAUGAUUUUCAAAGUUAAUUUUAAAUUAUUUUCAUAUUCAUGUUAAGCUAAAUGAUAACUUUUUUUAUUUAUGUUAUUAUUAUGGAAAUAGAUAAAUCCUUUUUCUAAUAUGAAAUAAUAUAAUAAUUAAAUAUAAAUUUAUAUAACUAUUUUCAUUACCUUAUAAAAAAAUCUUAGAAAUUUCUUUCCGAGCUGGCAAUGAGUUCUUCAUCUUUUUUUUUUUGUGAUUUGUCACGUAUAUGUUACUGUAUAUAUUCAAUAAUACAUACAUAUAUUCUUUUUUAUGUUUUGUGAUUUUUUUGUGUGUAUAUAUACCAAUAUAUACACAUAUUAUAUAUCCAUUCAAUAUCUUUUUUAUUUAUUAAUAAUUCAUUUAUGUUUUGUGAUUUUUUACAUAUAUACUAUUACAUAUAUUCAAUAAUACACAUUUUCUUUUCAUGUUUUGUGAUUUUUUCUUGCUGCACUUAUAUACCUCUGUAUAUAUAAAUUAUGUGUCCGAUCAAUUUCUUUUUUAUUCUUACAUAUAUAUUUAUGCAUAAUACAUAUAUUUUUUGUGAUUUGUUACAUAUACACUACUUCAUAUAUUCAAUAAAACAUAAAUGAUGUUAUCUUUAGUAUAUUCAAUAUACCCUAAUAUAUUUAGAAUAUGAAAUAUAAAUUCUUAUUAACCUUAAUUUUUUGGUAAAUUUUUUUCGAAAGAUCACUAUACCAGUUAGUAACUGAUGUUCUUCUUCUUCAUCGUUCAUACUUUCACCACUUUUCUAUUAUUCUACGUCUUUUAUAAAGAAAAUGGAAUUAAUAUUCAACAUAUUCGAAGAAUGAAACUUUUACUUUAAAAAAAAAAAUAUAAACCCUAACCCACAUCCCUCAUUGUUCUUCUUGUUGGUUCACCUUCUAUAAACAAAUUGAUAUAACAUUUCAUUUAUAAAGUAUACAUUGUAUUAUUCAAUAUAUACUAUACUUAGGUGGAAUAUAUGAAAAAUAAUGCAAAAUGAAUGAAAGAAUGGAGGAAGUGAGAGAUUGGACAGUGAGAGAAAGAUCUAGAGAAGAUUUUUUAACAAAUUAAAUAACCAAAACAAAAAUAAUUAAGAAUUUUUUAAUUAUAAUAUUACCAUUACAGAAUUAUUGACUUACCAUAUUUACAUAGAAUAUCUAAUAAAUACAAAUAUUAAUCAUAAUCCACUUUCCUUUUUCUUUUUUCUAUUUUUUUAAUAUAUUAAUAAUAAUAAAUAUGAAUAAAUUAGUCAUUUCGAUCUUAUAUUUGUGUAAAAUAUUAGUCAAUUAAGAACAUUUAUAAAAAAAAUUGAGAAAUUUAUGUCAAUCCUAUAAUAUAGUAUACAAUUUUAGACUAUAUGAAUUAAAAACUCAACAAAUAAAAGUGGUAGAUGGACCCUUCUAUCUUGGGCUUUCUACACUUCGGGGUAGGCCCAUUAUCAUAAAUAACGAAGGAAAAUAUUGAGAAAUACUAGCAAUUAGAUUUUAAUUAAUAUAACAACGUAUUAACAAAAUCAAAAUUUUUUGUAAAUAUAGUAAAAUACGUCCAAGUCUAUAACUAAUAGAACAUGUUGCAAAUGUUCAUUUUACUAUAUUUGCAUUUUUUAGAAAAAAUUAUAUACGUCAUUUUUAGUUUUUGCGUUGGUAUGUAUAUAUAUAUACUUGUGUGUUUUCUUUGAAAUAAAUUUUGUGGAUGAAUGAGAUGGAAAAAUUGGAGUGUGGUUCCCACAAGCUACAAAAUCAAAAUGAAAAACCUUCAACCUAAGUUUAAUUUUUUUUAAAUCUUAUUGUAACAAUUGACAAUUGACACUACUUUUAUCGAUGAAUACCAAAAUUGUUAUCAAUGCAUUGAUAUUGAGUAUUGAGAGACAUUGAUAGGGAGUGUUAUAUGAGUGUAAGCUUGAUUAUGAGUCUCCACCUGAUUUUCCUACAGUGAGUAUUGAAUAUAUAGUUUAGAUAGUCAGUAAAUUCUACUACAUGCAUGUAUUUAAUAUCAAACCAUCUAUUUGAUAGGUAUGAAUAUAUAAAAGUAGUAGCAGGAACAUAAAUGAAAUAGAAAGAGUAUCAAAUUAAUUAUCUUAAUUAAUAACAAUAAUCUUUCCAUCUAUUUAACAAACAAUUUUUAAUGCACAAAACCAAUAGGAAAAACAAAGGAUUUGAUUUAACAUGCCUGUGUGUGAGUAAAUUGGAACAAGAAAUUCAUAUAUCUAACUAAUUACAUUUUUAUCAAUUAAUCUCAUCACUAAUCCAUAUAACAUUUCAGUAAUAAUUACACAAUAAGUUUCUCAAAUCUAAUCUUUUUUAGCACUUAUAAUCAAAGAGUGGCCCUUUGUUUCCAUUUUUUCCCUCCAAAUACUAAUCUCUACACUCAACCAUCAAAUACCUAAAGAUCUUAAUAAGAAUAUGAACAAGAACAAAGGUUCUAGGAACUAACCUGCAUUUUGAUUUCACUCCAUAUUUCAAGCAACAGCGGGCAAGUCCUUCAGCCAUGGAUCCAAUGGCUUCCCCACAGAGUAAACUAUGAAACCAAUGCGUCUCAACUUCACGGCAUCGACAAUGUUGCGACCGUCAAACACGAAUGAAGGCCUUUGCAUAUCGUUGUAGAUUCUUUGGAAAUCAAGUUUCUUAAACUCGUCCCAUUCGGUUAGAAAGCAGAGUCCAUGAGCAUCUUUUGUUGCUUCAUAAGCAUCCCAUUCGACGCGAACUUGUUUUAUAGCAGUCGGCUCAUUGGCUGAAGAUGAGCCGGAUGAUCCCAAUCGAACUUCUCCGUUGAAAGGUCUCUUUCGAUGUGAUCUGCAGAAACUUGUGGAUCAUAUAUGCUUAGAUUUGCCUUUUCGCCUAACAAACCUUUGCACACAUCAAUGGCGGGUGUCUCUCUAGUGUCUCCUGUGUCUUUCUUGAAUGCGAAUCCGAGGAUGGCUAUCUUUUUGCCUGAGGCAGUGUUGAACAUGGAUGAAACCACUCGAUUGACAAAUCGGGACUUUUGGUAGUCGUUUAUUCUGAUGAUAUGUUUCCAGUAGUUUGCUACCUCUGGAAGGCCAUUACAUUCACAAAUAUACACUAGGUUUAAAAUGUCCUUCUGGAAACAAGAACCGCCGAAACCUACACUCGCAUUCAAGAACUUCGGGCCAAUUCUUGUAUCCGUACCAACCGAAUGCGAUACUUCACUGAUAUCUGCACCAGUUGCCUCACAGAGGGCGGAAAUGGCAUUAACUGAAGAAAUCCUUUGAGCUAAAAAGGCAUUGGCAGCUAGUUUUGAUAGUUCAGCAGACCAUAGAUUAGUACACAGAAUGCUCUCAACAGGCACCCAGUUAGCAUACACAUUUUUUAGUUUUUCUAUCGCCUUAAUUCCCUCGGGAGUUUCCGUCCACCUAUAAGAACCCGGUUGGGAGUAAGAAGGUCUUGAAUAGCAGUUCCCUCAGCAAGAAACUCAGGGUUUGAGAGUAUUUGGAAGUUAAUCCCGUCGCUGUUGUGAGUCAAUAUCUUUUCAAUGGCCUCAGCUGUCUUCACAGGGACAGUAGAUUUUUCAACCACAAUCUUGUCCGAUUUCGAAACAUCGGCGAUCAUCCGAGCAGCGCUUUCCCAAUACGUAAGAUCAGCUGCUUUACCAGCUCCAAGGCCUGAGUUUUAGUUGGUGUAUUGACAGAAACAAAGACUAUAUCAGCCUCACCAACGUGUUUCUCAACAUCACAGCUAAAAAACAAAUUCUUCCCUCUACAUUGUUUCACCACAUCUUCAAGGCCUGGCUCGUAUAUAGGAAGCUGUUCGCUAUUCCAAGCAUCGAUCCUCGAAACCGAAAUAUCGACUACAGUUACCUCGAUGAAGGGACACUUGAGAGCAAUCACCGCCAUUGUUGGGCCACCAACAUAGCCAGCCCCAAUGCAACAGAUCUUCACCAUUUCUAUUUGAUUCAAACAACAAUCAGAAGCAAAUGAAAGCAGAUGAUUACCUAAACUAAAUGCAACUAAACAAAAUCUCUAAUUUUCUCAUCAAUAACUCCACAUAACACAUCUCCAUUCCACAAUCCAAAUUCCAAACUACUAAAACCGUAAAUCCUUCCAACUCUAAUCGAGAACUAAAUUUUGGUAUAACAAAAUAGUUAAGACCUAAAAAUGCAUGCAAGUAAUCAAUUCAACAACCAGAAAUCCCUCUAAAAUCACAGUUUCCACAACAGCAUUCAACACCCAGACCUAAAAUAGAUUCACCCACCUACAAAAGUUUUGUUACUGGGCAAAAUCAAACUCAAAGAAGCAAGAAAAGAACAAAGUAAGCAAAACCCAGAACAUAAAAACACAAGACAGCAUUGUAAAAUCCAGGAGAAGCAAGAUGAAUGUGUGGUGCAAUCUUAGAACAGAGAUUAUCUUAGAGAAAUAAGGGGAAAUGAAAUCUUGAGAUGAAGAACAGAGAAAAUAUUACCUCGAAUAUUUGAAGACACUCAAAAUUUACUUGCAAAGAAUGAUGAAAUACAUUCAUUACAUAUAUAGGCCAAGAACAGUUUGCGAUUCAAUGCAUUAACAUUUUUGUCUUUUACUAAGAAAAUGGCCCACUCUGUCCUCUGUCCAUUUACUCAAAACCUAUAAAUUUGUCCAAUUAUCAACCGGUUUUGAUUGCUCUACCUUCCUCGUUCCUAACAAUUGAAAAGAUGAUUAAAUACACGAUACGAUAUUAUGUCUUCAAUCAUUAAACUAGUUUGAAAUUAUGUUUUUCAUUUUAACAUGUGUUUCUGUGUUGGGUUCUGUUAGUUGAGUUAAACUCUUAUUACACAAUUUGAUUUUAAAUUAUUAAAAGAACGAAAUAGAAAAACAUUUAUACAAAUAUUCAAUCUUGGAUUUUUCACAAGAUAUAUUCUUCUUCCUGGUUUAAAGUGUAUUUAUGUGAUAAGCAUUUAAAACACGAUUUUAAAUAUCAAACUCGUCACUCAUGCCCUCUUACAUAUUUUUGUUUUGCAAUGACCUAAUGUGGUUUGUUAGACAUAGAGUCACAAUAAGAAAAGACAAGUGGUUAAUUACUGACUUCUAUGAAAAAAUUGUUAUUAUAAAAUUUGGUGGAGAGACGAAUUUCUCAUGAAAAUGAUUGAGAAUGUUCCAAACAUAUAACAUAUAAUGAUAUAUAUAUCAUUGUAGAUAGGACAAUGAUAUGCCCAAAAACAAAGUGCAAAUAAUUUAUUGUCUUCUUGUCUUGGUAACCGAUGAGGUGGAAGCAAAAUGUGAUAUGAUUUCACAUGUGAUGUGAAAUAAUUUGUUCAAAUGAAGUCUUGGUCUAUAGUUUAUCAAAUAUCAAAUUUGAACUUGAAAAGGUGUAGAUAUUAGAGUACGUACAAGAUCGGAAUGGAAUAAAGUUUGACUAGCAUCAACCAAUCCCUGGAAAAAAAAUUUGAAAAAGUAACCUAUAACUCCAAUUUACCAUCGUCCAAACAUUUGAUUUUUGUUUUAAUUUGAUGCUUAAGUUUAAGAUUCACACUUCUAAUAUUGAUUUUUUCAACCCAUACUCAAUUUUCGAUUUUUACAUUUACGUCUAUUGAAACUUAGAGCACUAAAUUGAAACCGAAAUCUAAAAAGUGAGGAUUAAAAGUGUCACCAAAUAAAGAAAAACUAGACCAAAUUAUAUUUUAUAGAUAUCCAUCCUUAAUCAUUGAGGAGUGCAAUUCUACCAAGAUUGCUUUUAAAAGAAAAUGGAAGUAGUUAUAUAAAGGUAAUUAACAUAUAGUCCUGUUGACAUAAGUUCUUGUAGUAAAAUUAAUUAUGAAAAUAAAAACUAGUAAGUUCAAAUCUAUCACCGUAUGUAUAUAUGUAUGUAUGUAUUGCUGAACUAAAAAAUUUCAUGACAUUUUCACAUUUGCCAGAAGAAAUUAAAGCGCACAAUUAGGACAACUCAAACUGUAGCCAAUGACAACAAAAGCAAAAGCAUCAAACACUGUAGAAUUACCCUUCUUUCAUAUUCUCAGAUUUCUAAGAAGCCAAGAAAUUCUUGAACCAUUGAACCGAGUCCUUGGGGUAUCUCUUCAGCUUAUCCUUGUAAUCAACAAAGUAAAGGCCAAACCUUGAAGAGAAACCAGCUGCCCACUCCCAAUUAUCCAAUAGAGACCAUACGAAAUACCCUUUCACAUUGCAACCGUCUUCCCUGGAGAGCACACAAACCAUAUUUACAUGACCAGACAAGUAAAAUCACCAUUGACAAUUGAAGAACAUGAAGAAGAACUCACUUGAUGGAGGCCAAAAGGUUUGUUAAGUAGCCGUUGUGGUAUCUGAUCCUCUUCUCAUCCUUCAAUGCUUCUUUGAUUGGUUUGAAUGGGUCAUUUGGGUCGUCCAUCCCUGUUAUAAACCCAAUAACAAUGAAUCAGAACUUUACUUUUUGUCCAAAUUUUGUGUGCUUCGGAGAGCUUUGUAUUUACCAUUUUCAGUGAUGAUCACUAGUGGGUUUCCAUAGUUGUUCUUUAUGUAAUUCAUCAAACUUCGCAUCCCACGAGGAACAAUGUAUAACCAUAUUGAAUUUGCCUGCAAGUUCAUAAAAAAAAAAAGAUUGAGAAAUUAGAAUAGAUUAGAGUCUUCGUUUUUUUUUUUUUUUUUUGUCUUCUGGUUUUGCCAAAGAUUAAAAGCAGUAUCCUACCCUUUCUGCAAUGGUUUUCAAACCUUUGAAUGCUGCAUAAACAAAAAACAGAACCAGGGGAGAGUAUUAAAAGGGGUAAACUUCAAAUUCUGAUUCUGAUAUUUCUAAAGUAUUCAAAAGAGGUGGUGAUGAUCAGAUUAAGAGUUCUUACGAACGGUGAGGGCGCCAGAAUCAGCAAUGGUGUCAUUCAGUGUGGCACCAAUAAUGUUUGAGCGGUUGUGAUAAGCAUAAAAUGUGGUGUAGUGAUUUAUACCAACAAAAUCCUGAGACCCUUUCACCAAAGCCGCCUGCGACGGGGAAAACGUCGGUAGUCGCCCUCCGACCCUGCUUCUCAUGGAGGUUGGAUAAUCUCCAAAGAUCAACGGGUUGAGAAACCUGAAAGUGAAUGAAAAUAAAACCCAAUAUGAUCACCUCCAUUGCACCAACAGAAAUAGAAUGAAACUGAAACAUAUUGCUAUGAAUCAUCACCAUCCAAGCUGAAAAUCUUGAGCUCUUUUGGCUGCGUCAAUGUCUUCGGUGGAAUUCGAACCCGGUUCAAACCAGAUAACAUCGAGCGACAUCCCAAUCACUCCCUUCUGUAUCCUCUGCAAAAAUUCCACAUUCUUUCAUCAAAACAUUUCACAAUCUCAUUCAAAUGAAACCAGAAAGCAGAAACAGAACAAUGUAUCUGAGGAAUACGAAUUUCAAUGAAAAAUAAAUCUCAUUAUAGGGUUUUUUUUUUUUUUUUCUUUCUUACCUUGUACUUUCUUCUGUAAAUAUCGGAGACAGUAGCAUGAGAGAGGAGAAGAUUAUGGCCAACAAUGUAAGGCUCGGUAGCAGAGUUGCCAUCCCGACAAGUUAUGUGACCAAGAAUGGAGCAACGUCCCGGCGCCUGGAGACCAAGAUCGUAGCCCUGUGUAGCGAAGGUAUGGGGUUCGUUGAAAGUAAUCCAAUGCUUGACUCGAUCGCCGAACUUCUGAAAGCAUGUUUCGGCGAAAACCGCGAAAUCGUUUCUGCAAUUUCGAAGGUGUGAACUGAAAUGGAAUAGGAGUUAGGGUUAGGGUUAGAGUUAGAGUUUAGGGAAUUACUUACAUGAUUUGGGGACUGAGCCAGCCAGUGUAUUUGUCUUCUAGGGCUUGAGGAAGGUCCCAGUGAUAGAGAGUGACAUAGGGUUCAAUUCCUAAUUGAAGAAGGAGAUGCAGGAUUCAAACACCAUUGAAUUAAAGAACAAAGAAAAUGGCGUGAAGAUGAAGAAGAUUCAUACCAUUGGCUAAUAGAGCAUUGAUGAAAUUGUUGUAAUGAGCAACUCCUGCGUCAUUCACCUCUCCAUUUCCAUCUAAUAUAUCAACCAAAAAUCACAUCACACCUUAUUAAUAAUCUCUUUUUUUCAGUUAAUUACUAAUAAUCUUUUUAACCAAAAAACAAAAUAUUUAUUAAAAAAAACAAAACACCAACAAAAAUUCAAUUUAUUAAAUAAAAAAUUGCAAUUUAAGGUUGUGUUACAUAAAUUUUAAACAAUUAACUAGUUAAGUCAGUUUAGUCUCAUGAUUUUAAAAGUUCCAAUUUUAUCAAAUCGAACUAGAUAUCUUUGUUGAAAUGAAGAAUAGUAUAUAUAUAGGAAAGAAAAGAGGAUGAAUUACUUGGGAAGAUCCGAGACCAAGCAAUGGAGAAUCGGUAGGCAUCCAUACCCAUAUCCUUCAUGAGUUUAAUAUCUUCCUGUUUCCAAAAUUUUCAUUUUUAUUUAUUUCAAUUCUUCUAAUUACAUUUAAUAGUUUGGUUAAAUCUGUUCUAAAAAAUGUAUGUGUGUGGUUACCGGAUACCGAUGGUACUGAUCCACUGUCACGUCUGCAUUACUGAAAUCAAGCACCUUUCCUGUCAAUGUCAUUAAAAUAAUAUAUUUACAUAUAAAAUAUUACAAAAUUUUAUAAUAUAUCAGUGUUUAUCAAUACCAUUAAAAAAAAUAUAAAUAUUUAUCAAUAUCUAUCGUUAAUAGAAUUUAAAAUUUUAUUAUAUAUAUUUUAGUAUCUUCUCAAAUUCCUUUUGAUUUCUAAUGCAUAAACAAUAUCCUUGUUUAACCUAUCGUGGCAUUAAUAUUGAGAUAUUGUUUAACCUAUUGUGGCAUUAAUAUUGAUCAAGAAGACAAUGAUAAUAUGUUGACUAUAUUUAGAAAUUAGGUUAAAAUUAUGUUAUGUUUUAAUUCGAAAUAUAUAUAACUUAGUUGACAGAAAAUUAUGCGUUGUUUUUUUUUUAAAAAAAGAAAGAAAUUCAAUUUUGUUUUUGGUAUGACAUGCCUUAUUUAAUUGCAUCCUCACUCGAUUAAUAUUAGGAUAAUUAUUUUAAUAUCAAAAUUAUUGAAGAUUAUUUAUAAAUUUAAGAAAAUGUCACAAUUUAUUUGAAAAAUAUAUUUCAAUUAAAUAACAUUUCAAAAUUAUAUUUAUAAACAUUUGGAUGAUUCUAAGAAAAGAAAAGUUAAGUUGCAGAUCAAACUUAAAUUUUGUUUAUACUUUUUUAUUUUACUUUUUUAUUUUAUUUUUCACUUUUUUUAUAAAAAUAAAUAAUAAACAAUUACCAAAUGUAUGAGAAAACGUAUCCCAAAUUGUGGGUCCUCUUCCGUCAUCUUUUACCGCGCCUUCGUACUGUAUUCACGUAGAGUUAAAAAAAACAAAACUACAAUGAGUGACAGAGUCAAUAAUUACGUAUAGAGUAUCAUGUCACUAAAAGAAUAUAAAACUAUGGUAAAAGUAAUUCAUAACUUCAUAGUUUAACUAAUUUAAUACAUAUUACGAGUGUUCUCUACAAACAUUUUAUGUUUCAUAAUUGAACUAAAUUCCCUAAAUGAAAAGAUAUGAUUAUGAGACUAGCAAAUACACUAUUUGAAGAACUACAUAAGCAUCGUGAAUAUUAUCAUUAUGUUUUAAAAAAUUUAGUCGUACUAGAAAUUUAAGAUGAUGGCUCAGUAAUUUUGAUUGUUAAUUUUCUUUUAAAAUAUCUUUCCAUAUUGUCGUGUAUUGUCAAUAAAAUUAUAAUAUAUAAUUAACUAAGUAAUAGAACUCUCAAAUUUAUUUGAAAAUUAGGUAGAAAAAGGAAAAAUAAAAAUUAACAGUAUUUUUUAAUGGAAUAUUAUUGAGAUGUAAGAAUGAAAUUUUAGGUCGGAAUCUCGUAAAUUCCUUUGUUGUUAUUGUUUUUCUUUUUAAACUCAAAAAUAUUUAUUUUAGUGCUAAAUUCAUAUUUUAGACAGAAAAUUUGAUAUUAAAAUAAAAAUUAAAAGUACAAAUAUGAUUACAAUUGAAAAAAGAAACAGAUGAUAAAAACAAUUUAAACAAAUAAAAUGACAACAUGGUGAAGAAAUAUUGGUAUUCACACGUUCUAAUAAGAUUGUAAUGCAAUCCACAGUUCGUAUCUGAAUUGAUCUUUUUGAGUCCGAAUAAUAUUAUUAAACUUAUUUCGUUUUGAAUUUUUUUUGUUAAAACUAUAUUUUUCUUUGUUUCAACUUGGGGUGAAUAAUUUGAAUUCAUAACCUCAAUUCAUGUCGACAUUUCAUUUUUGUUUUGCCCUCAACUUGACAUGCACCACUAUAUUGACCCUCAAGGAUUAAUAGUAAGGAUUAUAUUUCAACUUUUCAAAUAACCCUUACCAAUAUUUGUUAACAUUCCAUUUUCUUGAAAGAAACAAGAUCGUGUGAGAUUUUAAGGAUAAUUUUCUAGAAUUCAUGAUAUUUUUGUAUCAAAAUGAUCAAAUUACAAAACACAGAUUGUUUGCUUAUUUUGGAAAUGCCUUUUUCUUUUAUUUCUACAAAGAGAAAACUUGUUUUCAAGUAAUUUAAAAACAUAAAACGUAAAAACACAAAAUGAAAGACAAAUAAAUAGUUACAAACCCAGAUUUAAAUUACUUGAAGCAAAAACGAUAGUAACAAAGGCGUGCAAGAAAAUAGAAUUAACCUUAGAGAAAAAGUGCAAGGAAACAAAUCAGCUUUCCUCUUAAAACCAACUCCAUUCAAAGCUUAGUUUACUUCAAUCAAUCUUCUUUCUAACAGUUUAAAAUUUGAGGAAAAUUAUUUCCCUCUCUCUAAAAUUCUUUCCCCCAUCUUUCUAAAUUUACAAUAAUCAAUCAAUUUACGUUACACAUUUUCAAAUAACCAAAUUUCCAAUUAUAUUAAUAUACAAUUUAAAAUUUAGCUUUUUGUAAAUAAGAAUCCAAAAUAAAUUUAUUUGGAUCGUUUUUAUUAUCGUUUUUUAUAUAAUUUUUUCAAUUUAUCAUUUUUGCUAAUUAAGAUUUUUUCUAUUUUUAUUUUUUAUAAUAAUUUAUCUUUAUUUUCUAACUCAAAUUGUCAAAAAUAUAAAAACUAACAAAAUAUUACGCUUUAAAAAUGGAAAUAGUUUUUUUUUUUUCUACUUUUGAAAAAAAAAACCCUCUUUCUAAACAACAAAUAUACAUACAUCAUAAUAGUUAAAAUGAUAUACCUAAUAAAUAGUAUAUUUUAAGGGUAUAUAUAUAUAUAAAGUAUACACCAUUAAAUAAAAUAACUAUAACAUUAAUUAAUAAUAUAAAAAAAAAAAAAACUGCACAAAUUAAAUCCUUGUCUCUUUCACAUGCCAGAAAAAUUCCAUCCAAUAUAGUUUUCUAUACUUUUUCUAGAAUAACAUUAAUAACAUAACAUAUUUAUUUCUUUUUAUGAUUACAAAUCAAAUCCUUAUCUCUUUCCUAUUAUCCCUUUUUUCCAGAAAUUAUUUCAAUCUAUGCAGUGUUCUUAUGCCCAAAAAACCAACAACUGCAUGUGUGUUCAAAAUAUACUUUUCGAGUAAUAUAAUAAAAACAAAGUUACAAAUAAUAAUAAAAAAAAAAGUUUUUCUAUAUUUUGUAAAUAUUUUUAAUAAAACAAAAGCACAUACCUCUGAUUGAGUUUAAAAUCACUUCGGUGGAGAAAUUGAUGUUGCAACGUUAAAUUUUAAAAAAAGUAUUAUAACCUUGAAAUUGAAAAAUACGAUUGUUCUAAAUAUUGCAAUAUUACAAAUAACGCCCUCAUAUAUUAUUUUAAUUAUUUCUAAAACUGGACAAAUUAUAUAAACUACCAAAAAGUUGGAUCAUAAGUAUUCCAAUUGUACCCUCACUCAAACUUCCUACUACCCAAACCCAAUCCUAAGCUUAAAAAAUUGUAAAAAUGGUAUAAGUUUGAGUGUUUAAUUUCUAUCGUUUUUUUAUUUAGAAGUAUAUUAUUUUCAUAUCUGGAAAUAAUAAUUAAGAAAACGUUUAAAAAAUAAGAAAUAAAUAAAGGAACCUGAAAAGCAGAGGAGGCAGUUCCGAAAACAAAUCCGCUCGGAAAACUGCUUCUGCUGAUCUGCGCCGAACAAAUCUGAACCCCUAAAACCACCAUGAUUACGACUAACACGCCGACGCCUUUGGUGGCGCCUCUUCCUCCGGCCGUCAUCAAGCCAAGAGAUGGAGAGAGAGAGAGAGAGAGAAUUUAAAAUUUUGGUUUAGGAAUUGGAUUUUGUCGGUAUUGCGUCGGGCAAAUUGAAGUGAAUAUGAAGAGAUGGAGAGAGAAUAAUGUGAACGGAGAGUGAGGGUGGCGAGGGUGGGGGAAAGAGCGUCAAAGAGAGAGGGAAUUUCUGGCUGUCCUUUUUAAAAUUGGCAGCGCAAUUAGCUUUUGUGUGGAAAUCCAACUAAAAAGAAAGUCCCUCAGUUCACACGCCUUCCAUUCAUUUAUAUACUUUUUUUUAUAUAUAUAUAAAUCACUUUUUUUUUAUUAUUAUUUUUCCAAUUAUGCUUUUUUCUUAGGCCACAACGUAUUGUUUUGUUGUCAUCAAUCCUAACUUAACAAAUUUAUCAUUUUCAUUUAAUCUUUUUUAAACUAAAGUAUUAUUUUUUAUCUUCAAUUUAAGUAUAGUUUAUGAAUUAAGUAUCAAUCCAUCCAUUUUUGGAGGUUAAAACUUUCGUAUUUCAUCAAUAUAAUAAAUUUAUAUAAUAAGAGUACACCAAUACUUUUUAUCAUUUAAAGAUUGAAAAAAUGUGUUAAUUAACAUUAUUGUAAAGGUACCAUCAUCGCUAAUUGAACCAAUUAUUCAUCGUUCUUAAGAUGAGUCCAAUGGAAAUGAUUGGACAAGGCAUUCCCACUUCUAUCCAAUGUGAACAUGAAUUUAGUAUUUAUUGGUUGCAUAGGAGAACACAACCCAGUUGAUGAAAAUAUUAGUUUAGUUUCAAAUACUAUUUAAAUUAUCAACCUCCUUGUUAAGAAAUUUGUACGUAUUUACCAUUACAAAUUAAGCUCUUUUCUUUUUCUUUUCCUCAAAUGAGUAAAUAGUUUUUCUAAUAUAUAUGCGAAUUACUGUUAUCUUUGAAGACUAAAAGACCUAGAAUAAUACUUUUGUUAAAUUGUCUUUUGUUUUUAUUUCAUAGCUGGUUUUUUUUUUAAUUUUAUUAUUAUUAAUUGAUAUGUUGAAAUUAAAUAGGCAUAAAUUUUAAAGUUAAAUGACUAAAAAUGUGUAGUUUUAUUUAAACUUUAUGCAUAAUCCCACGUCUAUGUAUUUAGACCAAAACGAAAAAGAAAAUAGACACAAAAUGGAAAGUUGUUUCCUUUUAUAAUUUAACUUAUUUUUAAAGUUUUACAUAAUCAUCAUUUCAAUAUUAAACCUUUAAGAGAAGGAGAGGAAAAUAACUGACAAAAGAAGAAGAAAAAGUAUUAAAUAUUUGGCUCCGUUUAGUAAUCAACUAAUCAUUUUAUUUCCAAUAAUUUGUCCUAUAGAAUUCAAAAUUUUAAGAUUAGAUGAGUGAUAUCGUUAAUCUAUGUCCACGUUAGCACAUGUUUAACUCAAAAGUGUAAAAAGUAGUGUUAAUAUUUGGGAAUAUUAGGAAGAUGUAGUUUGUACACGUCAUUAGUCAAAGGUCCAGCUGGGCAAUAACUCCUCCAUUUCAAUUGGAUAGGAAAAGAAAUUCUGACGAUCCUAUCACCUUUUGCCACGUUCACACUGCAUGCAUUGCGCGUGAGAUUAUCGUUUGUUAUCAAUUAAUAAAUUUGGAAUCACAAAUCAUAUAUGACAAGUUCCAGAAUGUUCUACACGCAACACUAUGCUAAGGAUGACGUGGUACAUUUUAUUUCUUUUUUCUUUUUUUAUAAACUCACAUGAUCACAAUUUUUUUUAAAAAUAUUUAUAUUAAAUGAUAAAUUUACAAGUUCAUAUCUUGUUAGUUUGAAAUUUGGUAGGAAAUAAGAAUAUUGAAGUUUAAUUUUAUAUAGAUGUUGAUGAAAAUAUAUUCAUGGCGUUUAUCAAAAUCUAUCGUAAUAUAUUUUAUAAAUAUUUUUAUUAUUUUAUCAUUUAUAAUCACUUUUAUAUAUUAUACUUUAAAUUUCACAUUUAAUUAUUGUUAUUUCAUAUUGUGGUAUUUUAAAAAUGGAAAAAUAUAUGUUCUAUAUAGUAUAACAUGUGAAUGAUGCAUGCAUCAAAUAGACCAAAAAUGAAAUAUUAAUUUUCUCCUAGCAAAGUGAAGAAAGAGUACAAGGAACAAGUUCUAUAUGUUGCAUUCUCUCAUACUCCAUUCUUCUUUAUUUCUAUUCAUUAAAUUUCCUAAAAUUAUACAAACUAUUUUUUAGAAGGAACAAAACACAUUUAUAUUAUAUAGACCAUUUUUUCAACCUAAAAAAAUAGACUUAAUCGAAUUUGUUCAAAUCAAAGAAAAAAUCAAGUGAAAAAGACUAAAAGAACAAAGUGUACGUUUCAAGGGCUCUUUGAGUGUGCAUGCGUUUAGUUCAAAAAACUUCAAAGGGUCCAACUCAACUGAGGUGGAAAAUUGAAAUUUUAGAUAAAUAAAUAGUGCAUAACGAGUCUUAAUGAAUUAAGGCAAGUUGUUAAGUCCCUAUUUCUGAAACCCUAAACUUAAGCAUGAAAUCUAGUGUGGUUAAACAAUACUCAUCAAACUAAUGUGUGUGCAAACGUCUUCUAUUAUAUUCGUUUUGAAAAAUUUGCUAACCAUGUGUAAACAAGCAUACACAGGUAUGUUUUAUAAUGAUUUGUGUAUCAUAUAUAUAUAUUUUGUUAGAAAAGCAUGUGGACCUUUAGCCUAUUAUAAAGUUACCUCUAUUGUUGUCCCACAUUGAUAAAAAUGGAAAAGAUAAAUAAGUAUAAAUAGUUAAGUGCCACUAAAAAUAUAUAAAUUAUGUUGAUGUUAAUAGUAUGACCUAACGGUCACCAUGCGUCUUGUCCCACGUCUACUUGAAUAUCACCUCAUACAUAUAUUCAAGUUUCAUGUAGACGUGAAAAUUCAAUUUUUUUUAACAUUGUAACAAUUGGGCUCCUAAACUUAUAUAAAGGGUCGAGAUACAUUAUUUCAAAAUCCUCCAUCUACUAUCGUCUUUACUAUUUUACAUUCAUCAUUUUCUUUUUUAAUUUUUCGCUAAUUAAAACGUUUACUAUUUUCUUAUCCAACUAAAAUAGUUUACACACUUAACACAUACUAUAUACUUUAAGUUUAAUUUUUAUCAUUUUAGAGGCUUAAAUUCUAUUAUUAUAAGUUUUGAGAAUUUACGUUUUACCAUUGAAAAUUUUACAAUAUGAUCACAAAUUAUUACCAUAAAUUAGGGUAUACUUAUUGUUUUGUAAUAUCUAUAAUGAAAUUUCAAUGGUUGAUGUGUUUGGUGAUUUAUUUGAUUCUUGAUGGAAUAAAACAUGAGAGAAAAAAAUUAAUGAGGAAUGUUGGUGUACCUAACUUAUUUAGUUUGAAUCAAUUAGUUUUGUGUAAAGAAAAAAGGUUUGCAAAUUAAAUUACCAAUAAUGUAAUAAUACAUUCAAAGAAGUCAUCCAUAGCCACAUUGAAAUAUAAUGUCUUUGUGAAUUGUACCCAUAUAAUAUUAUCUCUAGCCACAUGUUACAAACUUAUAUGCUUAAAAUCAUUAUUUAGUCCGCCAAUAUGAAUAAAAUUACUUUAAUGUAAAUUUGCUAUACGAGAUAUUUUCAAUUCUAACAAAAUAAAUUAAAUUAUUUAAAAAAUAUAUUAAAAUUUUAGAUUAUAUCAUCCAUUCAUUGUUUACUAUAAUUAUAAGAUUCAAAUAAAAAAUAAACUAUCGACUUAUUGUUGAUAAAACGUUAAUUCAUAUGAUAUAUCUGAUGUUGUAAUAAAGGUCCUAAAAAUGUCAAAAAGCAAAGAAAAAAAGAAGAAGAAAAGAACUACUUUUUAGAAAGUUGGAAACUCUUUUAUAAAUUUUGGUUUAAAAUUCAAAGAAAUAAAAGUAGAAUGUAGUUUACACUUUAUGACAAUGUAGACUUAAAGUUUAUAUUUGGUUUCGUGAUAAAUUUUAUUGAAAUCAAGUGUCAAUUUUUAUUACAUAGUAUUUAAAUUUUAUGAAUAAAUUUAUUUUUUAAUAAGUUUACCAACCCUAUACGUUUAAAAUAUUUGAGUAUAAAUAUAUAUAUUUUUAAUUCACGCUCAUAAUUCACACCAAAACGUGAAAAAGAAAUCAAACCAUGUUUUUAUAUUAUAUAUAUAUAUAUUGAUGCCUAUUUUUUAUAUAGAAGUAUGCCGGUAUAUAUUUAUUUCAUUUAGAGGUUUCUAUUUCAUACACAACCGCCGACUUCAACAUGUAUAUAUGUCUAUGCUAUUUAUGUUUAAAUCAUGUAAUAUUGAUAAUUUUUUUAAUGUAAACACAAAAAUCUUACCUAUAUUUUUCUCUCUCUCCUCUUUAAUUUUUCUACUAAAAUUAUUUUAUUAAUAAAAUGAUUGAAUGACUUGUACUUUAGUUAUGUUAAAACAAUGUAAAUAUUAUUAAAAUUUAUUAAAUAUACAUAAAAGGUAAUAAAAUGAAGCAAGAAAUAUUAAAGUCCUUCGUUUAAUUCUUUAUUUACAAAAUCAUUAAAUGAAAUUAUGAAUUCAUGUUUAUAAUUUCAUAUUUUCAAAAGAAGUAUGAUUUGGGUGAAUAUUUUAUCCUUUCAUUGUAAUUUUUUUAGUCUUACUUUAGCCACAAUUUUGUCAUUCACAUAGAUUGAAUGUGUGUGGUCAUUUUCACAUUAAACAAAAUAAAAAUUACAUUUCGUUAAUUAAUUUUUCAUUUCCUCGUUAAAAGAAAAAUGUUUUGAUUCCAUAACGGAUAUUAGUUAAUGCUCUAUGUUAUUAGGGGCUUAGGGCUACAAUGUAACUUUUCUAUAUGUUAUUUACACAACUAAAUUUUUUUUUAUCAUACUUUAUUCAGAUAUAUAUAGAUUAGAUGGUUAAGUUUGGAUAGUAUAAGCUUAAAAUAUUAAGAAAUAGAAUUUAAAUGGUGAAAAAUGAUACAUUGGAAGGAUGUAAAUAUAAAAAAGAUAUAAAUAUGUAAAUGUUGAAAUGAUUGUUGUUAAAUUAAAAAUUUUAUUGUUUAUUGCUAUAACUAAAUGGCUCAUUUUCGUAGCUUUCAAGUCUCACGUGCUCCACCCUCUCCUAUUUCUUUCCGUUUAGCAUCUCAGUUCCGCCGCUGCCGUUCUUCGGUUCGUGCUCGUACAGCAUCCUAUCUAACGGCUCUGCACUGAUUGGUAUUCUCCCAAUCUCCAUCUAUCUCUGUCUCCUCACUCGAAUAACGAAAGAAUGGAAGAUUUGUAUGUAUUAUCAUGAAUUUUCCAGCAUCUCCCUUCUCAGUCGAAGUAAUUCAAUUAUCUUUUAAUCACAAGCACGUCCGGCGGCUAUCUUUUAAUUGACCGAACAACCUCAACAAUAUUUCUAUUUUGUAUAUUUGUUUAACCAAUGAUGGUCUGAAUUUACUGAAUAUAAAAGCCUUCCUAGUUCCUUAUGCUUCAUACUUGAUACUCCACCCUCCAUUUAUUCUUCUUCUAUUGCUAUUAUUAUAUUUCUAUAGUUGAUUGUGUCAAAUUAGAGUCUGUGACUGUUUUGAAUGAUAGCUGGACGUGUUUCGAUUGAUUUUUUGUAUUGAAAAUGUUUAUGUUUUGGUUUUGUUACUUCUGACUAAUUGGAGAAGUUUUAUAGCUCCAUUGGUUUGGGCAUGCUGUCUUUUUUCGUGUGUGUGUGUGUAAAUUUCAUACAUCAAUGAAAUUUGUUUCUUAUAAAAAAGAUGAAAGGUUUGGAUGAUUUGAUUUGAUGAUUUCUUCUGCUGAGAUUGCAAUUUGAAACUGUGUGUUUUGUUUGAAAUGUUUAUGAAUGAUUCGGAUGCCAAAUCGAUGGUGUAGUUGUCUUUCCGCUUGCUAAUUAAAACAAAGUAAUAAAGUGUAAGUGAACUUUCUUUUGGGCCUGAAUAUCGAACUCGAUUGGGAAAACACCAGGACGGGCCAAAGAAACAGUUGGUUGGGAUGAAAUGUUAAUUACUAAUUCUGAGGAAGUUAAUGAGGUUGGACCUUAAUUAUUGAAAGCCAAGGAUUUUUUUUAUUAAAUACAACUUGCUUUUCAUUUUAUGGAUGGAGUUCAACUCUUUGUUUUUGGUGCUGUUUUUAGGUCAGUUUUUGUUUAAUCUCCCAGAAAUUUUUUAUGAGUGAGUGUCUAGAUAGCUUAUGCCUACCUUGAUUAAUUUCAGUCAGAAAGCAGAUGUAUUGAAGGUCAAUUAUCAAAUUGAAACUACCAAACCCAAAUCCACGGCUACGAUUUGAAAAAUGGAAGAUGAAGAUCCACCACUCGCUGUUGAGAUUGGCGAAACAAUUACAGCUGUCCAACAACAUGAAGAUGAUGGUGUUUCUGUUGGCGUUACAGUUAUCACUGGAUAUCUUGGAGCUGGAAAAUCCACCGUAACUUACACUCUGAAACUUUUCUCCUUACCCCCUCACUCGAUUUCUUUUUGCAACCAUCAAAUUUGAGCUAUAGAAUGAUAUUUCUUGUUUGGUGGAAUUCAGUUGGUUAAUUACGUAUUGAACUCGCAACAUGGCAAGAGAAUUGCUGUUAUACUGAACGAAUUUGGGGAGGAAAUUGGAAUUGAGAGGGCAAUGAUAAAUGAAGGUGACGGUGGGGCGUUGGUUGAGGAAUGGGUCGAAUUAGCAAAUGGAUGUAUUUGUUGCACUGUUAAGCAUAGCCUGGUUCAAGCCUUGGAGCAACUUGUGCAGAGAAAAGAAAGGUAUUCUCUUGCUGUUAUAUUAGAUUUCAAUGGAGCUUCUGGAAAAAUACGUUGAUGAUUUAGUCCAUCUUACAUGUCUCUAGGCUCGAUCAUAUUUUGUUGGAAACUACGGGAUUAGCCAAUCCUGCUCCACUUGCUUCUGUACUUUGGCUGGACGAUCAAUUGGAAUCAUCGAUCAAGCUUGAUUCAAUUAUUACAGUCAGUUCUUAGUUCUUGUUCCUUCACGGUUUGAGUUAGUUUCCCCAAGUUUACUUUGAAAUACGUAUUAUAGUUUGGAAAUGUUUGUGAAUUACAUGCUAUAGUUCUUAAGUUUAAGAAUGUGUCAUAUUUGAUGUUUGAUUGAAAUUAAGAUAGCCAAUGAAGCUUAAGUUUCCCCUUGUUCUAAGGUUAAAUUUAUGUGUUGGCUUUCGUUUCUAUGUUGUUAUUUAAUUCGAUUUUGUCUGUCCAUGAGUGGAUGCAUGGUGUAGUAAAUACUUGAAUACUUCAAACUUUGUUUUAAAUUCUUUUUCUAGUGAUCUAAAGGUUUCACCCAAUAAUAACUCCUUAUGUUCAUUUGGAUGAAUACAUGCAAGUAGGUCGUGGAUGCUAAAAAUCUUCAUUUUCAAUUGAAUGAGCACCGUAGUUCAUCAUCCUUUCCGGAAGCAUUUCAUCAAAUUGUGUUUGCGGUAAUAUUCUUAUUCUUAGUUCUUUUAUGGUCUCUGCAAGUUUGCAAUCUACCAUUAAUUAUGUCAAGCAACUGCUGGGAUCUUCAUUAUUUAUCAUUUUUCAUUCCAUUAUUACUUAGUAUUUUUGUUUGUUUUAUUUCUGUCUCUCUUGCUAUAUGGUUUGUUUUAUUUCUCUCUUUUGCUAUAUGGUUUGAUUUAUUUCUCUCUUUUGCUAUAUGGUUUUCUCAAUAAUUGUCCAAUGUGCACGCCUAAGAAGUUGUGAAUCUGUUAUCCAUCAUAGGAUACUAUUAUUCUUAACAAGGUCGACCUGGUCUCUUCAGAUCGUGGUGAUGGUGCAUUGGAGGACCUGGAGUAUGAAAUACGUAACAUUAAUUCUCUUGCCAAAAUCAUUCACUCUGUUCGGUGUCAAGUAGACCUGUCUCUCAUACUAGACUGCAAUUCCUAUAAUGCUGCUGUUAGUCAUGAACUUAACUUUAACCCCUAGCUCAUUUUCUAUUUUCGUAUCUGUCCUCUUUAUCUGAUACUAUUCAGUUUUUCCCCAUUUAGAAUACAGCUCAUUUAGAAGCAUUAUUGAAAGAAAGUCGUUCUUUAUCUACUCAAGAUCUUCAUGAUACUGGUGUUCGAACCUUGUGCAUUAGUGAAGACGACAAAGUUGACCUUGAUAAGGUAGUUUCAUGUAUUUCCGUUAAAGAUUGUGUGGUUCCAUCUUAUUUUAAAUUGCUUAGGCAUUUAAGAAUUUCACGACCUGGAGUGUAGCUACAUCCAUGCUGAUUUAUGUUUUAGCCAAAGAUCCAUUGAAGUAAUAAUAUUCUGAACUACUAAUAUAUCUUUCCAUUGGCUUGCUGAUCUAUUUAACGAAGUAUUUAACUUUCGAAGUGAUUAUAUAAAUCGCUCAUCUUCACUAUGAGCAUGAUGAUUGAAGUAGGCACAAUUCGUACAAGCAAUAUAAGUUACUGCCUUGGAAAUUCAUGAUAUUUCUCAUUAAUCUGCAUUUCAUAUCCGAUCUUCGUGAUGGUGCUAUUCUCAUGCCUACCUUAUUUUCCAAUAGGUUCAUUCUUGGCUUGAGGAGAUACUUUGGGAGAAAAAAGGUGGCAUGGAUGUGUAUCGUUGCAAAGGAGUUUUAAGCAUAAAAAAUUCUGAUCAGCUACAUACUUUGCAGGUAGAUCAUGUGCUUAAUCCUAUAGUUUUUGCUGUUGGAAAAUCACUCCAAACAGGCUUCUUCUUUAACCAUCGUCCUAAUUUCCCAUCCUUUGUUAAUCCGAUUUCCAUGCAUUCCUUUUGGGUUUUGAACCCAAAUGAAAAGGUUGAGUUAUUGCGACGAUACUUCCUAACAAGAACACUCAAGAACAACACAGAAAACUCAAGAAGACUCAAAUAUAAAAACAUAUGGAAAUAUACUGUAAUAUAUACUAUAAGAGAAGUAGCAAGAUAACCUUGCCUUCCAAGUGGGCUAGUCCAAAGGAAAUCUCACAAAAUUCCUCACUCUUUGCUCCUUAUCUCAUUCCCUUUAUUUAUAAGCCCUAACAAUACCAACAUUCUACUACUAAUCCUACUAUAUCUCUAACUAGGGAGCUCUUUUUCAUGUUAAUGACUGAUUUUGAUUGGUGGCUGACAGGCAGUUCGGGAAUUAUACGAGAUCGUUCCUACACGGCAAUGGAACAAUGGAGAAAGUCAGACGAACAAGAUAGUGUUCAUAGGUAAAAGACAUACAAAAAUAUCCACGCCCACGAACUCUUACAAUGUGUUUAUUGUUGAAACUUACACAUUGUCCAUAAUAUGCAGGUCGUAAUCUGAACGAGGAUGUUCUCAGCAAAACCUUUAGAGAAUGUGCUUCUAUCUCCUAAAUUUUGUUGCUUUACUAUUUGUUCGACUACAUAGGCAAACAAGGAAGAGCAUAUGCGUAGGUGAAAUGGUUUUGUAUGAUUUCGAAGUCCUUUUUUUGUAUGUUAACUUGGAUAAGUGUUUCCUAAAUUAACUGUCUUUCGGUCUUGUUAGAGGUGUUCUAGAAAGGUUUUUGAUGGAAAGAUUUGUGAACGAAGGUACCAUUGGAUGUUUAUUUUUCUAAAUGAAAGUUCUUUUGAAAGUUAACAUUGCAAUAAAAAUAUCAAAAAUUAAAUUAGUUAAAUUAAAAAAAAAAAAACAAGAAUAACCAUUAAAUUAUAAGAUUCCCAAAUUAUAGUUUUAAAAAUUGAUUGUUCGUUCUCUUGCGAUUCGUGCUUCUUCCAUUUGUGAGGGUGGUCGCUAUUGGCUUUCUUCUCUUCUUGUUAGGAAUUAAUGAAGUUUAUUUUCUUCAAAAAAAAAAGAAAGAAAGAAAGUUAACUUACAACGUGUACAUUGAAGACAAAGAAGCACAUGUUUUGAAUUUCCUAACUUAAAUUAUGAAAGAUCAAAAUAAUAUUGCAAUAAAACAAAAGUUUAGAUUAUAUAUUGAUACUCUAUAUUUUAAAAUGCCUCAUAUUUAAAUUAUGAAAUAUAUUUUAAAAAGUGCUGUUUUUUUAGGAGUUCUUAUGGAUUAAAAAAAAAAAAAAAUUCUUAUGGAUUUAAAAAAAUUUAAAAUUAUUUGCAAAAUAUAGAGAAAAAAAGAAAUUUUUUUUUGACAAAAUAUUUACCCAUCCUGAAACAAAAUUUACACUUGAUUAAAUAUUUAAAAUAUUUUUUUAAAGGUUCUAUUUUUAUGAUUUAUAAAAAAGAAAAAAGUAUAAAAUUUAUUAAAAAAAAUCAGAUAGAUUUUGCUCUAUUUUACAAAGGAAAUUUUUAAAAAUGGAAGAAUUUGCAAAUUAUCUAGGUCUAUAGCAAAAUUUUAAUCCAACUACAAAAUGGAUAACUAAAAUUUUAACCCGAAUUCAAACUAUUCAUUUUUUUUUUCUACAUGUAAAUAGUUUUCAUUUUCUUCUUUCAUGUAAAUUCUGGUUUUGUUUUAUAAAUAGUUUGGAUUUUUUUGAUACGUUUAAAAAUGUCAUUCUUUUAAUAAUUCAUUUGUUUGUAUUUACUCCUUAAAAAAAUAAAAAUAUACUUUGAACGGCUAAAAUAUUGGUUAUCAUAUUGAUUAAAAUUCUGUCAUGAAUUGUAUAUAUUUUGUAAAUUCUUCUUAGUUUUUUUUUGAGUCGUUCCAUUUUUUAAAAUAAAAUGAAAAUAAGUAAAAUUGAGCCCUAAACAUAUGUAUGUAUCUUCCUCUCACUUUCAAGUCUCACGUGCUUCACCUUCCGUCUUUAGCAGCUCAGCUCCGCCGCUGCCACUUUCCAGUUCGUUGUCGCCGCCGUUCUUCCGCUCGUGCCAGCGCCGCAUCCCUCCUAACGGAUCUUCACUGAUUUUCCACUCGGUUGUUGCUACUGGUAUUAUCCCAAUCUCCAUCUAUAUCUAUCUCUUCACUUCAAAAACAUAAAUUAGGGCUUUUCUAAUGAAAAAAUGGAAUAUUUGUUUUUGUUUUUGUUUUUCUUAAUAACCAUACCCGAAUAGCAACGAAAAUAGAAGAAACCCACCUUUUGAUUUGCUGCAUAUGUCUGUCAAUUGAGGCGUCCAUAUAUCUCUUUGGUCUCUGCUGAAAAUUUCCUUGCUUCUGCACCAAUGAAUUUUCCAGCUUCUCCCUCGUCAGUUGAAGUAAUCCAAUUCUCUUUUAAUUCCAAUGAGUGUUUUAUUUUAAUUGACUUCCUCAACCGUAUUUAUUUUUGUAUAUUUGUUGAAGCAGUACGCUGACCAGCGGUACUUUAAAUUUACUGAAAAUAAGAGCCUUCUCUAUUCUUUGUUCUUCAUGUUCUUGAUUUAAAAUAUGUAUAUUUGGGGUAAAAUAUACAUAUUUUUGGAAGUGGAGGGCUCAAGGGACCUAAAGAUUCUGCUUUUAUAUAUGGUAUGGAUUUUUUUAGGAUUCUCUUAAUGUUUUUGGAGAGAAAACAAUAUCAAUGAUUCUAUGAAAUUUACAAAUUGAGUAAUGGUAUGUUGAAAAUUAUAAUUGUUGUAAGCAGAGACGUGUGAAGUGUGUACAACAAUAUGAACCUAGAAAAGGUUUCUUGUGAAUCAAAGCUUCAGGAGAUCUACCAUUAAAUUUUUGUUGUUGUUCCUUUAAUUGCAUAUAAUCCGAUAGAAAGAAAGAAAAAGUUGUUGAUGUUGAGCCGGAGUGCCUGUUUUGCCUACUUGAAUGAAUGGUCCUUGAACAGGCUGAGCUGCCAGUAUUUUAUGUUGAAUGAGAAUGGGAGUGUCAAAAUCCAACAAUUAAAGGCUGUUUGAAAGUGAACCCAAAUCCUGUUUGAAAAUUGGCAGUGUAUGAAAAGAUGGUCUUGAGUCUCAUGAUCAGAGCUGCAUAAACAGCAGCAAUUUGGGGAGAGACUGAUCCAGGGGUGCUUUAUUUGAAUUGUGUUCCUUGUGUGGUUUCAUUUUAGAAUUUUAGGCUGAUUUCCCAUAAAAAGAAUUUUAAGUGUCUUUUGAAAGAACCCCUUUCUGAAUCAGUUUGUAUUGUCUGGAUGAUUGCUUUCUGACAUAGUUGAUAGGCCACUGACUUUUUUCCCAAUUCCCAGUUGACGUACUUACAGGGUGUAAUGAUUUCUAUUAACUAUUAUUUAGCUUACCGACUGUUUUCAUGACGAGAAAUGAUUUGUUUCCCAGUGGGCACAGUAGGUGUCUAAUUGAGAGAGAGAGUGCUGAGUGUGUAAUUUUCUGCUAUUGAUAAGGGAGAUUGAGUUACUUGUUUCUGAAUAUGAGAAGUUUUGAGUUUAUGGCCUUAACGCUUGACUUCUUGCUUUUAAAAUCAAGAUUUUGAUAGAACACUGAUACAAUGUUUCUAUUUUAUUGAUACCUUCAACAGAAUUACAAUAUAAAAGAAGUAAAAUAAUAAGUGAAAAAAGAACCCUAAUCGUCUGCCCUUCCUCUCUUUCAAGGAAUAGAGAAAUUUUGCAGCCUUAUUUCUUCACCAAAUUCUUCAUACCCUUCUUCCCUCCCCAACUUCCUAUUUAUAACCAACCAACUACCAACAAAUCUAAUUACACUUUUACCCCUGUCCUAUACUAAUCUAGGUAUCUAACAGAUUUCCUCUAUCCAAAACUUCUACCUCCAUCCCUUAUUUCGCCUGAAGUCUGUUCAAUCAGCUGAACUUCAGAUUACAAAAAUUAGCCAAGGGCCACAAAGAAUUUGUAGAAUGGUGACAAAUCCAUUUAAAUUCCGGUUUGGUGCAGCCACCACCCACACCAAUCUUUUAUACUGUUCUUUGGAUCUGAAAGAGUAAUCUGAACCUCUUUCUGUCAUCUCUUGCCACUCUAUAUUCUGAAUCUAGGUAGCUUCUCUGGCUUUUGUGUAUUUCUUCACUUUGAAAUGUUCAUAGUAAAUAAUUAUUGUGAGGAAAUGAACGUGGCCAGACCUUAAUUAUUGAAAGCCAAGAAUUGUUUGACUAAAUACAACUAGCUCUUCAUUUAAAGGAGUUCAAUCAUUAAGAGGUAAAAAGGAAGACAUAGUUUCAAUAACUAACUAAGAGGUCAUGUAUUCAAUUCAUAGUAGCCGCCUAGGAAUUAAUUUCCUACAAGUUUUCUUUCACCAAAAUGUUGUUGGGUCAGACGAGUUGUCUCGUGAGAUUAGUCGAGUUGUGCGUAAGCUAGUCCAGACACUCACAGAUGUAAUGGAUGGAGUUCGACUCUUUGCUUUUGGGUGCUGUUAUUUUACUCAUAGCUAUGUUUCUGUCUUUCUUAUUGCAUUUGCAUCUGUAAAAAGUUUUCUUGUAGUGUGUGAUAUUCAAUCAUAAUUUAUUUGUGUUAUUUCUCUGAUCAUUUCUUUUAAUGGUUCUACUUAUGUUAUGGAAUUACUUUUUUUUAAUAAAAAAGACACAUAUUCUUACUCGAAAAGUUAUUGAUGUUUGUUGUUUUUUCUUUGACUAUUAACAGUUGGAACUUCUCUGCUUGGAGUUCUCCAUAAAAUGGCGUUGGUUGUGAUCUGUGGCCAGCCAUGCAGUGGGAAGUCCACUGCUGCACUCUGCUUAGCUGAAGCUCUCAAGGAAUCAAAUGUAAAAGAAGCCAUUAAGAUUAUCGAUGAAACUUCUCUUCAUUUGGAUCGGAAUCAGAGCUAUGCCAACAUGCCUGCUGAAAAAAAUCUAAGAGGAGUUCUCAGAUCUGAAGUUGAUAGAUCUGUAUCUAAAGAUAGCAUUGUCAUUGUAGACUCUUUGAACAGUAUAAAGGGUUAUCGAUAUGAACUGUGGUGUUUGGCUCGUGGAACAGGAAUCAGGUAUUGUGUGCUGUACUGCGACGUGGAAGAAACCAAUUGUAGGAAGUGGAAUGAAGAGCGUCGUGAGAAAGAAGAAGCGAGCUAUGAUGAUAAGAUAUUCGAAGAUCUUCUCAGAAGGUUUGAGAGGCCAAAUAGUAGAAAUAGAUGGGACUCACCAUUGUUUGAGUUAUUCCCACAUAAAGAUGGAAUCGAGAAAUCAUCUCAGGUUAUUCUAGAUGCUGUAUCAUACCUGACUAAAACAGUGGACUCAAAGUCUCGUGAUGUAAAAAUUUUACAGCCAACAAUUGCUACUCAGAGCUCUCGAUUUUCGGAGGCUAACUCUCUAUAUGAGUUGGACAAAGCGACGCAAGAGGUGGUUAAUGCUAUUGUAGAAGCCCAAUCUCUGGGAGGGCCUCUGAAUAGUAUCUCUCUGGGUCAGGAAUUACCAACCAUUGACAUUUCAAGGUCGGUUGGACUACCGGAGCUUCGAAGACUACGGAGAACUUUCAUCAAACUAACAGGGCAAACUAGUUUAAGCGGACGACCACCACCCUCUGAUGCCGAGAGUGCCAAGAGGAUGUUUGUUGACUACCUGAAUAGGGAACUGGGGACUUCUUGAAAGUUGAAACUAGAUUAACCUGAAUGAUAAGCUGUAUACUUGUAGCAUAUGAACUACCAAACUUUACAAAGCAAGAGGUAACAGAGAUAUCACUCUUCUUUCUGGCAACUUUGCCAUCAAUUAUUUAAGCUUUGUUGUUAUCGAUGUUUUUUCUCUUAGUAAUCAUAAUAUCUAUGUCCUCGCUGUUACAGAACUAUAGUCAUAUUCUGACAUGAGAUUUUCAGCUCAUACGGUUCCUUGAGGGUCGUAAAUAAAUCUAAGGAGCACAUCAGGAUUAUUUGUAGAUUAUGCUUUGGAAAAUUACGGUCCUUAUAUAUUCACACACACAUGAUAUAUACAUAUACAUAGUUAAUGAGUUAAUUCAAAGAGAAAAUGAGUGAAUCUUUGGUUUCUUCUUUAAAACGAGUUCCAAGAUUGUGUAAUUGUUCUAUUAAUGAGUUCAUACUUUGUUCAUGCUUUUGAUGUGAAUGAGUUUCUUUCUUUGAUAAUGCAUUUCAUGGGUCUUUUAAUGAGUUAAUUUUAUGGUUCGACUGCUGCUCAGACAACUCUACAAGAUAGGGUAUCUAUCGAGACACUGGAUAGGAUCGGGGAAGGGAGGUAUUAUAGAAGUGCAUUUAGAGUCAGAAGUACUUUCUUUAUAUGAGUAGGAAUAGGUACACUGAGAAUAGAGGAAGGGUAUCUAUCAAGGUCUUUCUUGAUUCCGGAAUUCUUAGAAUAAGAUCUCGAAUGAGACAAAGCAAUCACUCUUCCAGAGUAUCUUAGAUUAGGAGUCUUGCUUCCCGUAUCAUAAUAGGAGCUGCUUGACCAAUAGAGAAUAGAGCCGGAAGUCUCUCUUUUUGUUUCAUAGUCAGAAGUACUCUCUUUCUUGAGUUGCAACAAUAGGAAGAGCUCCUCUCAUUGUGCACAUUGAAUAAACCCUUCUCAGUUGUUUCAGAGUCAGACCUGGACAAGUUCUAGAGUAAGAAGAAGGGAGGGAGACAUGAUCGAUUGGAGGAGAAAGAGUUAGAGGUUAGAGAAGUUUCUCUUUCAUGAGUCACUGAACUAAAUAGGGUUCGAAUCCGAAUUGCAAAGAAACCUGUGGGGUAUGCUGCAAGACAAAUAUCUUAUUUCGGACUUCUUAUCAUAUCUAGCCUCUUAUCUUCUGCUGCUGCACGUCUUGGGUUGAGUCGAGCAACUUUUCCCUUCAUUAACUUCUUCCACGGAGAAUGACAUUGCACUUCUGUAAGAGUGAAAGAAUAGUGCGAGCUUCCCCCUGAUGUAGUCGAAAGAUCUAAUCCCACCGACCACCCUACAACGGGGGACCCGGACUAUGAAGAAAGAUCUCCUGCUUCCGCAACUUAUGAAAAGAGGUCAAGCUCUUGGCUCCUUUCCAUGAGAGAGAUCAGAUGUGCUCCGGUGGGGAAAGCUGAGUAGUUCAGUUGCCUUUGAUUGUGAGUUCAUUGGGAAUCUUUGAAAUCACCUCAAGGCUCAACCUAUAGAGGAGAGGAACUUGGUUAGUUUAUCUUUUCCAAUACUCAAAUAAAUAUUAGAUAAAUGUCUAUUUUUAUCUUGAAUUUCAAUUCUCAUCAAAUUAUUGAAGUUAAGUGCCUGGAAAAUAUUUUGUUUUUAUAAAAGAUUAUGUUUUACAAAUAUAUUUUAAAAAGUGAUUUUAAAAAAAUAAUAAUAAUAAAGAGCGCUUCAUAUACUCUUUAUAGAAAAAACCACUAAAAACCAAAUUUUAUCACAUUUAUUUUUCUAUGGAGUGUUUUAAGUUAUAAAAUAUUAAGUAUACAAAAUUGGUAAAUUUUCAAAUAAUGAAGACAUUAGGGAUUUUUCUUUUAAUUAAAAUUAUAUACUUUUUAAUUGGAAAAUUGUCAAAGAAAAAAUUGAACAAAAUACUUACCUUUCAUAAAAAAAAAUGAAUUAUUAUUCUUUUAGUGGUUUUUUCUUUAGAAAAAUGAUUUUUUUUUUUUUUUUUUUGAAGUUUAUAGUUUGUUUUUCUUUUUAUUACUCUUGAAAGUAAACCUCUUUUUAAUUUGAAUAUUAGUCAAAGUUGAAUUUUUACAAAACUAUUGUUGAAAUUAUUGAAUUUAGUUUUACAUUACGUUUGGUCAGACUAUUGGAUAGAACUUAGAAGGUGGAAAUCGCAACAUUUAAUUUACCAAUUGAUGGAACAAUGAAAUUAAUUUAAACGAAUUGAUAUUCAUAUUAGAUUACGGUAUCUAUCUCUCACAAAUGUUAAAGAAAAAAAAAUAACAUAUAUACACACACAUUGUAAUUAUCAAGAUUUCAUACUGAAUCUGAUUAUUUUCUCUCUCAAUAUUUAAAGAAUUAAAAUUUUUAAUUUAAAUUAGUUAAAAAAAAAAAAUUCUCUUCUCCCAUUUAAGAAUAUCAAUGUCGAGAUUUCAAUUUUAAAGAUACAUUGAUGAUAGAAUAUUAAUACCAAAUUUAUUUAGAUUAAUAAGUAACUUAUUCUUACUCAAAAAUAAGAUUAAAAAAUACUGUUAUUAGUAGUCAUAUUCUUAAUCCAUGAUUAACAACAAUCCACGGAUUGUUCUAACCCUAUAAUGAGCAUUCAUGUCCAUCACAUUGCGAAUCAUAUUAAAUGGAGGCAAUGGGUUUUCUUGAGUCAGUCUCCUUGGAUGAUCAGAGAAAAUUAAUGGCAAUUUUUCACAAUUGAGCUCCAUUCAUUCAGUCUUUACAUCUUGCAAGUCUUCAGCCGUCAGUAAAGCAAAAAGGAAUAAUUAAUUUGAACAACGAUGAAUGAAUCUGUGAAUGUUUUGCUAAUCAAGCUACGCACGGACAAAACUUGAGGGAGGAAAACUCAAUUGAACGAAAAAAUCAAUCGGUGAUGAAAGAAAAUAUGCUGCAUUCAACAUAGAAGAAUGUACUGAUAAUUAAAAGAUAACUAUUUAUUACCAAGUUGGUUUGUUGUUUAAUUACAUUACAUAACUAAUUUUCAUUAGUAGAGACGAAAUACUAACCAUGAACAUCUUCCAAAUAAGUUGAACCCAACUUACAAGUUAUGUUCUGGACUGCAAUCCACCUUUUUGUUUGUUGGUUCAAUCAAACAUGAUGUGAGGGGCUUACAACAAGUUUGAAUGUCUUCCUCCAUUCCCCACAUAGGUAUGACCUCUCCCUUUCUGUAAUCAGGCAGAAUCAGCAAAUCAGUUUAAUAAGAUCUUUUUUAGGUGGUUUAGCCAACGAGUAAAGUUGUAAAUUUUAGGAUAUUGUGAACUCAUUAGAGCUGAGUUCACAGGGUAAAGAGGUAAUAAAGCAUAAAAUUGAUGUUUUUUAGUUUGGGACCCACAAACUCUUAGAGUCAAUAAGGAGGUGAGUUCGCAAAUUCCUCCCCUUCCAACUCGUCCUCCUCAAACCCCUUGAGCCAAACACCUUCAUGACACUUCUAACUAUAGUGUUCAGAUAGAACAACAGAGACAACAUAGAAAGCUUAUCAAAGUAAAUAAUUUGCCUGAAAUAAGUUACUGUUUUGAGAGCAUUAACAAGUCAUUUAGCCAAAGCAGUAAUUGCUACGACCAUCCUAGAGGUGAGAGGUCAGAAUUCCCCAACAUCCAAUUUUUGUAAAAAGAAGAAACAAGCAGUUAGUUCUGAGUAUAGGAUCCUUACUGUGACAGAUAACAGUUAACAACCGCUGAUUUUUGCCACACGAAAGGUUCUAAUAACCAACCUUCACUUUUCCAACAACAUCCUAACAUUUCAACCAUUUUUGAGAUGUAUCUUCCUUUCCACCUAGUUACUGCUUGGCUGCUAAGUGAAGUCACUCUCGAACUUCUUUCCAGUUUCUAAAGUUAUUAAACAAUUAUACGUUUUAUAAUAGACAUGCAAGAGAAAAUAUCCAUUUUUUUUCCUCGUGUUGUUAAUUUCAGUAUCUCAAAAUGCCUAUCAUGUUCCUACUGGAAGCACAAUGACUGCAAUGAAUCCAGUCAAUUGACAGUGAUGGAUAUGGAAGCUGUCUUGUACAAUUUGAUGUGUACAAUUGCUAUACUCGAUAGAUCCAGUUAUGCAGUUACUAUAGUCGUUAGAUUCAGGCUCAGAAGCUACCAGUUCAAAGAUCCUAUCCGUAGAAGAUCCUCCAAAGACUGUUUUGAUCGAAGCUAAAGUAACGAUGCACAAGAGUAACCAGUUUAUAAUCGAUCUACGGCGAAAAUACACAAUGAACCAGGAGCUUUCCAUAUUCAAUUGUGAAACUCAGUUAUACAUGGAGUCGAUCAGCCUAAAUUCAUAAUCCAUGAUUAACAAUCCUCAUGUUCUUGUAUAUUUACUGCCUGUUAAUGACAGGGGUAGGAAUCAAUUGACUUCAGGUUGAAGGUGAUAAAGUUUUGAAGAACUGGGUUGAGGCAGAUUUGAUGUGUAGGGUUAGUUUUUUUUUCCUUUUUCCAUGUCAGCAACGCCAAAUUUUUUGUCCAAUUUUGUGCAGUCAUUCCUUGAGGUUCAUGGAUUCUCUCCUCAAAGGGGAAAUUGUUUAUUAUGAUUCUUUUUCUCUGUACAGACAGUACCUAAUGUACAAAUAUUGAAUAGGAAAAACAGGCACCAAAGCCAUAGUGGAUUUCUUUCCUUCUUCUUUGUGGCAGUGUUAUACAGUUGCAAUGUCAAACUCAAACUCACAUCGUCCAAGGACUUUUUGGGACUUGGCACUGCCUCUACCUCUAUUUUGGACCUGAAAAGUUCAACAUAAGAUUCUCCAGAAUGGAACUGAAUAUCCUUGACAGAUUUAGGGUGGUGUGUUUGUGAGUGAUUUUGAUAUGGUUAAUAUCAUUUUCUGUCAUGUUUAAAGGAUGCCUUUGUUGUGUCUAAAUCCACCAUAAAACAUUAUUAAAUCAAGUUAAUCAAAUGCGUUGAAAUUGAUUUUGAAUCAUUAAAAGUAGUUUCAAAUUGAUUUUAAAAAUGACAAAAGUGACUUUAACUAUUUGAAAACCACUCCCAAAGAUGCAAAAAAGAAAAAAAAAUCACCCUGAAAAAUAGUUUUAAAUUUAAUCAUUCAAAAGCAUUCUUAAAUUUUAUUUGUUAAGAAACACAACUAAAAGUGUGAAACCAAAUAUUAAUUUGAUUUUGAAUAAUUAGACAUGUUUUGAAGAGAUUAUGAACAUGACAAAAGUGACUAACCAUUUUGGAAUCAUUUCUGAAGAUGCCUUUAGCAAUAUGUUACCAUUGAUGAAGAGUUAGGGUCAAGUUUGUUCUUUGCUUUGACAUUCAUAAAUUAGGGCAGGCAUUAAGAAUAAGAAAAACAUCCUUACCCACAAAUAAAUUUGCACUUUAUCAACUAAUGUUGCCUUUUCAAAUCAGCAAAACUUCUCAAGUUCAAGCAUCUGCUAGAGAAAUGUAAACAAUGAAACAAACAUAUAACAGAACAUCAGAAAAACGUAUUAAAUAACUAAUGAAACUAAAAUAGUACCUCCAACACAUUACCGAAGAAGUAGAUGGAAAUCACGCCUCAAACACUUAAUCCUUUCAACUUAACACAGUAGAUAAGUUUGCUCAUCAACGUCAUGAAGCAAUUCGUUAUCCAGUAACGCAUUUCAUUUAUCUACAACAUAUCACAGAAAUAGAUGGAAAUCACCUGAAUGCCUAAUCCUUUCAACUCAACAUAGUUGUUAAGUUUGCCCUCAACGGCAUCGUGAAUCGAAUCAUAAUCCAGUAAGGCUUUUGAUUUAUCUUCAACACAUCAAAGAAGAAGGAGACGGAAAUCACCUGAAACACCUAAUCCUUUCAACUCAACACAGUCAAUAAGUUUGCUCGAUAACGUCAUGAGGUGGUUCAUAAUCCAAUAAGGCAUUUCAUUUCAAAUCUGUUACUGCUCGAUUUCUCCUCCUAUCUCUAGUGGUCAUUUUCUCCCCAUAUCUCUGAAAAAUAUCAGCCAAAUCAACCAAUCCAACUUCUCUCAACUUAUUCCCCACCUCUCUAAACAUUACCACCCCCUCCUCAUUCGAAUAGUAAUGUAAAAAUUUGUUGUAAUCAAACCUUGGCACUUCAAGCCCUCUUUUCAUAAGUCUCUCCACAUACUUUGUAGCCUCCAAUGACUUCCCAUUCUUCACCAACCCUCCAACAAAAAUACUAUCAAAAUUCACAAGUGGAUCCGAUCCUUUCCUCCCCCUUUUCCCUAGAUGUCCUUGCAACAACAUUAUAUAUGUAUGCAUUAUAGGCUCACACCCUCUUUCUAUCAUUUCCCUGAAAACUUGAGUUGCUUCAUUUGCCCUUUUCAACUUCAAAAGUCCCUUGAUAAAUGCAUGAUACACAUCCAAAUCAGGAUUCUCAAUUCGUCUCAUUAUAUUAUAAGCUUCUCUCCUCCUCCCUCUUGCUAAAAGUCCAUAAAUAAGUGAAGAAUGUACCGAAUUAUCAACUUCAAGUCCUCUCUUAUGCAUUUCGUCAAACACAAUGAAUGCUUGUCCCACCUUACCUUUAUUACACAACCAUCUUAUCACAAGACUAUAAGUUGAAGGAAUCAAAUCAUUCAUCCUAUCUGAUCUAAGUGCCUGGAAAAGUUUCAAAGCUUCGUCCAAUUUAUUGGUCUUGAAAAGAACAUUCAUCAUCUCCUCCACAGCUUCCAUUUCAGGCUCAAACCCUUCAUCCACCAUUAAGUUCCACAUCUUUGAAGCCUCAAUCAAAUCCCCCACAUUGCAAAACCCCUUAAUCAACAACUUAUAAGUAACCCCAUCAGCUUUGAUCCAUUCAUUCAAUUUCAUAACCAAAAACUUAGCCUCAUCCACUAGUUUACAGCCACACAAUUUCUCAACUACUCUAUUCAAAGUUACUAAACUAUAACAAAACCCAUACCCAUUCAUCAAAUGGAAAAACUCUACACAUUUCUUCAACUCUCUGGCCGUCGCCAGAGUUCUCAGAGCAACAACAAAGGUUUUAUCAUUAACCAACCGCCGCCGCCCCAUUUCUUGAAUCAAACCCCACAAGAGAUCGAUAUUUCGUGACUUCCCAACAACAUCAAUCAACUUGUUGAAAGAGACAGCCGUGUGAGUGAAAUUGGGGUGAGUUUCGGUGAAUUGGAAGAAUCGAUAAACGGGACGCCAUGAGAGAGGGAAAGUGUUGCAUACCUGGAGGAAGAAUUCGUGUGAGAGGUUGAAAUUACAGGCGAGAAGUUUGGUGUGAAGCUUGAGAUCGGGGGAGUUCUGUUGCUGAUACAAAACGGUACAAACACGGCGGAGAUGGGUCGAGUCGAUUGGCUGAGGAAUGUUGUCGGCAGCCGUGGAGGAGUCGGAAGUAAAGGGAGAAAAACGUUGAUGAAAGAUAAAGGAAAAUGAGAAAUUAUUGAUGAUGAUACGUCGAUAGGUAAUGGCUGCCAUUUUGUUUCGCCAUUAGAGAGGGAAAUGGAGAAAAACAUAGCAGCUCGAAUUUAUAGAGAAGGAGAGAAACCAAAUAUUGAAGGGGAAAAGUAUAAAAGUAUAAAAGUAUAAAUAAAAAAUGGAGAUGCAGGGGAUCGAACCCUGUACCUCUCGCAUGCAAAGCGAGCGCUCUACCAUUUGAGCUACAUCCCCAUGUUUUGAUAACCAAUUUAUAUCAUUUUUAAUUAUUAAAAUCUUAAAAUUUUUUGAUGGAAUAGUUUCCUAAAAUUUAUUAAAAAUAUAUAUAUAAUUAAUAAAGUAAAUUGAUUAUAUAUAAUUAUAUAUAAUUAUAUAUAAUUAUUAAAGUCAUGUGUAUUAGAGUACAAUUUAUUAUUCUUAUUAUUAUUUGGUUAUGUACUUGAAACGAACACUUGAAUAUGUGCUAAUGAUAGCAAACCUUAAUUGUGAUAUUAAAAACAAUGGUUUGAAAAGCAUAAUAGUAAUCUGUUAUAUGUUUUAAUAAUAACUAAAAAAACAAUAUAUAUAAAUUUAAAAAAUAUAUUUGAAAAAAAAAGAUAAUUAUAUAUACUAACAACUACCCGAGCCUAUUAUCCAAAUAUAGCCCGAGGAAGUCAUAGAAUAGCUGAAUUUUGAAAAUAGUGAAUUCAAAUCAUAUCUAACCUAUCGAAUAAAUGGAGGAAACCGAAUGUAUCCCAAAACUUGAGUGGAGCCAACCAUUAGAUUUGAAACACUGUGACACUCCAAAACUAGCAAGUUAUUUUAAUUUUUUUAGUUGUUAGUUUUUGGAAAUUGAAAUUCUAUUUUUUAGAAUUUAGUUUUGGAUUUAUUGGUUCGUGAAUUAAAUAUUUUUUUAUUUUGAUUCUAUCUUAAUUGCUUAUUUAUUUUUAUUAUUUAAAGCUUUUCUUCAAACUUUAAAUUAUUUUCUUAUAUAUUUAAAUAAAAAAAAUCUAUAAUUAUUUAAAUAAUAAUAACCUCAAAAGUUGGGUUGUUCAUUAUUGGUUAUUGAGCUAACACAAAGGUUAUUGACAAAAGUCAUAUUUUCAUUUACAUGAACGGUGAGUUAAAAAGCAUAUUAUCCGUCUAUGGAAUCCAAAGGAGAGCUUCUAAUUUCUAAAUCCCAAUUCCCACUCCUUCAAAAAUCACCAUAGUGAUAAUUUAAUACAAUAUGUAUCAUACAGAAUUAACAUUCUCAUUCCUCCAUUAUCCAACCAAACAAAAGAAGGAAUUAAAUACCAAAGCCUUUUUUUUCUCUCUCUCUCUUUCACAAUUUAUUAAAAUUUAUUUAUUCAAUGCAAGUUCAAAUCACAUUUCUUGAUAAGUACUUAAAAUUUGUGAACCAGACUUGUGUGCUAAGGCAAUUUCAACGGAGGUAUUUACUUGAGUUUGUCAAAUGAUGCAUCACCAAAAUUGCUUCCCAUUGGAAUGUUAUCUGGUGGAACAUGAAAACGGAGAUCACCAUCCAAACGCCAAUGUUUCCUGGUCAAUAAAUUUGUGGAUAAGUGAACAUUGAUGAAGCAUGCACUAAGAUUUAGUUAUUCAUUUACCAUUCAACAAAAAUUCCAAAUAUAACAAAAUUUAUAUUUUAACUUCCAAAGUUUGUCUAUUAGUAAGACUAUGUUGUAGAAGUCAAUCACCAAUAAAUUUUGGUGUAUUUAUAAAAAAAAAUUAAAUAUUGAUAUACACUUAACUAUAGACCUAAAAGUGUUGCCAUGGUUAAUUACCCUGUUUUUCAUGAGAAUUGUUAUUAUUUAACCAAUUUCAAAGAAGUAGAGGACCAAAAUAACUUAACGAAAUUCUAUUAAGAUGUCAAAAUUGCCCUACGGAAAGUAAACAGAUUUCCUUGAAAAUUUAAAGAAAGAAGCUAUUCUUGCUUCCGAUACGUACCACAAAAAGAAUUCUUCCUAAAUCUUGACUUUGAACUUAUUAGUCAACUUCCAAAAAUAAUGUUGAGAAAAAGAGGAGAGAUUACGUAUGUACCUGACCAUUAGAAGAUAAAUCUUGGAUUACAUUUCUAAAUCUUCCUCUCCAGAGGCUUUUCUUGAUUCAUUUUCUGCCACCUAAUGCAGGAAGUUUCCAAGCAACCUCUGAUCGAAAAUCAUGUUUGGAACCUAGAAGAAGAAGCAAAGCUACUGAGUUAGGUCCUAGGCAUCAAUGCAUGUGAUGUAUGACAGUAUAAGCAAGAAAACAGAACGUGCCUUGUCCCCGAAGAAAAUCUUUGUAUUAUCAGCAAUGGCCUCGAUAAAUUUUAGCUCAAGAAACUGGGGUGUAAGCUUCAACUUGUUAGCUUCAGCUUCUUUUAGUACACUGAGAAGAAGGAAGAUGAGAGAACAUUUAUGUCAUUAGGUAUUCGGUAUCGGUGCAACAGGCAUUCAUUCCUCACUUUGAAAGCAAAAUGAGAAAGUACCGGUAAUAAUUGGCAUCCGCGAGACUCUUUUCACGAGCAAGAUAGAUAUGGUUAUCAAUUUCUUGUUGUCUCCUGGAACUCUCCUUCUCCAUCAAUUUCUGUUCCAUGAGGAUCCUGCUAACAUUAGCAUUCUUCUCGGCUUCGCUAAUUGCCAUUUUUUUUUUGGUCUCUGCUUCUUUCUCUACUACCCUUUGGCUCUCUACGGCAAUUAGAACCUAUCCAAGUAUGCCAAGAUUCAUUAGAAUAAAUACAAGCAGAAAUAUGUAUUUUAUUGAAAUAAUAAUAAUAAUUAUAAUAAAAGUCUUGAAAGGAUGAACUUUAGGUUUCUAGCUGCAUAAAGCACUAAAUGGUGUAAAUUUGGACGAAAUUUGGUCCAAAACAUUAAGAAGUAGCAUGAAAAUAUGGGUUUCUAGGUUUCUAAAGCUCUAAGAAUCGUCUAAUGAACUUUGGUUCAAAACGUUAUUCAUAUGAAUAUUGUGGACCUAAAAUACACCUUCACAGGUAUUCAUGCUAAUUUUUUUAAUUAAAGAGGUAAACUCUAUUUUGAAUUAUUAUGACGUGUAAGACUAAAGAACCAACAAUACACUUAAUACAAGGCACAUACUUUCAGCACUAGCCUUUGUGAGCCUCUGAUUUAUACCUUGUUUGAAACUCAAACAAAACGAGAAUAAAGUUGGUUUCCCAUGUUAGAGAUGUACCUUUGUACGUUCCACUUCCAUGUCUUCAAAGUUCUUUCUGAUAGAAUUUGGGAUGGUAGGUUUGGUUACACGAACACUGACUAUUUCAAUACCAGGAGCAUAACGUGUACAGUCACCUUGGAGGGCAUCUUUCAUUGUUUCAUCGAUCUAAACAUGAAAACCAGUCACGGAUCAUUCAUACUAAAGAAACGCUUGAUGCCAAUCAAGAAAGAAUAUACGAGAAGUUUCAUGGAAACAUAAGCUUUUACAGCCUCAAUCAGAUUCCUUGAAAGAAUGGAAAGCUGAAGAAAAGAAAAAUAUCUGGCACAAAUGAAUACAAAUAAGGCAGUAAGUUGCCAAAAUACUCAAGGUGGACAAUUUCACUAGCUAGAGUUUACAAUUCGCACGGUGCUCUUAUCAGCUCUGCAAGCCGUUUGUGAAAAUAAAAAGAUGCAAGGCUUUAAAAGCACACACCUGAUCAAAGACAUCAAUAUAAACUUGUUGAAGACUGUGGGAGCUACAAAACUGAUUGAUCUCAUGAUGAAUUUUAUCAUAUAUCCAUAUGUUAUCAUAAUUCACACCAUAGUUGACCAGGGUGUCAUACACAUAUUCUUUGCGGAGGCGAUUGACAACCUGAAAGUAGCAUCCUUAUCAACUAAGAUGAAAAACAUGAAAAUCUAACAUCAAUAAUUGUGAAGGAAUUUCAUAGUAAUUGCACCUCUAUUUUCUCGAAGUUGAUCAUCACACCCCCUUAGUACCACAUGGAAUGUCCCUUACCUGGAUGUGGACAUCAAUUAGAACAUCUUCAAAAUAUUGAAAUCCUAGAAUCGACGUUAAAUUCUAACUUACUUGAUCGGUCUGGAGGGUCACUUGAACAGCCACAAACUGGGUUAUCAGUGGCAACUUCAGAUGGAAACCUGAAAUUUUUAACAUGAAAAAAAUAAAAGGACAUACGAUAUGCAUAACAACAAAAAAAGGUAGGAAGGAGAGACUUAAACCUGGAUCAGUUAUUGUCUUCAGAAGGGCACCUCCUCUCCAAUAUACCCCCACGUGACCCUCCGGUACUUGAUGUAAAAUAGAAAGAUUAUUUGACAAGUUUGAUUGAGAUGGAAAGAGCACCUACAUGUAUGUAAUACAGUUAUACAGCCAGUAGAAUCAACCAGAUAAGUUACAGUGAUUUUGUAAUUGUUCAUUGUACACACUUAGGCACAAAAAAUGGGAAUGCCAAAUAAACAUUUAUAAGGUGAUACAACUUCUUGACCACGUUUUGUGUAUGUUAAUCAGUAUUUGGACAACUAGUACGGAUCCAAUUGUCAAUUGUGCUUUCCCUCGGUUGAUUGUCCUAUGAAAACUAAUACUGAUCCAAAAUCUACUUUAUAUAUUAAACUUAGCAGACCUGCCAUGUGUGAAACGUAGAAUUUAUCAAGUUUACAUAAACCGUCCGCUGUUUGCUUCAAUUUGUUGAACCUUUUUUCUUAUACGACAAAAUUUGGCCAAAAUUUCUCAACUAUGUCAGACUCCACAUUUAAAAGCCAUGGCCGAACUAGCUACAAGAAGAUCAGAGAUUCAUAAGACUACUCUGUAAUAGAAACUAGAUAGAAACUUCUUUCUUCAUUUUUUAAUAGUACAUCAUUGGAUUUUGCGAAUCUCAUACUCAUACGCUUGAUGUUUCCAUCGAUGGCACUACUCCAUGUGUAUUUUAAUCAAUUGGGUAAUCUCUCUGUAACUCCCACAUACGGCACUGGAUAUGACUUAAAAACAAGUAAACAAACAAGUAUGCAAUCAAACAGUAGUACUGAUGAACUUAUUGUAAAUCGAAGAAACGCAUUCUUUAAUACAUCAAACCAACAAACUAACUACCAAAACAAACAACGUAAAAAUCGAACGUAUUAGCAUUCUAACUCCAUUUCACAACGGAGAAAAACAUAGACGAAGAAUCAACGCAUCUAGUUGAGACAAAAUACUUUGACCUCAGAUAGAAUAGAAACAAGACGGUGUAUCAAAAAUCAAUUGUCGGAAUCUAUGGCGUAAGAAAAUCAAAAUGAAAUUUCAGAAACAAAAACACGAAACCUAGCGUGUUUUGCAGUUGGAUAAGGAAUGAAUAAGAUAUACCAUGGAAAAGAUGGCCAGGAAGGAGGCGAAAACUAGGAGUAUGGAUGAGGAACUCCCGGCGGAUUCUGGAGGACGAGGCUGCGGAGAUGGCGGUUGCAGCGGCUGAUUACGAUCCAUGGCGCGGUCUCGGUGUAGAGAAGACUGAAUCAAAUUAGUGGAGUUUUGUGUAGACUCUGAUUGGCGGAUUGAAUUUAUACUGUUUUGCUAACGGAAGGUAAAAAGAAAACUGCUGCAAGAAAGGAAUUUCUUACCUCCUAACCUUUCACGUUGGGCUGAAAAUAAAAUUAAUGGAGAAAUGUCUUUCUAUUUCUUGUAUUUUUAGAUUUUUUUUAACAUCACUUUUACGUUAAAGGUUGAUUUAGUUCCUAAAAUGGACACUUACUCAUCAAUCAAUAGACUUUAUCAGCAAUAAUGGUAUGAUUUAGUUCCUAGAGUUUACAAUAGGUAUUGAUAUGAUUUUGUUUGUGUGGGUGUUAAUUUUAGGAGAGAUAGAUAUGAUGAGAAUUUUUCAAAAACAAAUUUUGAUGAUUGGAGGGACCAUACCCUUCUCAAAAGGGCUUUCCACGUGAAAUAAUUGUAAAGUUGAGUGAAGUUUGAAUAGUAACAAACAAAAAGAUAGAAACGAAGGAGUAGUUUGUAACUUCCACGUGAAAAAUAAAACAGCCUCUCCAUUUGGAUUUGGAUAGAGAGAGGAAGAAAAAUUGCAUUUGCCCGCGCUUCCAUUAGCAAAGAUGCUGUCUCCAACAAUGGCUUCGACUUGGGGCUCGGCUCCAUUGCACAUUCAAUGGAAGAAACCGAAGCGUCCGGGUGUUAUCCUUAACGAGUUACCUUCAUUUCUUCCCAAAGAAGUCUACAACAUCAAAGACCAAUCUGCUCGAAACCUCGCUUCAAGGAUUCAGAGGCUACCCGUAAGUUCACACCUGGAAAAUCUCGUACCAUUUCGUCGUUUGCUAGUUGUUUUAACAAUCAUUUAAUGAUUAUUUCACAUGGGUUGGGGAAAACUGUAAUAGAAACUCUCAAUUCGAGGAAGUUCAAGCUAUGUUUUUUGUGGAAUUCUACCUGUUAAUGUGACUUUUGAAUCGAAGGGGUUUUAAGCUAAGAAUUGUUCUUGCUCUGCAUGUAGGUCAGCUUCUCGGAUUUUUGUAUUAUGAGUAGUUGCGUUAAGCCGUCAAUACAGAACAAAGACUGUCCUGUGGUUCUUCUCCAUGGCUUUGACAGGUUUCUUUCACUAGUUAGAAAUAAUAUUCGUGUAAAAUAAAUACAACGCUGUUUGUUGGUUCUGUUAUUAUUGUUAUUAGUUUAUCUUUUCCUCGUUCAUCACAUCUUAUUGUUCAGCUCCUGUUUAGAAUGGAGAUACACAUAUCCAUUGCUUGAGGAAGCUGGUUUAGAAACUUGGGCUGUCGACAUUCUUGGCUGGGGCUUCUCUGAUUUAGGUUUGUCUAAUUGCUUUGUGUUCCUCUAUUCAUUGAUCGAUAAACCAUUUUUUCUCUCUAAUUUUCGUAGUUGCAUGUGAUAGAAAGACUCCCACCAUGUGAUGUGACUUCUAAACGUGUUCAUUUGUAUCAGGUAAUGAAAACCCUCCUGUUUAGAUUGUUUUCCUGUAUGUAUUUGGGGCAAAUUUCUCUUCAAUUCCAAUUCUGUUUCCUUCCUGUAUGAUCUUAAUAUGCUGACACUUGCUUCAUUGUUAUAACUUAUAGGCUUGUUUUAUUUUUUCAUCAUUGCUAUAAGCUUUUGCAUUAAUCAUUAUUUUCCUGUUCUCUUUAAGUUUUUUUUUUUUUUUCCUGAAUAAUUCUUUAUUAUCAGUCACACUUAUAUCUUGUCCAGUUAUGUUGAAACUAAUUAAGUUUUCCCUUAUGCUGACUAUAGCUUUGGAAAUCUUAUAUUAAAAAGCCAAUGGUAAUUGUUGGACCAAGCCUUGGUGCUGCUGUUGCUAUUGAUUUUGCUGUCAAUUAUCCAGAAGCUGUAUGUAUCUACCAGCUGGAAUUUAUGACUACAAAUUUGAAGUUAUAUCCUCAUGUAAAGUCAUUCCAGAGAGUCUUCCGUCCAAUAUAACGAGAUUAUUUCAGGUCGAUAGGCUUGUGUUGAUUGAUGCAAGUGUAUAUGCAGAAGGUACAGGAAACUUAGCUACCUUACCAAGAUCGAUUGCCUAUGCUGGGGUGAGACUUUGCUUACUUCUGUGAACAUUACAUCAAGUGUGCCAAUGCUAAGCACAUUUGAUGAGAGAUUGAUUUUAUGCAAUUACAAUUUACAAAACCACAAAAUUUACUUCAUCUGUACAUCCUUUCCCAUCCAUUUUACCAUACCAUUAUUGCAUCACCACAUGCUUUCAUGAUAAUUCUUCUGCUAAAAUCUUCUGGGAGAGAAUCGUUCUACUAAUUUUUUAUCUACAAAUUUGAUUUUUUGCAAAGAAAUUGACAGUUUCUAGGGGGGAAGAUUUUUACACUUGUUUCUUUUCUGAAAAAUCGUCUUGGAGACACUUCUUAUGUUUGCUGAUUUCUAUGUAAGUCAUAAGUUUUUUAAACUUUUUUAUCAGGUAUUUUUAUUGAAGAGCAUUCCUUUGCGCGUAUAUGUGAAUGUUUUGACCUUCACUGGUAUACCAUUUAGUACCAGCCUGGAUUGGGCCAAUGUAAGUUUUCCCCGACAUUAAGGUGCAUGUUUAUCAUGUAGUUGUUGACUUGAUGUGUAUUUUGUGAUAUUGGAAGUUUUGCUUGACAUGAAGAUAAAAUGUCAUGUCCAUAACCAAUUGACUUACAUCCUGCUUCGACUGUUCUCCUUCUACUCUACUUAUAUUUUAUUAGAUUGGCCGCCUGCAUUGUUUAUUACCUUGGUGGGAGAUGCGACUGUUAGUUUUAUGUUAAGUGGGGGAUAUAAAGUCAGCAGCCAGAUUGAAAAGGUUAGCACAACUCUUUUGCAAUAUGGUUGUUGGAAAAUGCAAAAUGUAUCUUGUUUUUUGAAUUAGAAAAUUGCAAAUAUAUUGGUGAUCAUAAGGAAAAGUUUCCAUUCCUCGUCAAGUUAUGUAGGCGUUUUCAUCAAGGGUUGUUGGAAUGUUUUUUUGUUCUAAGGUCAUUUUCAUAUUGUUCAUUCGACAAUUAUCAUAUCGACAUUUGAGAAUCAUUAGGUACUUCUGAGAGUUACGUGCAUUUUGGUUCAACAGGUGAAGCAGAAAACGCUUAUUAUAUGGGGUGAGGAUGAUCAAAUCAUCAGCUACAAGCUUGGAGUGGUUAGUGUUGUAAUUUAGAAUUCAGAAACGUAUAUGUCUUAUUCUCAUUGAGUCAAAGCAAUGUUACAUAUUUAUAUAGAGAAUAAACUAAACCCUAGAGACUAAGUAAAAUUACAAUAAAGGACAUAUGUAUAUAUAUAUAUAUAUCAUAACACUCCCCCUCAAGCUGGAGCAAAUAUGUCGAUCAUGCCCAGCUUGUUGCACAGAUAGCUUAUCCUUGUUCCAUUUAAAGCUUUAGUUAGAAUAUCUCCCAAUUGUUCUCCGGUCUUCACAUAUCCUGUGGACACCAACCCAUCUUGGAUUUUCUCACGAAUGAAGUGACAAUCCACCUCAAUAUGUUUAGUUCUUUCAUGAAAUACUGGAUUAGAUGCAAUAUGAAGUGCAGCUUGAUUAUCACACCAUAAUUUAGCUGGCACGGUAAUACUGAAGCCUAUCUCAGAUAAUAGUUGGUGAAUCCAUACUAUUUCACACACAGAUUGUGCCAUAGCUCUAUAUUCUGACUCAGCACUCGAACGAGAAACAACAUUUUGUUUCUUACUCUUCCAUGAAACUAAGUUUCCACCUACAAAGACACAAUAUCCAGAAGUCGAUCUCCUAUCCUCACGAGACCCCGCCCAAUCAGCAUCAGAAAAACAUUCAACUCUCGUAUGUCCAUGAUCUUUGUAUAGGAUCCCACGUCCAGGAGCAGCUUUUAGAUAACACAAAAUCUGCUCUACUGCAGCCCAAUGAUCCACUGUAGGGGAAGACAUGAAUUGACUUACAACACUUACAGAAUAUGCAAUGUCUGGUCGAGUCACUGUUAAGUAGUUCAACUUCCCAACUAAUCUCCUAUAUCUCUCAGGAUCUUUACAUAAUUCUCCUUCUUUAACAAGUUGCUGAUUUGGCAUCAUUGGAGUGCCACUUGGUUUGGCGCCUAAUUUUCCUGUUUCAGACAACAAAUCAAGUACAUAUUUUCGUUGAGACAAAUAAAUACCUUUCUUGCUUCUCAUCACUUCAAUGCCCAAAAAAUAUUUCAAUUGGCCCAAAUCUUUUGUAUAAAACUGACCCUGAAGAAAAGUUUUGAGAGACGAAAUACCCAAUACAUCAUUUCCAGUAAUAACAAUAUCAUCAACAUAUACAACUAGUAGAACUAUACCCUUCUCAGAUCGGCGAUAGAAAACUGAAUGAUCAGAUGUACUCUUCUUCAUACCAAAGCAUACAAGGGCUUGACUAAACUUACCAAACCACGCACGAGGACUCUGUUUCAAACCAUACAGAGAUUUUCGAAGGCGACAUACUUUAUCACUCUCCCCCUGAGCAACAAACCCUGGUGGUUGUUCCAUAUAAACUUCCUCUUGAAGAUCACCGUGAAGAAAAGCAUUCUUAAUGUCAAGUUGAUGCAACGACCAUUUAUUGGUAGCAGCCAUGGAAAGAAAUAGGCGAAUGGAAGUUAACUUGGCAACCGGAGAGAAUGUAUCUGAAUAAUCAGUGCCAUAGAUUUGAGCAUAACCUUUGGCAACAAGGCGAGCCUUUAAACGAGCCACUGUUCCAUCAGGAUUCAUCUUGACAGCAAACACCCAUUUACAACCAAUGGCCUUCUUUCCUGCAGGACGAGAUACCAAAUCCCAAGUACCAUUAUCAUCUAAAGCAGUCAUCUCCUCAAUCAUUGCAUUUUGCCAGCCAGGAUGAGACAAAGCUUCAUGAACAGAGUUAGGAAUAGAUGUGGACUCAAGAGACGUAAUAAACGCAUAUGUGGAGGGAGAUAACUGGUGAUAGGAAAUAAAGGAAGAAACGGGGUAAGUACACUUGCGUUUACCUUUGCGAAGAGCAAUGGGAAGAUCAUCACUUGGCGCUGGAUCACAUGAAGAAGGAAGCAUUGAUGGAGGACAUGAGUCUGAAGGUUGUGGUGGAGGUCGUCGGGAGUAGACUUGAGAAAUCAACGGGCGGGAAGGAGACACAUCAGUAGACAAGGAUGGUGUGGGAGAGGUAACCUCAUAUAUAAAAAGAUUGUCAUCCUCCCCCUGACACAAACUCGAUGGUGAUGAAGUAAAGGGUGUAUCUUCAAAAAAGACAACAUCAGGUGAAACCAGAUACCUUUUAAGGGUAGGACAAUAACAACGAUAACCCUUUUGAACACGUGAAUAACCCAAGAAGAUACACUUCAAGGAUUUGGGAUCUAACUUAGUAUGAUGAGGACGAACGUCACGAACAAAACAGACACAACCAAAUAUCUUAGGAGCAAUAGGAAACAAAUGCUUGGUAGGAAAAAGAACACGACAGGGAAUCUCACCAUUAAGAACAGAGGAAGGCAUUCUAUUAAUCAAAAAACAAGCUGUAGAGACAGCAUCAACCCAAAAGAUUUUUGAAACAUGCAUUUGAAACGAUAAAGCACGGGCAGUUUCAAGUAAAUGCCUAUUUUUCCGCUCUGCAACACCAUUUUGAGAUGGAGUGUCAGCACAGGAAGAUUGAUGAAUAAUGCCAUUUUCACACAAGUAAGAGCCAAGAGAAUGAGAAAAAUAUUCACCCGCAUUAUCAGUACGCAAAGUUUUGAUAGAGACAUUAAAUUGGUUUUUUAUUUCAGUAUGAAAGGCACAAAAAUGAGAUAAUAACUCAGAACGAUUUUUCAUUAAAUAUAACCAAGUUAGACGAGAAUGAUCGUCAACAAAAGUAACAAAAUAACGAAAGCCUGUUUGAGAUACAACUGGACACGGACCCCAAAUAUCAGAAUGAACUAACUCAAAUGGAGCAAUUGCUCGUUUAUCGACUCGAGGACUCGAACUAAGACGAUGAAAUUUCGCAAAUUGACACGAAUCACAAUUUAAAGAGGACAAAGACCUAAAUUCUGGAUAAAGUUUCUUCAACACAAACAAAGAUGGAUGACCUAAACGACAAUGGACUUCAAAAGGAGAGGGAACGACAGGACACGCCACAGCUUGCGAUACUUGAUGAUCAAAGAAAUAAAGGCCUCCUGACUCAUAUCCUCUACCAAUAAUCUUCUUCGUCACACGAUCCUGAAACAAGCAAUAACCAGAAAAGAACAUGACAACACAAUUUAGGUCAUGAGUAAGUUGACUAGUAGAAAUUAAAUUAAAGGAUAAGUUAGGCAAAUGUAACACAGAAGAGAGAGAAAAGGAUGGGGUAAGGUGAAUAGUGCCAGAGCCAAGAACAGAAGAUGUGGAGCCAUCGGCCAAUGUAACAGAUGGGAAAGGGGCAGGGGACAACGGUCUAGAAAAUAGGUGAGAAUUACCUGUCAUAUGAGCUGUGGCACCAGAGUCUAUGACCCAUUUGGUAGAUGAUGUAAGAAGACACUUUAUAUUACCUGGGGCAACAGUGGAUGCAAUCGGAGUAGAGGAAGAUGACGCUUGUAAUGACUCUUGGUAAUUCUGAAACUUAGCAAACUCAUCUGCAGAAAUAGUAACUGACGCCUCUGGUAUAUCGCAUGUGGAGGCUAUCUGAGCAUGUUGAGAUCGUUGACUAUUCUUAUAUAGCAAUUUCCGACAAUCACGUUUCAUAUGGCCUGGCUUACGACAGUAGUUACAAACAAUCUCUACAGACUCUGGUUUUCGAUGAUCAGUACUAUUCCUCUGAGGUGCCCGAGGGUUAUUGUUCUUGCUAAAGAGAGCACUACUGGGUUGAGGAAUAGACACACUAGUCGGAGAGCUUUCAAUGCGAAGGACUCGAGUGAAGGCAUCAUCUAAUGAUGGAAUCUUGGAGUCAGAGAGAAUCUGUGUCUUUGCCAUUCCAAAUUCAGGUAAGAGUCCAUUCAGAAAAAUCAUAACAGCCAUCUUCUCUCGUUGAACUUGUUGAACUUUAACAUCAGGACUAAAAGGUAACAACAAGCCAAGCUCGGCAAUGAUCUUCUUAAGCCGCAUAAAGUAGCUGGUGACAGACUCAGCUUUCUGUUCCGCACGAAAAAAUUGCAUACAAACUUCAAACAUUCUAUGCACUUGCUCUUUACCUGAGUAUAGAAAAUCCAAAAAUUCCAAAAGUUCUUUAACAGACUCACAGUGAUCAACCAAUCCAAUUAUCUCACUCUCAAUUGAAUUCUUGAUCUGAAGAUAUAAACGGGCAUCAUCACGAAGCCAAUCCUUCUUCUGCUUUGCAUCUUUUGGGGAUCUUCAGUCAUAUGAUCAUCCAUAUCAGUACUUCUCAAAUAAAAUAAAAUUGUCCGACGCCAAUCGUAAUAAUUGGAUCCAUUUAACUUAUGUUCUGUGAUCUUAGAGGCCAAGGGAAUAACGUUGGAGACUACCAAAUUUUUUAUGUCGGCCAUAUUGAAGUCACACGUUGAUUGUAGUCCACUCGAACAAAGAGAAAAUCAAUCCAAACAGCUGCAAAAUUGGAAAAAGAGACAAAACCAAUCGUGUAACCUUCGGUUUUCGUCAAACCCGAAUGUUAUUUGAUAGACCCAAUGGUACAGACUGGUAGGAAACAAUGGUUCGAGAUAAGCCAGAAGACAGAAGACAAAUCGGACUUCUCACGCGCUCUCACGCGCCGGCGCGUGGGUGAAGGUGACGAUGAUUCCGGCGGCGCGUGAAGGUCACGCGCGGUGUUUUCCGGCGAUCGGCGAAGACAGACUUGGGCGGACGGAGGUGGUGCUUCUUAUGGUAUGGGCGGUGUCGACAAAUGGUCACCGGAAGGUAACCCAAACUCCAAACCUAAUGGAGGUUGACAAAUGGUCACCGGAAGGUAACCCAAACUCCAAACCUAAUGGAGAGCUCUGAUACCAUGUAAUUUAGAAUUCAGAAACGUAUAUGUCUUAUUCUCAUUGAGUCAAAGCAAUGUUACAUAUUUAUAUAGAGAAUAAACUAAACCCUAGAGACUAAGUAAAAUUACAAUAAAGGACAUAUGUAUAUAUAUAUAUAUAUAUCAUAACAAGUGUUAUUGUAAUUCUGAAAAAUGAGACUUGGAUAGAAAUUGAAUUGGGUUGACAGAACAGACUGACAAACCCCUUGAAACUAAGUAAUUGAAACAAAAUAGAGAUUGAAUGUGAAAUACUUUGUUGUCUUUUGUCUUUUGAAUUGAAACAUAUAUAAUAAUAUUGUUACAAAUAGAAUAACUUCUCAUUAGUUGAAAUAUGCAAUGCAGAGGUUGCACUGUGAGUUGCCAAAUGCAGUUAUUCGUCCAAUAGCCGAAUGCGGGCACCUUCCUCAUGUUGAGAAGCCAAAUCUUGUUGCCAAAUUGAUUACACAAUUUGUUCAUGAAGAUUCCAGAAAAGAGGUUCAGUUUGUUAACAGUGAAUAAUUCUUCUUUGCACAUGCUUACAUUUUCUUCAUUUUAUUAACGAAUUUGCUUCACCCUGCUCAUGGAUUUUCAACCCUGACGUGUGUUCUUCUGAGGGCUGGAAGGUGCUCUACAUGUUUGAAAUCCAAUAAAAUAUGACGUCGUCAAUAUAAACCCAAACAAAAAAUCUGCUCUUGCUUGUUUCCUUUUCCUUAUGAUGGUGGAAAUAAACCCCUCCCUCGAAAUCAAGACAAGUAAUCCUAAGUUGAUGGAUACAUAUAUCUUCGAUCAAGAAGUUCUAUCCGUCUAUGUUAUUAGGUAAAUAAUAUUCUGUCCAUUAGAAUGGUGCACUGUAUUGGGGAAAGGAACCAGAUGAUCUCAUUUUGAUUCUCGGAUUGUUGUGGUCUUGGUGGGGCCUUGGUCUUUCGAAAUUGAUGUUCCUUCUUCAUUGGAUCUUUUAUCCUAAGUUUAUGGUAAAGUUUUAUGGACCAAUUUUGAAUUAUGGGAUUUUUUUCACUUUUUUUUAGAAAAUAAGGGUCCGUUUGGUAACGUUCCAGUUUAUGUUCACUUUUUAAGAAAUAGAAGUGUUUGGUAACGUUUUCUGUUUCUUGUUCUAAAAAAAAUAUAAACGUUUAUCAUUUUAUAAAGAAUUAUUGGGAACAAAAAAAGUAGUGUCACCCGUUUCCGUUUUUCAAUUAUUUCUAUUGGUUUUUUUUUCUCAAUUAUUUCUAUUGGUUUUCUUUUCUUUUUUUCAAUUCUUUUUAUUGAUUUUCUUUUCUUUUUUCUCAGGUUUCAUUUUCCUUUCCAAUUUUUUUUCUAUUUCAUUUCCAUUUUCCAUUUUUCUUUUGUGAUUUCUUUUUUCUUACUCUUAUUUUCAUCUUCUUUCCCAAAUAACCACUUGCCUUUUUCUUCAUUUUAUUUCCAUUGUCUUUUUCAAAUAAUCAUCAUCUUCCUCUUCCUCUCAUUGCCUUUGAUGUCUUCCUCUUCCUCUCAUCAUCUUCCUCUACACGACGCAUUCUUCUUCGUUGGAUUUGGGUUUUUCUCUUCCUCUUUGGGUGAAUUGUGUUUUCGUCGAAUUUGUGGGUUUUUGUCAGAUAUGUGUCUUAAUUGUGAGUUUUUGUCUUCCUCUUUGUCUUGGGUUUUAGUCCUCUUCAUCGUGAGUUUUCGUCUUCCUCUCGUCGACUAUGUUCUUCAUAUCUCAAUCUUCAUCUCAUUCACCAUAAGAUUACAAGAAGACCUUCUCUAAGUUUGAUAAUCUUAUGUUUUAUGUUUAAUGGAUGACAUAUAUUAAUCACACACAUUUUCUAUUUCUAUUUCUUUUUUAAGGAAACCUAAACCUUAAACAGUUAUCAAACACAUUCAUGUUUCUUAUUCUUAAAAAAGAAGGAACAGGGAACAAGAACGUUACCAAAUGGGCUCUAAAAUAUUUCACAUUUUAGCUUCGAUGUUUAGAUUGAUAAAGAUGGUAGUUAAUUGGUAUUAGAUAGUUCAAUAUCAUUAUUAACUUCUUAAAAAUAAAUGGACCAAUUGGUUAACUUGAAAGAAUAACAUACCUAUACCUCUUCUAAUAAAGUUGGAGAUUUGGAUGGCUGUAGAGGACUAAGUUUGUCAAUGAAUUCUAUUAUAAGUUUGUGUUAAAUAAUUUUAAGUAUAAUCGAGUUCAUUCAUAAAGUUAUACAUUUAUUAAGAAAUACAUCUCUCUCCAUUAUUUUUUUUUUCUUUAUAGAACCCUAAACAUACCAACUCAAUCAUAGCAUAAUAGCAUUGACCAAAAGUCAUAGGGAAAAAAAAAUAGUGAUUAGACUACACCUAAUCUCAAUAUUCUUUUAUCCAAAGUAAAAAUGUAAGUAAAAAAGUUUUUACUUUUUCUAUAACGAAAGGUGAUGGUCGGCAAAUUGUUGAGAUGGAAACCUUACUAACCACACACAAUUAUAUAAUAUAUUAAAAAUGAUAAAUAUUACUAACACACAAUUAUGUAAUAUAUUAAAAAUGAAUGAUUUAUUCCUUUGUAAAUGAUAAAAUUAUUAAAAAAAUAUUUAUAAAAUAUAGGAAAGUUUCAUAUUUUAUAAAUGAUAAAAAUAAACUUUUAUCACUGUUAAUAUCAUAUUGAUGAUAUUGCUGAUGUUUGUUCUAGUUUAUUGUAAAUAGAAUGUUAAAUUUGCAUUCCAACCAAAAAUUAAGUCAAAUGUGUUUUAUUUUUCUCCAAUGACUAUUUUCUUUCUUUAGUUAAAUAGAUUAGUGAAAUUGCUUUUUUUCCAUCUUGUCAGAUUGAAUUAAUUAAGAUUCCAAAAACAUUUUUCAAAAUUAAAGUUUCACUGGCCAAUAUGAGUUUAUAAAAAAUUGUUGUCAUACAACAUUUACUCAUUAAAUUCUGGGCAUGAGUCUAUAUAGCAAUCAAACAAAUAGUUGGUAGGUAGUUCAUUAGUCUAUUCACCACACCAAAUGUCAAGUGUUGUUUGGAUGAGUUUAAAAAACUCAAAAUUCUUUUAAAGAUUUAUAUACAUAACCUCAUUAUUAAAGUUGGGUAUCAUGUGUUUUCAUUCCAUUUCUUGUCCCACCCAUGUUGUCAUCCAUUCACCUCAUAAAUAUGGACCUUAUAUAAAUCUUAAAACUAUAUUUACCAUAAUCAAAUUCCCAUAAACUACUUACUUAGAGCAUAUUGAGUAACACAACUCAUACGACUUUAUUAUUAAAUGAAGAAAUUAAUAAUGAACAAAAGAGCAGAAUAAUUGAUUAGUGGGUACAAAGUCCCAUUAAAUUAAGGAAAAUACAGCCUCUAUUAGAUACACAAAAGUGAAAAAUAUCUAAGAGGAUCAGGUUCCAUUCUAGUAGAAAAUCAUACCACCACUCAAUAAGGAAUCAAAUUCUCCACCCUUUUCUUCUUCUUUUCUUUUUCUUUUUUCCUUUCCACAGCAAAGGACAUUAGAAAACAACCUUCCUAGCUUUUCCUUCCAUCCAUCCAUUCAUCCAAACAAAUCAACUAAUGGCCUCCAUCAUGGUUAACCUAACAGAACAUUGACAACCAAAAUGUCACAGUAGCUGUGAAGAAGAACAAGUUAGAGGCUGCUGCAUUGAGACCUGCAGCAGCACUGCCAUCCAUACUGUUCCCGCCCAGACCGACACCGCCUGUUGGGCUUAUCCCAUUCCCGAACACUGAAGGGGAGGUUGUGCCAGGAGUUGUUGUCGACGGUGGUGUUGUUGAUGGGUUUGUUGUGGUUCCUGGUGUCGUGCCGGGAAUGGUGGUUGAUGGAGUGGUUGAUGGGGUGGUGCUAGUCGGGGUACCUGUAAAACUGAAAAGAAAGGGAAAGGAAAAAAGAAAUGAGUGUUUGAAAAUUAUCGAUUGACAUGAAAGCUUAAGUUAACUGGUGACAAUAAAUUUAAUAUUAUAUCAACACUUUCAACACCUCUCUCACAUGUUGAGCUUAGUGAUUUGUAGAAGGUGAUACAAGUGAAAAUAUCAUUGUAGGGGUUUGAACACAAGACAAGUGUGUAACAAUAGAGCUAUUAUCUUGGAGAAAGAAGAGGACAGAGAUGACAAAGAAAAACCAUAUCAACAUCAGACAGCUUGUAUUCUUAGUCUAGCAAGUUGCAACAGUUAGAAGAAGCGGUUUUAGACAUUAUCGAUGAUAUUAAUAGAUCAUAUCUACGGUUUAGAAACUGUGAGAGGGAGACUGCAAAACUAAAAGUUAAUUUGUUAACAGAUUCUACCCAUAAGAUAAUUUUCAUCCAAAGUAAUAUAUUACAAAAACAUUUUCAACAAUUGUAACUUUCCAAGGGGAAAAGAUAUUCAAUAAAGCCAAGCUUGAUCAUUGAGAAAGAAGGGGAAGGGAAUUGGAUUCUUGAUAGAUUUUUUUUUUUUACUUUCUUUUCUUUUCUUACAUCAAGCAGAAGAUUCUCACCAACACCAACUCGAAAAGUAAAAAAAAAAAAAAAAAAAAAAAGACAACUUUGGGUUAAAAAAAGUCAUUGGAAUAUGCCACUUUGAGAAACAAAUUCUCAGUAAAAAAAAAUGGAGAUAUUUGAGGAUUGUUUAAGAGACCAGUGCUUUACUUUUCCUUAAACCUUUUCAAAUUUCAACUCAUCCAAAACAUUGAUUCUCAGGUAGUCUUUGUUUCUUAUUAAACAAAAUAUUCAACUCAAGCCCACUUUCCAUUUUGAACAUUGUUGAACAGAAAAACACAAUCUAAAAAGUUGAAUGUGAGAUCAAUUCUUCAAAAACUGAAAGAGAGUGAAGAAAUUGAAAUGGGUACCUGGGACUGGAAGGAUAAACACACCCAGAAGCUACGGCUGUAAAAGAAAAAACACAAGAAAAACAAGAAAAGACCCAAAAGAAAUGGUAAGUAACAAAAAAAAGAACCAAUUGAUGAAGAAGAUGAGUAAAAAUGGAAAAUAAAAAUCUAAUACCAGGAGGAGAUUGGCUAGGCGAGGCAGUGCCUGAAAAAUCACAACUCCCUUGAACCUGACCCUUUCUUUGAAAAUAGCUAUUAACAGCAUAACUGCAAUGAUCUUUCACAGUAUUGGGUUGAUAACAAGGGCCAUUUUGAAGGAUUGGUGUACAAUCAGCUCCAGCUCCACAAGCAUAAUCCAAACUUUUCUGAAGGGCUUGAUCACUCAGUCCAUCUUUACAAAUGCAAUAAGUAGCACCUAAACAAGAUUCCAGAAAAAGGGUUCAUCAGAUUUUUUUAAAAAAAAAUUAACCCAACAGCUUAUUUUCUAAUUUCCACUGAUUUCUUGAAAACCCUUCAGAGGGUUUCAACGAUUCUUGUGUAAAACCUCAUUUUAAGCUGCAGAAAAACUUCAAAUGGAAGCCAGUAAACAAAACCAAGAAAUGAAAAUGAAGAUUCCAGAAGCUUACUUGAAUGGGAAGUGAAGGCCAAGAAUAUCAGAUAACAGAGCAAGAGAACCGCCAUGGUUGAGGAAAGAUUCUGAGAGAGUACAGAUGAGAGAAGAGAAGAAUUGUGGAUUUAAGAGAAGUGGCAAAACCGGAAAAAAGAGAGAGAAAGAAAAAGAGAAUUAUGGGACAAUGGAGAUUUCUAGUGAGGAAGAGAAUGUAGAGGGCGGUGCCAGUGUGUCUCUAUUCACCUUUUUUUUUCUCUCUUCUAUCCUACUUUUUCAGUUAUGAUAUUUCUAGAUAAUUUUAUACUUCCAAAAGUUAAAACAUUAUUUGUUUCAACAAUGAACUAUUUUGGGUUAAAAGAGUAUAAAAUUUUGCUUACUUUGGACUCUGAAGCCAAAAAUUUUAGGAUUUCAAUUCAUGGGUAUGAGAUUUGAGAAAGUUAUUGCUAUUAUUAUUAUGAUAUAUGUUUUGGGUAAUGAUUGAACCAAAGAAAAUGAGUCUUAUAAAGUUGGGGUUUUGAUUAUUUUGAUUGAUGAUUAAGAGAGGAAGGUUUGGAUUUGGAUCAUUAUCACCCAUUAGUGAAAGGGAAGAGAAGCUUAGGUAUAAAUAAGGAUGCAGCCAAAAUGAUCAAGGUGGCAAAAAUUGACAGCAAAAGUUUGAAAUUUGGGGUUGCUUUGUAGUUACUUUACUUUUCUUGAGAGGUGGUUGAAGUGAUGAAUGGAAUGUGGAAUUUGAUAUUCUCUAGGGAUUGUGAACACACACAUAACAACAUAACUCUAAGAUGCUUUGUAAUUUGUACUUGUUAUAUGUACUAAAGUGAGUAUAUUGAAUUACAUAUCUAUAUAUAAAUCUUCCUAACUCAUUCCUAUAAAAUAUUGUUUGAAACAUAUCUAUAUUUUGAAGGACGAAUAUUUAUCAAUUUGAUCUCUUACGAUGGAUUCAAAUAUAGUAACCAUGCUAAAUAAUAUAAAAUACUCACACACUCUAUAAUGGAUUUCAAUAAUGCCUCGAAAUCUUGAAAAGAUUUAUUUUUUCCCAUUGAACUUUGUGUUUAAAAAAGCUCUCGGUUCGUUAAAAUAAAAUCAAAAUUAAUACAACGAUUACUAUGUGAAAAUUGAUUUUGUAUGUGAAUUUAUGUUCCAUUGUCACAAAGCAUAGGACCAUAAAUUUAAAUCCUUCAUUCUUACCGAUCUUAUGAUUACUAAGACAUUUGCAUGUCAAUUAGAAUAUCAUUAUAGAGUAUUGAGUUUAGGAAGAUGUUUAAUCAAUAAAUAAUAGUAUUUAGUAUAAAUGUAUGUAACUCAACUGACAUAAAUCUUAGUAUUUUAGUCGUAGAUUCUCUCAUCUUACCUAUCGUAAAAAUGAAUAGUAGUAUUUACAAGACACACAAAAGAUAUUUUUAUAAGUUAUCAAGAUGAACAUGAUUCAACUAGCAUACGUAAUAUAUUAUAAAUUUAUUAACGAGUAUAUAAUACUUUAAUCGGUUCUUUGUUCAAUAAUGUACAAAUAUUUUAACUCUAGGUCAAGAGUUUAUGUUCACAGUAGUUGAGUUGUAUUUAGGUCGGAUGAUAUUUUAAAAGUUAAAUAUAUAUUUUUUUAAAAUAUAAUUAAGUUGUUUAUAUUUAUAUCCAAAUUGCAAUUGUCUUAAAAGAAUUAGACUAAUUUAGAUCUAUUUGAUGUCUUAGUAGGAGGAUGAGAAUGAUUUUAUUUUUUAAAUAGUUCGAAAUAAUUUUGUAGUGUUUAAAAUUUGUUUAAACAAAAUUAUGCUUUUAACUUAUAAAAAUUUAAUUUUAAUUAUGGUUUGAAAAUAAUGUUGAGAGGUGUAAAAUCAAAUAUUAUAUUGAUUUUGAAAAUUAUUAAAACCGUAUUUGAAUUAUGUUAUAUAAUUAUUGAUUUGAACUAUUUUCAAUCAACAAACGACUAUUGCAAUUUUUUUAAUUUUAAAAUUGANNNNNNNNNNNNNNNNNNNNNNNNNNNNNNNNNNNNNNNNNNNNNNNNNNNNNNNNNNNNNNNNNNNNNNNNNNNNNNNNNNNNNNNNNNNNNNNNNNNNNNNNNNNNNNNNNNNNNNNNNNNNNNNNNNNNNNNNNNNNNNNNNNNNNNNNNNNNNNNNNNNNNNNNNNNNNNNNNNNNNNNNNNNNNNNNNNNNNNNNNNNNNNNNNNNNNNNNNNNNNNNNNNNNNNNNNNNNNNNNNNNNNNNNNNNNNNNNNNNNNNNNNNNNNNNNNNNNNNNNNNNNNNNNNNNNNNNNNNNNNNNNNNNNNNNNNNNNNNNNNNNNNNNNNNNNNNNNNNNNNNNNNNNNNNNNNNNNNNNNNNNNNNNNNNNNNNNNNNNNNNNNNNNNNNNNNNNNNNNNNNNNNNNNNNNNNNNNNNNNNNNNNNNNNNNNNNNNNNNNNNNNNNNNNNNNNNNNNNNNNNNNNNNNNNNNNNNNNNNNNNNNNNNNNNNNNNNNNNNNUUACUCAAUUCGACAUAUCAAAUUAAUCAAACUAUGAAUUUAGUACGUGAGUUUGAUUUAAAUUUAAAAUAAGGGUUGGAAUAUGGCCAAACCUUAAAAAAAAUUCAAAGUUUUAUUUCCCACUUAAUUUUAUUUGAGGGAAAAAAAAAAAAUUUAAUAUGAUGAUUUUUUUUUAAGUAAAAUUUGGAAUAUAACCAAAAUUUUAAUUUUGAAAUAAGGAUAAGGUUUCUACCGUACCUUAAUUUAUCUUGGGGAUGCAUAAGAAUUUGGAAUGAACAAAAAAAAAAUCAAGUCCUCAAUCUUAGGUAAAGUUGGAUUUAUGGUUCCGAUUUAAAUUCAUGAUAAAAAGGAGAUCAUAUAUGCAAGUUAAUUUAACUUGAAUUUUGGAAUUGAGAAUAUAUAUAUAUAUAUAUAUAUAUAUAUAUAUAUUUAAAAUAUUUAAAAAUUUCAACAUUUUUAAAUAUUUUAAAUAUCUCAAUAAAAGUAAACUUGAGAUUUAUCCAAAAAAAAAGAAAUAAUUUAAAAUAAAAAUAAGAUAAUUGGAUUAUCUUUUCUUUAUAUAUAUAUAUAUUUUUAAAAAUCAUUCCUAUUCCUUUUAGGAAUUGGAUUUGUUUUUUUUUUAAAAAAAAUAAUUAAAUAUCAUUCCUAAUCCUUUUAGGAACUGGAUUUGUUGGGCCUAUAAAUAGACUCAUACCCUACUCACUUAUACCUCAUCCAACGCUUAUUCCUCAUCCAAUCGGCAGAAAGGUAUAGAAAACUUUUCUUCUCCCUUUCUCUUUUUUUUUUUUUUCUUUUUUUUUGUGUGUGUGUUGUUUUUUUAUUCUGUUUUGUUUUUUUUUUUUUUUGUUUGUUUUUUUUUGUGUUGUUUUGUUUUUGUUUUUGUUUUUUUUUUUUUUUUUUUGCAGGAAUGACUUUGUCGAGCUUCUUCUAGGGACGAUCGGGCUUUUGCCGUCAGAUCUAUCGCCCUAGUUGGAGAGAUCGACUCUGUCAUCGUCGGGCUUCGAUCUUCGUUUGCAGAAAUGACUUUGUUGAGCUUCUUCUAGGGACGAUCGGGCUUUUGCCGUCAGAUCUAUUGCCCUAGUUGGAGAGAUCGACUCUGUCAUCGUCGGGCUUCAAUUUUCGUUUGCAGAAAUGACUUUGUUGAGCUUCUUCUAGGGACGAUCGGGCUUUUGCCGUCAGAUCUAUUGCCCUAGUUGGAGAGAUCGACUCUGUCAUCGUCGGGCUUCAAUUUUCGUUUGCAGAAAUGACUUUGUUGAGCUUCUUCUAGGGACGAUCGGGCUUUUGCCGUCAGAUCUAUCGCCCUAGUUGGAGAGAUCGACUCUGUCAUCGUCGGGCUUCAAUCUUCGUUUGCAGAAAUGACUUUGUUGAGCUUCUUCUAGGGACGAUCGGGCUUUUGCCGUCAGAUCUAUCGCCCUAGUUAGGAGAGAUCGACUCUGUCAUCGUCGGGCUUCGAUCUUCGUUUGCAGAAAUGACUUUGUUGAGCUUCUUCUAGGGACGAUCGGGCUUUUGCCGUCAGAUCUAUCGCCCUAGUAGGAGAGAUCGACUCUGUCAUCGUCGGGCUUCAAUCUUCGUUUGCAUAAAUGACUUUGUUGAGCUUCUUCUAGGGACGAUCGGGCUUUUGCCGUCAGAUCUAUCGCCCUAGUAGGAGAGAUCGACUCUGUCAUCGUCGGGCUUCGAUCUUCGUUAUCACCAAUUGAGCUUCUUCGUUUUUUUUUUUUUUUUUCUUCUUCUUCUUAUUCUUCUUUCUUUUUGUUUUUUCUUCUUUUGCUUCUUUCUUUUUUGUUUUCUUCUUCUUCUUCUUUCUUUUGUUUUUUUUUCUUUUCUUCUUUCUUUUGCUUUUUGCUUUUUUUUUUUUUUUUUUUCCUUCUUUCUUCUUCAUCAUUUUCUUCUUUCUUCUUCUUGCUUCUCCCCUUUUUUUUUUCUUUCUUUCUUGGUUGUGGUACUAGGGAGAAGAUGAAGAUGAAUCAUCUAGCUUGCGACACCUUAGAGCUGAUGAAAAUGAAUUCCAUCGGCCGGGUUGUGACACCUGUUAGAUGAUAAAGAUGAAUACUCUCAGCUACGACAUAUAGGAGAAGAUGAAGAUGAAUCCUCUCGGCUAUGACAUAUGGGAGGAGAUGAAGAUGAAUUCUCUUCAGUUGCAGCACUUGGAAGAAGAUGAAGAUGAAUCCUCUCAGCUAUGACAUAUGAGAGAAGAUGAAGAUGAAUCCUCUCGGCUAUGACAUAUGAAAGGAGAUGAAUCCUCUCGACUAUGACAUAUGGGAGGAGAUGAAGAUGAAUCCUAUUCAAUUGCAGCACCUGGGAGAAGAUGAAGAUAAAUCCUCUCGGCUAUGACAUAUGGGAGAAGAUGAAGAUGAAUCCUCUCGGCUAUGACAUAUGAGAGAAGAUGAAUCAUUUUCGAUUGCAGCACCUGGGAGAAGAUGAAGAUGAAUCUUCUCAGCUAUGACAUAUAAGAGAAGAUGAAGAUGAAUCAUCUUUGAUUGUAGCACCUAGAAGAAGAUGAAGGUGAAUCCUUCCGGCUACGACAUAUGAAAGAAGAUGAAGAUGAAUUCUCUUUGGUUGCAACUCCUAAAAGAAGAUGAAAAUGAAUCUUCUUUGGUUGCGACACCUGAAAGAAGAUGAAGGUGAAUCUUCUCGGUUGCGACUCUUAGGAGAAGAUGAAGAUGAAUCUUCUCAGUUGCAAUUCCAAUGAGAAGAUGAAGAUGAAUCCUCUCGGUUGUAGCACCUAGAAGAAGAUGAAGGUGAAUCCUUCCGGCUACGUCAUAUGAAAGAAGAUGAAGAUGAAUCCUCUUUGGUUGCAGCACCUGGAAGAAGAUAAAGAUGAAUCUUCUUUGGUUGCGACACCUGAAAGAAGAUGAAGGUGAAUCUUCUCAGUUGCAAUUCUUAGGAGAAGAUGAAGAUGAAUCCUCUCGGUUGUUACACCUGAGAGAAGAUGAAAAUGAAUCUUCUUGAUUGCGACUCCUAGGUGAAGAUGAAGAUGAAUCAUCUCGGUUGUAACACAUGGAGGAAGACAAAGAUGAAUCCUCUCACUUGCGACACCUUAGAGCAGAUGAAGAUGAAUCAUCUUCGAUUGCAAAACUUAGAAGAAGAUGAAGAUGAAUCCUCUUCGGUUGCAAUAAGCUGAAGAUGAAGCAGAGGUUAAAGCUUUAGCAUUGCAUGCAUCUUCUUCAAGAGGCAGAAACGAUGUUACACUGUCGUUUUCAUCUUGGAGAGGCGAAGGCAGAGCUACCCGAUCGUCGUCCUAUCAAAGUUGUACCAUCGUUAUCCUCUCAAAGAGCUGGAGCUACAGCAUCGAUGAAGCCUUCAAACUUGAAUAUAAGGAAUCAUCAAUGAAACUUUUAUGCUUGAAUUUGAGGGAUCAUUAAUGAUGCCUUUGAGCUUGAUUUUAAGAUUCUUUUUUUUUUCUUUUUUACAUGCACUCAACUUGUACAUAGUCUUUGCACGGAGUUUGUACAUCUUCAAUUUAUUUCAUCUCAUUGUUACUAAAGAUGAACAUCUUGAAUUUAGGGAUUUGCCCCCAAUUUGUUAUGAUUCCUUAGUAGAGAUGAACACCCUUUGAAGAAAAGAAUUAACUCACGACGUAGUUCAAGGUUUUUUUUUUUUUUUAUAAUGGUGGACUGAACUUAAAGUUUUCUUUAAGUUGCCUACGUACCCUUUAUAAUGUAGGGAUCAAGUCAUAACGUAGUUCAACUUUUUUUUUUGCUGGACUGGGCUUAAGGUUUUCCUUAAGCUGCCUACGUACCCUUUAUAAUAUAGGGAUCAAGUCAUAACGUAGUUCAAUUUUUUUUUUGCUGGACUGGGCUUAAGGUUUUCCUUAAGCUGCCUACGUACCCUUUAUAAUAUAGGGAUCAAGUCAUAACGUAGUUCAAUUUUUUUUUUUUUUUUUUUUUUUUUACCUAACAAAAUUAAGCAUAAAAUUUUUUAAGAAAUUUACCAUUGAUUGGGCCAAUUCGUAGUCCGUCUUGAUCAACGAUCUUGUAUGCGCCAUUUGUAUAAACUUCUUUAACAAUGUAAGGUCCAUCCCAUUUAGGUGUGAACUUAUUUCCUGUAUGCCUUGUUGUGAUGAUCGGUCUCCUUACGGCAAGUACUAGAUCACCGACUUGAAAGGAGCGAGGUUUAACGUGUUUAUCAAAAGCUUUGGACAUUCUCGCUUGAUAACAUUCCAAUGCUUGCUGAGCCUCUAAUCGCUUUUCGUCAAGUGCUUCUAAUUCUUGAAGACGUAACUUCACAUUAUCUUCGGUAGUCAAUCCCUCUUGUACUGCCAUUCUUAGUGACGGAAUUUCCCUUUCGAGAGGAAGGACAGCCUCCACACCGUAAACAAGCGAAUAUGGUGUAACCCCUGUAGGGGUGCGAUGAGUCGUCCGAUAAGCCCAUAAUGCCUCGCCGAUCUUUUCUUGCCAAUCCCUCUUUGACUUGGAGACAAUUUUCUUUAAAAGAUUACACAAUGUUUUGUUGAAUGCUUCUGCUAGUCCAUUCGCAGCUGCGUUGUACAUGGAUGACUUAUAUUGCUUGAAUUUGAAUUUUUCACAUAACUUGUCCAUCAUACUAUUGGAGAAUUGCUUUCCAUUAUCCGUCACGAUUCGAUGUGGAAUACCGUAUCGAUAGAUGAUGUGUGUUCGAAUAAAGUCUGCCACGUUCUCCUUCUUGGCUUCUCUCAAUGAAAUGGCCUCAGCCCACCUUGAAAAAUAGUCUGUUGCUGCUAGGAUAUAAGAAUGUCCUGCUGAUGAUUUUGGUGUAAUGGGGCCAACCAGAUCGAGUCCCCAAGCCUCAAAAGGCCAAGAAGCCACAGUUGGAUGAAGAGGUUCUGGAGGUUGGUGUAUGAAGUUUGCAUGGUAUUGACAAGGCUCACACUUCUUCACAUAGUCUAUUGAAUCUUGGAUCAUCUUAGGCCAGUAGUAGCCCAUUCUUCUUAGCUGGAAUUGAAGCUUUGGUCCCGAUUGAUGUGCUCCACAAACACCUGCAUGUACUUCCUUUAGAGCUUUUACCGAAUCUUCCUUUCCGAGACAUCGAAGGAAGAGCCCUUCAAGAGAACGGCGAUAUAAAGUUCCCUUGUAAUAAAUGAAGUGUGCUGCCCUUCUUCGUAUCUCAAUUUUAUGACGAGAAUCCUUUGGAAGCUUUCCAUGUUCAAGAUACUCUAUGAUGGGUUGACGCCAAUCUUCUUCAUCAAUCAAAUAGGAUGUUGCCAUGUUCACUUCCUGACAUUCAGGCCUAACUGGGGGUAUAAUCCAUCGUUGACAAAGUGGUAUGUUCAGAGUUACAUCAUCUGGCAUGGUCAAGGCCGUGGCUAAAUUUGCCAAUGCAUCCGCUCUCUUAUUUUCUACUCUAGGGACAUGUUCUAACAUCACAUUAUCAAACUUUUCCAUCAAUUGUCGAGCAUAAGCAAAAUAUGGCUUCAAGUCUUCAUGUUUCACGUCAUAUUGAAGCGAGAGUUGAUUGAUUAUCAAUUUUGAAUCACCAUAGACCUCUAUGAAUGACACUCCGAUUUCUAAUGCUAUUUGAAGGCCAAUUAUCAAAGCCUGAUAUUCAGCCACAUUGUUUGAACACAAUUCGGAAAGUGCAAAGCUAUAAGGCAACAUAUGCUUCUCAGGAGAAAUGAGGACAAUGCCUGCCCCCGCACCACUUCUUCGAGCUGCACCAUCGAAGUACAUAGUCCAAGGUUCCAUAACUUCUGUGAAGAAAACCUCAUCGUCUGGUAGGUCAUCACAUAACUUCCAAUCCGAAGGAAUUGGGUGGUCUGCUAAAAAGUCUGCUAGCGCUUGUCCUUUUAUCGCCUUUUGGGGAAUAUAGACAAUGUCAUAUUGUUGGAGUAGAACCGCCCAUUUGGCUAAGCGUCCAGAGAUGAUUGGCCUGGAUAGAACAUACUUUAUAGGGUCUGCUUUUGCCACUAGAUGAACCGUGAAGGCCUGCAUAUAAUGCCUCAACUUAUCAAUGGCAAAGAAAAGUGCAAGACACAUCUUUUCGAUAGGAGAAUAGUUAACUUCAGCCCCAAUUAAUGUUCUGCUUAGAUAGUAGAGAGAACGCUCCUUUCCCUUUACCUCUUCUUGUGCCAGUAAUGCUCCUAAGGACCUUUCUUGUGCAGCAAUGUACAAUAUUAGUGGUUUGUCAGGUACUGGAGCUCCCAGCACUGGGGGAGUAAGCAAGUAUUUCUUUAUGCUAUCAAAAGCGUUCUGACAAGCUUCAUCCCACACAAAAUUUUCUCCUUUUCUCAUCAACUUUUGAAAAGGUUGACACCGACCGGCCAAGUUAGAGAUGAACCUUCGGAUGUAAGCCAGUCGUCCUUGGAGACUUCUUAGGUCAUGCAAACUUUUAGGUCUUGACAUCUUCUGAAUGGCAUCAAUCUUGGACUGGUCUAUUUCGAUCCCUCGAUGCCUUACAAUGAAGCCAAGAAAUUUUCCUGAAGUUACACCAAACGCACACUUGAGAGGGUUCAUCCUUAGCUGAUAUUUUCGCAAGCGAUCAAACACGACUUUUAGAUCCUUCAAAUGGUCUUGUCGUCUCUUUGUUUUGACUACAAGAUCAUCAACAUAACAUUCAACAUACCUGUGCAACAUAUCAUCAAACACUUUCUGCAUGGCACGUUGAUAAGUAGCGCCGGCAUUUUUCAAUCCAAAGGGCAUCACCUUGUAACAGUAUAUUCCCUUUGGAGUUCUGAAAGCUGUCAUUUCUUCAUCUGAGAGGGCCAUCCGUAUUUGAUUAUAUCCAGACGACCCAUCCAUAAACGACAACGCCUCGUGUCCAGUAGUUGCAUCAACCAUGAUUUCGGUGAUGGGCAAGGGAAAAUCAUCUUUAGGGCAUGCAUUAUUCAGAUCGCGAAAGUCUACACAAACGCGAAGUUGUCCAUUUUUUUUUCUAACAGGGACAAUGUUUGCUAUCCACGUUGGAUAUUUGACCUCGCGAAUGAAUCCUGCUUCGAUCAACUUGUUGACUUCCACCUCGAUUUGAGGGAUAAGCUCCGGUCGAAAACGUCGUUGUGCUUGUUUAAUCGGUCGAUAUCCAGGUUUAAUUGCAAGAUGAUGGACUGCUACUUUUGGGUCAAGUCCUGGCAUCUCCUUGUACGACCACGCAAAGAUGUCCCUGUAUUCGGUGAGCAAACUCAUAUAUUUAUCCACCUCUUCGUUAGAGAGGGACGCACUAAUGAAAGUCGGACGUGGUUCCUCUAUUGUACCAAGGUUCACCUCUUUUAGCUCGUCUACAGUAGAUUGGCCACCAUCCUCUAAACUUUGUGGGGCAUUUUCUCUCGUCUUCUUCAUGAGUUCCAGUCUCUGAUUCCUCAAUAAUGGUGAUGUGAUGACAUGAAGUUUCACAUUCCCCUUGUUCCGACCCUUCUUUUUCAGGAUUCGUUAGUAUAACAUCAUGUCUUUUUACCUUUAACGAACCUUGACUUGUAUUGAGAGUAACAAAAGUUUUUCUUUUCAUGCGAGAAGGAACGUUGCUAUGAAUUUCUCCAUUUUCCUUUGUCUCGCAAGGAAACUUCUUACUACGAUAAUUAUCGACAUCUGUAUGCUUAAUUCGACGCCAAACUUUCACACGAGACAUUGGUUCCUUCUUCUUUGUAUCUAUGUUGGAAUCAAUGUUGUCGUGUGAUCCUUUAUCCCCGAGAUGAUUAAAAAUCGGAGCACGGGGUGCUUGUACAUUUUUCUUUUUAGACACACCUAGCCUUUCAAAGGCUGAUGGUCUUGUAGUUGUCAAGGCAUGGCAUGUGCUUUCUUCCUUUAUGGGAGUCGUAGUUAGCCUUCGAAAGACCGAAUGUCUCUCAAGGUUUGGUACUGACUGGAGCCUUUCUCUUUCUGCCUCUGUCAUGCUUAGCCUUUCAAAUACUACGGGACGUGCAACAGAUGGUCUAAUUCGAUCAAAUACUGAGAUUCUCUGAUUAUCACCUUCUUUUACGUCAGUAUUGUCAUCCUCCUCUAUAGUUAUAUGAUUGAUGUCAACCACUUUUUCCUUCCCCUUUUUAGUUAUACGGAUCGGUUCUGGCGACUUGUAUCCGAGUCCUUUUCUCGACACGGGUAUAGAAUGUCCUUCCCGUAGAAGCUUCUUUUGAGUUGAGGAGAGCUCAGGUCGGUCAUGAAUUUCCAAGCUUUUAAACUCGGUGUGAGCUGUGAAGUCAUAACCUGCUUUCGCCAUCAAUUUGUAAGCCUUGGGGUCGAAUCCGUCUUUCGUUCGCCUUUGGGGCAAGUUUGCUUCCACCAGAUCUACCUUUACCUCUUGCUUCGCUAUCUUAGUUAGUGGUGUAGUGAAGCUUUCUUUUAUGAUUUCGAUGUCACCAACUUUCAAACCUUUUGGAGACUCCAUGAAUGGUGAUUCGCCUUUCUUGCGCCUUGACAGAGGGACAUAACGCAAAACUGGUGUGUUUGCAGCAUUUUCAUUCUUCAAGAUCAUACCCUUUGUGCUGCUAGUGUAUGCUUCACCCUUUCCAGAGUUAAAGGUUCUCGCACUUUCAUGUGGUUCUGUGGUUGCGAGUGAUUUCAGUUGUGAAUUAUCUUCUUCUUUUGUAAGAGGGGUUUCUGCAGGCGAAACUUCUAAAAUAUUAUUAUUCUUUGAAUAAAACUUUGCAUCUGCGAAGUGAGACUCAGCUUCUGAAAAUGGAUUAGAGUCGGCUUCAACCUUCUUUACACCGUCCUGAUAAAAUUUGAAGCACUGAUGCAGUGUUGAAGUUACUACUCCGUUUCCAUGAAUCCAAGGACGCCCUAGUAACAACUUGUAAGUAGUCCUUGAGUCUAUGACAUGAAACAAUGCACUGGCCUUUAGGUCGCCAAUUAUGAGUUCUAACCGUAUCAUGCCUAUUGCUCUUUGGCUACCUUGGUUAAAACCUUGAAUUACUAGCUUGCUAUUUGAGAGCUCGUCCAUCAAGAUGCCUAAUUGCCACAUAGUCGACUUUGGCAUUAUGUUGACAGCUGAGCCAUUAUCAAUGAGGAUUCGAUCGACUCUCUGUUCUCGAACGUAUCCAGAAACAUACAAAGGUCUAUUAUGAAGUUUAGAUCCCAACAACAAAUCCUCAUCUGAGAAGUCUAUAGACAUACAAUAAGAACCACUCUCAUAUGUCAUAGUCGGAGUACUCGAACUUGAUGCUCUUGAAUUUAGCAAUGCAUCAAUAAGGAUGGUUUUGGUCUCUUGAGGAAGUGAUAAUAGAUCCUCUACAUUAAACCUUGAAAGGUCUUUUGAUACUCCCUCUCCUUCUAGUGAUCUUGGAGGGAUUAUUUCUUCCUCCGUUGUGUUGAUAGCAUGACACGCAACGACUUCUGGGUCUUCAUCCUGAUGAUCACAAAGGAAGCUUUUUGGAAGGAAGUCUGCCAAGGUCACUAAGCGUUGAGGUCGAGAGAAAUUCAUGUCUUCAUUAUGUACGAGCUUAAGCUUAUGAGUCUUCUUCUUUUUCUUAUUCUUUUGAGUCUUAUUUCCUCUUCUAUAGUUUUGGUAAGAGCGAGACUCUCUUUGGGUCGGGAUCGACUGUCUUUUCUUUCGGUGGGUCACCACUAUCCACCCUUCAUCGUCUUCUUCGAUUGGUCUUUUCUCUCCUUGAGGAUCCUCGUAUGAGAUUUCCUGAAAGAAUUGGACAACUAUAGGCUCAAAGGUCCCGAACUGGACCAAGCUUUUCCUUUGCUCAAAAAUCAAUCUCGACGAAGAAGCCUCAGACAUUAUCGUCACUUCAGCGUGGUUUGUUUGAGCUACUUCCUCCAAAUCUAGCUCAAUCCUUUUCUCACGAGCCAACCUUAGAAUUAGCUCCUUCAGCACGAAGCAUUUCUCUACUGGAUGACUGAUGACCCGAUGAUACUUGCAGUAAUUGGGAUCAUCUACCUUUCCUGCUUGCUCAGGUCGUUUACAUUCUGGCAGCUGGAUCAGCUGCUUCUCUAGUAGUUGCUCUAGCAUGUCAGCGAUAUCUGAAUCAGGAAAUGGGUAAACUUUUUCCUGUCUUUCUUUUAAAGUCAGACGUCGCCUUUCGCUUCCAUCAUCCUUCUUUUCAACCCUCGCUUCCUUUCCUUUGGAGAAUUUCAGCGGGGUUGUGUUUACGACCAUAGAUUCUUUCGCGGUGCUUUUCACUAUCUUUUCAGCACCUUUCAUCUCUUUCUUAUCUUUCUUUACUUCAGGAACAAGAAAAUCUUUAGUUCCUCUAGUGGCGAUGCUCAACUCCAUAUCAUGAGCUCGAGUUGCCAGUUCUUCAAAUGUGCGCGGGCUUUAUUCCCUGCAAAAUGUAGAGGAGUCCCCAGUGCAUGCCUUGGGUGCACAUUUCUACAGCCGACAGUUCGGUGAGCCGAUCUUUACAGUCAAGACUUAGAGCUCUCCAUCUAUUGAUGUAGUCGAUGACUGGUUCUCCCUUUCUUUGUUUCGUAUUUGUAAGCUCCAUCAUGCUUACAGUACGCCUGGUGCUGUAGAAGCGAUUGAGAAACUCCUUUUCUAGUUGUUCCCAACUCUCAAUGCUUUCUGGCUCCAGAUCAGUAUACCAUUCAAAAGCAUUUCCUUUCAAGCUUCGAACAAAUUGUCUGACUAGUUGAUCUCCUCUUGAUCCUGCAUUCUCACAUGUUUCGACGAAGUGAGCAACGUGCUGUUUUGGAUUGCCCUUUCCGUCAAACUGCUGGAAUUUUGGAGGCUGAUAUCCAAGCGGCAUUCUCAAGUUGUCGAUUCUUUUGGUGUAUGGUUUAGAGUACAUGAAAGAAGUCUGAGAUGGGCCUCCAUAUUGUGCUCUGAUGGAGCUUGUGAUCAUAUCUUGUAAUUGUUGAACCGAGAGAGAAGCCACAGAAGUUGAUUGUUGUUGUGGCUGAUUUUCUUGUACCACGUUCUUCCCUUUGUCAUCAACUUUAACGACAGGAGUUUGACUCGAUUCAGCAGUUUCACGAGUCUGCAUCUGCUCCUUUAAAGCUGCAAUUUCGUGGUCUCGUUCAUCAACAACCUUCAUCAGGAGAUUAAUUUUUCUCUCCAUCUCCGCCAUGGCAGUCUCGACUGCUACAUCAGCCAUCAUGACGGACAUCACAUCUGGGUGUGCUUCUUUCAGUGACCUGCUAGAGGCAGAAUCAUAAUCAUUAUAUAGAGGAUUUUCCUUGAUGACAAUUCCAGCUUUAGGAGAUUCCAUCAAUUGCUUCAGGAUGCUCUGCGCGAUAGCGGAACCUUGGUCUUGCCCAUGGAUGAUCCCCUUGGAACGACUACGGGUGAUAGGUCCCGUGUAGGUGUCGCUUGCAGCUGAAGAUUUGGAUGCAGCUUUCUUUGAUGCCAUUGGUUUGCUUGUAGAUGUAGAUGAUGAGAGAGAGAUGAGAGGUAGAGAUGGUCCCACUGGGCGUGCCAAUUUGUUCGCACGAGAUUUCCGGAGAAAUUUAAUUCGUGGACUUGAACUUGGGUUGAUGUUGUAUUUUUGUUGAUUUGAUGCGAUGCGGUUCAAUCUCUAGAAUUUGAUCCUCUGAUUCUCUCUCAACUGUAUGUCUACGCUUGAUUUGGGGGAAGCGGAGCACGUGAUGUUCUUGAAGUUUGUUGAACGUCUACGCUUGAUUUUGGAGAAGCGGAGCACGUGAUGUUCUUGAAGUUUGUUGAACGUCUACGCUUGAUUUGGAGAAGCGGAGCACGUGAUUUUCUUCAAGUUGGUUGAAUGCUUACGCUUGAUUUGAGGAAGCGGAGCACGUGAUGUUCUUGAAGUUUGUUGAACGUCUACGCUUGAUUUGGAGAAGCGGAGCACGUGAUGUUCUUGAAGUUUGUUGAACGUCUACGCUUGAUUUGGAGAAGCGGAGCACGUGAUGUUCUUGAAGUUUGUUGAACGUCUACGCUUGAUUUGGAGAAGCGGAGCACGUGAUUUUCUUCAAGUUGGUUGAAUGCUUACGCUUGAUUUGAGGAAGCAGAGCACGUGAUGUUCUUGAAGCUUGUUGAACGUCUACGCUUGAUUUGGAGAAGCGGAGCACGUGAUGUUCUUCAAGUUGGUUGAAUGCUUACGCUUGAUUUGAGGAAGCGGAGCACGUGAUGUUCUUGAAGUUGGAGUCUUGGGAGAAAGUUUGUAUCUUCAAAACAGCUUCAAUCUUCGAGGGUGGUCAACUUCAGAAGUUAGGGAGUCUUCUAGCUUUUGGAAGAAUUCUCUUCUAGCUUUUGGAAGAAUUCUCUCUGGAUCUUCUAGAGUCAAAAUUUUCCAACCUCUACAAAUGAGAAGAAUUCCUCUAUUUAUAGAGUUUACUGGUGGGCUUUAUGGGUUUGAAUCUGGUUGGUCCAUGGACCAGACCCAUGGGCUCAACCAUAUGGACUUAGGUUAUAUUUAGUCUUUGGGCUCAAUUAAGCUUUUUUUUUUUUUGGCUUAAUUGAACUUAGUCCAAGUAAAUAAUAUUUAAUUGAACUAAAAUGAUUAACUUAAUCCAACGAUUAAUAUGAAAACAUGUGGCAUUCUUAGAAUGACCAAUUUAUUUAUUUUAACUCUUUAAUUUGGAGCAUGUGUCAAUUUUAAUUAGUCCCAAAUUUAAUUAUUUGUAUUUUUCAUCAUUAACUUAAUAAAUGAUGUGGCAACUUGUGAUUGGUCUCAAAAUUUCUUAUUCAACACCCAUUAAUUUCAUUUGGAUUAUGAUGUAAUUAGACAAGGGCAGAAACGAUCAAUCAUUUCAAAGAAACAACAAAGAAUUAGGUAACGACAGACCCGUAUGGACCAGAAAAGAAAAAUAAAAUAAAAAUCUUUAUUAAUUUUUAUUUUCUCAAGUAAAAUCACAUCAUGAUCAAUGGUAAGUACAUGCAGUAAUAAAAAUUUAAAAAACAAAAUUGGUUUUUUUUUUUUAAAGAAAAAGAAUACGUAACAUUCCAUUUGAUGAAGCACAUCGAACAAGUAACGCCAACCAUUCAAAUUUUAAAUGUAAUCAAGAAGCAUUAUUAUUCUUAUCGUUAAUUUUGAUUCACCACAAAAAAAAAAAAUAAAAACUAAUAAUUAUUUAACGAAAGGAAAAUGGGCAUUCCCGCCGCAAUAACGGCGAUUGGAAAGACAAGUUACCAAAAACUGCAAAACAGUCCCUAUAUUUUAAUGCAUUCACAUUGAAUAGCCCCCUGCUUCAAUCCAAUUUACAAAACUACCUCCACAAAUUUACAGAAUGGGGGAAGUUCAACCGGAUGCACUAUGAUCACUCCCAUCUCUCUCUGUUUUACCAGAACCACAUGAAAUUAUUGGAAUAUAGUUCGUUCAAUUAACUUUCUAUUCAAUAAUCGCAACAAAUAGAAAGAGAAAAUUGAAUAUUAUAUAUAUGGAUUUAUUUGAGAACUCACGGAGUAAUGAUCUCAGGCGGUUUGUCCAGGGGCUCACCGCUGGAACUGGAAGAGAGAGAAGGAUUAGAAGGGAGAGGAAGAGGAGCGUCUGAUAAUCCAGCGGAGUCUUCGAUGAGUGGAGUAGUAGUUGUAGUAGUAGUAGUAGUAGUGGUAGUGGAGGUUGGAGGGAAAUCGGAGUGGAUCCGGUGAGAGUGAGGGAAUCGAGAAGGUUGAGGUUGAAGAGAGUGGAAAUUCCAACCGAAUUCGGUGAGGAUGGUGGAAUCGGAAUCGGGAGGGAAGAAGAAAAAGAGCGUCGGAGGGGGAAGUAGAGGAGGAAUCGGCAGUGGAGAAAAGAGGAUGAGGAGGAGGAGGAGGAGGAGGAGAAUCGGCCAUUAAUGGAAGAGGAAGGAAGAAGUGAGAGAGAGAGAGAGAGAGAGAAAGGAGAGGGGAAUUAAUGAAUUAAUUAAAGAGAGAAUUAGGGUUUGAGAAGAGAAAGGGGAAAUGGAGUGUACGUUGAAGAAAGAAAAAGAAGAAGAAGAAGAAAUGGAAAGGACGCGUAAUUUUUUCUUUUUCUUUUUUCUUUUGGUUUUGGGUUUUUGAACUUUUUGAAAGGUUUUGGAAAGCAAUGUCCCGUCAAUAUACAGUUGCGAUUGAGAGAAACGUAGAAGGAGGAAGGGAAAAAUAAAAAGUAAAUUUUAAAUUUAAAAAAUAGAAAGAAAAAAAAAAGCCUCAACUUCUUAAGAAGAACUAAGUCAUGGACGGAGGGUGGCUCCCCACGCGCCCAUCUAUUCAAUUUUACAAAUAUUCAUUAUUACGUUUAUUUUUUGUUUUAAUCCUUAACUCUUAUUUCAACUCAUUUUUCCUUUUUUUCAAAAAAUAAAAAAUAUAUAUUAUGUUUCUUUAUAAAUUUUUUUAAACUAAAUUUAUAAAUACACCUCGUUAAUUGUUGAUGAUUAAACACUACAAAUAAAAUGAUAUUUGAUUUUUAAAAUUUAAUAUUUUGUCUUAUAAUUUUAAUUAAAAAUUUGUGUGCUUAUGUUCGUUGAAAUUGGUGAAAGUAUAUCGUGAUAGAAAAUUUUAGAAGAAAUUACGAAGAUAAAUUACAAACACAUAAAACUAAAAACGAGAUUGUUAAUUAGUGAAUAGAGUCCUAAGAGUUUAUUUCUUUUAUGAAAAUUGGAAUAUCUAGCACGUGUGACAAUGACUCGGAAAGAUAUGACAAUAUUUUUGUUUCAAUUUCAAUCUUGGUCAUUAGUUGUUGUAGCCUUCCAAAUAAUCUCUAACUUUUGUAAUAGUCCAAUAGAACCAAACAUUAUAUUACAGCCUUUACAAGAAUUACAAGUAUUUUUGUAGUUUGGACUCUAUCUCUUAGUAAAACAUUUAAAUUCUCAUCCAAAUUUAAAAAUACAUAAAAAAGAAAAAGUUUAUAAAAACUAUAUUUUUAGUUUUCAAACAUUUAAAUUACUAGAUAGCAAAAUAAACAAAUUGAGGAGUGAAAGCAAAGUUUAAUAAUCUUUAACUUUUAAAAAAUUAAAAUUUAUAAAUCAAACAACAAUUUAUAAUUGAAAAAUAAGUUCAAAUGUUUAAUGUUAAUUGUAACUGAAGGGUUAUGAAUUAAGUUUUGGUUUAAUUUAUGUUUUAAAACGUGGAGAUUAAAAAAAAUUAGAGGAAAAGUUUAGUAUUAAAAUUUGAAAUUUAAGAAGGGAAAGAAAAGGAAUGAUAGUUAGAAAAAUGACCGUAAAAAGGGUAAAAUGAAGGCACUUUCCGACGAAAAGGAAGGCCAUGUUUUUCUGUACCAUCACCUAAAUUCUCCUUUUCUUUUUCUUUUUAUUUCUUUUUUGAUCUCUAAGUUAUUGUUUUUAUUUUAUUUAUUUAUUUUACACAAAACUUCCAAUCUCUCUUCUUCUUUUUCUCUCUCAUUGUAUUUAAUUUUACUGAAUGCAAUGUUUCCCUUUUUUUGUAUUAUCUAUAAACCAAUCAUUUCAUAUCUAAAAUGGAAAAAGAAAUUAAAAACACUUUUCAAAAACAAAUAAUAAUAAUGAAAAUGGAAAGAUCAAAUAAAAUAAAAUAAAAUAAGAAAGCUACUUUUUUAAAAUUUUGUAAAAAUAUAAAAGAAAAAACAAAAUGAAAGUUUGUUUGGUUUAACGGACGAUCUUGUUUUUCUGUUUGUGAUUUUUGAGCAAUAAUUUAGGUCAAUUUGUAUGUUUUAAUUAGUUGAAAUUAAUGAGUUUAGGUAUAGAUUUAAUUGAUUAGUAAUAAUACUAAUAAUGAUCUAAUGAAGUAGUAUGAUAGAUAUGCACAUAAAUGAAAAUGGAUCUCGAAAAUCUCGAAAGUAGAAUUUUAGUAUAAGCGCAUAUUCCGAUGGUAGUUCAAACGUACUGUUCAAGGGUUACUUAAUUAAUUAAACUUUCUUAUCAAAGUAGCGAUCUAACUCAUUUGAUAAGAAAAUGCAUCCAAUGUAUAGAAUUGUGCAAACCAACUACGCAAGAUCUUGAUUGAAACCCUAGUCGAUGGCGACAUGAUGGCCCUAUUGGAUGGUGACCAUCCGUGUGAGUGCUAGCACAUCCCUCUUUUGAAUGGCACGAUGUUGACACAUUGCCGCCUCAAAGAAAAAGGCUAUACAUAACCCUAUAAAAGCAUCUAAUGCAACCUUUAUUCACAUGUAUUACACAUACUAGCUAUCGUUAUGAUUGUACUCGUUUGUUAUUCACUCUCCCCAAAUUUCACUUUAAGUUGUUUACUCGCGUUAAUUAGAAUAGCUAUAAUGUUAAAUUUUGUUGAGUUUUGAUAUUUUCAUUUACACGAUCACAUUUACUCCAAUUACGUCUAUUUUAGGGUUAGCUAUACCGUAUCUACAUAAUAUACGUGUGAAGAUUUAUCAUACUUAUUCUCCUAAAACAAGAAACAAGGUAUAUGGAAUAUUAUUAUUAUCAUAAAUAUUGGAGAAGGAAUUUAAGAAUUUAUACCCAAACUCACUUUGUUGUUUUAAUUAUUUUAAUUUUUUUUCCCCUUUCCCUAUUAGAAGCUAUAUUGCAUUUAGUAUCUCUAUUAUUUAUGGGAUUAUUAUAAUUUUAAGUUAAAGUAGCUAUCUCAAUACCACUAUUAGUAAAUAGCUCAUUACUAUUACACAUACAUUUAUAUAUAUUUAUUAUAAUCUAGAAAUGAAAGUGAAAUACUAAUUAUUAUAAAGUUUUAAAGGAUUACAUUUAGCAUGCAUCUAUGUAAUUACAAGUAGUUAUGUAAUGCAUGCACAUAUUGAAUAUAUUCUAAAUUUGUACGUGGAGAUCAAAUUCUAAUUAAUUAUGUUCUUUUAAUUUUAUUUUAACAAUAUGCAGAUGAAAACAUUCGAAUUUAUAAUCUCUCUUGAUCGAUAAUUUUAGAUUUUAUAAUAGUUUAGCGUUUCAAUGUCUGCACGAAUUGAGAUAUAUCCAGGUGCACUCAACUGACCUAUCGUAUAUUUUUCGAAAAAAAUAUAUGUAUAAAUUGAGAGGUUUGAUUCUAAAUGUUUUUAAAUUCAAAAUGAUAAGAAUCUAAUUUGUAACUCGAACCAUAGCUACAUUUUGGCCUAUGUACACACCUUAUUUUAUACGAUAAUUUAUUUUAGAUUUCACUAAUUAUUACGUGAAAGAGAUUAUUUUUGCAAGAUUUUUAUAGCGUUUGUUUAGAAAAACGUAAGAAUCUAAGUUAUUGGAUUGGUUUUUUAUAUUCUUCUAUUUACUUACAUUAGUGAUAUCAAUUUGGAAGGAAUUGGUGUCAGCAACAAAACAUUAUUUGUAUGAUAUAAUUGAUUUUUGGGAGAUUAAUUUCCUUAUAUUCAACACAUUCUUUUGUAGAAGCUUAGCGGAGAAAUUGCAUAGUUAUGUAAUUAAUUAUGAUACAACUAAUUAAAACCUUACGCAAAUUGCACAUAAUCUCUCAAAUAUAUAAGAGAAGAAUAUUAUUGAAUCUUAGCACUUAUGGAAAGGGAUUUGAUCAAUACCAAUUCCAACCCCAAUUUCAUGUCAUCAAUACUAUAAAAUUAUGGACUUUAAUGUCAGUUCAAAACUGACACUAAAAUUUUCUUUAUCAAAAUUUAAACUAUUAUUCCAACCCUAGAAUGAUUUCAUGUCAUCUACUUUUGUUUUUUUUUUUUUUUAAUUAAUUGAUUACAUAAAGAAAAUGCAAAGUAAUGUUUAUUAUUAUUAUUAUUAUUAUUAUCAUUCAUAUAAGCAAUUAAUUAAUUAGACGGUUACCAACUUGAAGUAUUAUUUUGGAAGUAGGUUUUUAAUAAUUUGAUGGGCGUUGGGUGAUGAGGAGUACUAUAGUAUAGUGUGUCCUCCCAAUUUUAAUGCCCUAAACCUAAGCAUAUAUUUAAUUAUGCUAUUAAAAUUUCUAAUCACAAUCCAUUUUAUUUUAUUUUUAUGCUCUAUGGGCCUAUAUAUUUUCAAUGAUAUAUAUAACAAUAUUCACUUUUCGCGGGUCACAUCCUAUCAACCUAUCUUAUGGUUGUGUGAUUGUACGAUAACUCAUAUUCAUUGUAUUAAUUAAAAAGUUUAAUUAACAUAGUUUGAUGUAGUACUUAGGGAUAUGAACGCAUAUGGUUAGACAUAAUAGCUAAUUUAAAUCCUCAACUUUUCUUAUUUUUUAGAUAUAUAUAACAUUUAAAAAAAAAUUAAAGGUCAAGUUUUUUAAUCGUUUUGUUUCUAAAAUGAAACCUAUAUAAACCUCUUUUAUCUUUAGGGUGGAUGAGUUUGGUAAUAGAAUUUAGGCUUUUAAAAUAGUGUAAUUCAAAACUCAGGUUUGGAUUGAACGUUUUGGGUCUGGUUUAUAAUACCCAAACCAAUUUUGUUUUCACAUUUCUGAACUCGCGCCCUCUUUUUCCACCAUUUUCACGUUGCACGAUCUCAUUUUCUUUCCGCCCUCAUUUAUUCCUCAUCCAUUCUAACGCCCAUCAAGUUCUUAGAAUUCUUGAUUAAAUCUCAUGCUUUGUUGUCUAUUUUUUACCAAAAUGGUGACGUGUAAAACUAUUCAUCUUAAUUCACUUAUUACUUAAAAAAAUCCUAAUUCACUUCCAAUUAUUUCUCCUUAGGAUAUAUAUUUUCAAAUGUUUUAAAAAUGGGAAUUUAUACAUUGGAGUUUUACUUGAAUGCCCCUUUUGUAUGCAUAAAUUUAGGAUGACAGGGAAAGGGUAAAAAGGUAAUUUUGAAGCUAUUGAUCUAUAGAUGUGGUUGCAAAUGAAGAGGUUCUCUAUUAUUCCAAAACUCCUUUUUAGGGAAAUUUAAUUUAAGCUAAUUUAGAGGGUCUUGUUUUAGUAAUGAAGAAAGAGUACUAAACCUAACAAGUAGGUUUGGUAUUAUUUUUUUUUUGUUGAUAUCCAACUUCCCAUUUAUAAAAUUUUAGAUUACACACAACAUAUAUAUAUAUAUAUACCUAAAAAUAUCAACAACAUAAAGUGAUUAUAAUUUAAAGUACUAUAAAAAGCUUAACAAACAUGACCCUCAUCCGUGUUUUUGCAUCCGCAAUUUAAAACAUAAUCAAUCAAUAAAAAUAGAAUAAUUUUAUAAUUCAUCGUGUUUACCACACUUUAAUUACAAUGCAUGGGAAUCAAACAUUCGUACCUUCAAUCUUCAAUUAUAUAUUUUUUAUCGGAGUGAAAAUGAUAGACCGAACAAAUAUUAAUCAAGUUGAUUAAUCAAAACCGAUUUAACUAAGGGUAGUUGGUUGAAAUUGAUUUAAAGAUUUACUAGAUCAAUCUUAGUAAAUUCAUUAGUGAUUUCGUUAAAAUCCAACUUGUACCAACAAUGCUUACUCCAAAAUUUACUAAAUUUCGUUUACUAUAUUACAAAAAUAUAAUUUCAAAAUAAAAAUAAAUAAAUUAUUACAUUAUCUUAUUUUGUCAAUUAAUUACAAUAUUAGUUCAUUUUGAAUUUUUUUUUUGUCUAUUUUAAAAGUAUUCAUAAUAAAAUUAUGCUUUUUGUCAAAAUUGAAAAUUGAAUUAUUGAGUGAGUGUGUUUUAUAUUCUUAAUUUUAAGUUAAUUAAACAUUAUCCUUUUUUUUUCAAAGUAUAAGAUUUUGAAUAAAUAAAAAUGAAAAAGUGACAUUUUUAAUUCUUAGAACUGAAUAUUAUUUCUUAGAUUCUCUUUUUUUUUAAAUUAACUUUAAAAUUAAAAUAUAAAAAAUAUUUCAUACUACCUAAGCUUAAAAAGAAAAGAAAAAGAAAAGAAAAAGAGAAACAAUAUCAAACAAUUAUUAACAAUUAAAACUAACUAUCUAAAAUUAAUCAAAUCAACUAUUAAUCACAAAAUUAUAGUCUCAUACAUGUGAUGAAACAUACAUUCAACCAAUUCAUAUUUGUUCUAAAAUUUAGAGAAUCGUUGAAACGAGAGAUUAUUUGAUUAUUCGAUUCUUCGACGUUUAAAUAAAAAAAUUAAAUCAAAUAUAUCAAAAUAGAUAAAUUGGUUAAUAAUCUAAUACUUGAAAUGUCAAUAUAUAUGAUUUAAAAAAAAGAAGAAGAAGAAGAAGAAAUUGGUGAAAGAAAAUAGAAAGGAAAGGAAGGGAUUGUGAUCACGUGGUUGAUUGAAGGGAAUAUUUAGAAAAAGGAAAGAGAGAAAGGGGAACUAAUCAGAAUCUUUCUUCUUUCUUCUUUUCCUUUUAAUUAAUAAGCUAACUUGAUUCUAAAGCAAAAAUCUCAUUUUCACCCCCACACCCCUAUACUAUUUCCUUUUUACAUUACCAACCCAACCAACCUUUUCUUUCUUUCUUUUUCUUUUUUCUUUUUCUUCCAUUAUCACCUUUUAUAUAUAAUUUAUCUUUUUUUUGUACGAAGUAUAUAAAAUUAAAAAAAUAGAUCAUUCUAUAUGCGGAUUAACAUCUUACUCUUACUCCUUUCUCUUCUGUUAAGUACUCUCUAUUCUUUAUCGCUCUUUGCUCAGUAGUGAUGAGAAUCGAGAGCCUUCCGCACACAUGCAUGAUAAGGUGGUUUUGGAAAAAAAAAUCUCAAAAGUGGGGUAAAUUUCAUUAUCUGGAUAUGAAAUGUGGAUCAACGGUGAUUAUUUGCCUUUUCAAACUUACACAAUCCUAAAACUUUUAAAUAAAGUGUAUGGGUUGUUUAUUGAAGAAACUUUUUCUCUCAUGACUUUACAAUCUACACGAUUGUUGGAUUCCCUUGAAAAAAACAUACCUAAUUGGCUAAUUUCAAUAUCAAGUUGUCCCCUCUUUACCUAAAAAUCCACCGUAUGAUGUAUGAACUAAUUUCCUUUUUCCAUUUUUACCCAAACAACGCCACAUCCUUAAAUCUCUUACAAUCUUAUCAAAAUAGAAUCGUUAGCUUAGUUACGUUAAUCAAAAUUUCUCAUCCUCAAAAUUCACUUACCCACAAUCAAACAACAUAAAAUUUAAAAAAGUUGCAAUAAUAGAAAGAAAAAAAACCAUAGAGAUAAAAACGAUAGACGACCAAAAAAACAUAGCCGAGCAACAUCGAAGUCGAUUUGGGUUGAAAAACAAGAGGGUUUGGUUUCGGAAAGCUUUAAAUCAAGAAUUUUUCAAAAGUAUUUUUAAGUGUUAAACCGAUUAAUAACCGACUUUUAUCGACAGUGAUCAUCCCUAGUAAUUAAUGUGAUAUCUAUUAUAUACUCGAUGGAUGGAUGGAGGAAGGUUAAGAUGACGUAUUAGUGUAUAUUAGAAAUUGUUUUUCACUUUUUGGUGGGUCGUACGAGCAUUUGAAGGACACGUGUUAGAAGAUGAAGGAGUACCCCACAUUGUCAAUUCAAGAGAUUUUUGGAGAUUUCAACUUUUUGGUAAGUGGAGGGAAAGCCCAUUGCCCACACACAAAAUAUCUUUACUUGCUUCCUUAUCAUCUUCAUUACUUUCUUUCUUUUCUUUUCUCUUUUUAAUUUAGCUAAUCAAAUCUUAAGAUAACAUAUUUAGUUGGUUAUAUUGGUCAUUAUUAGUCCUAAUUUUAAUUAAUUAACUUCUCAUAAGUGUGAAUAAAUUAAUUAUACCUUUGUGUAUGGUUGAAAGGUCUGUCAAUAUUGGAAAUGAUAUCUCAAGACUUCCUUUUUUUACUAAAUAAAGUGAAGCCUUAGUUUUCAUAAUUCACUUAAUUUUGGUUUCAUUUGUGUGGUAAUUUAAUCAUCUCUAUCCCAAACAAACACACUCCAUCAUGUCAUUAACAAAAAAAAAAAAAAAUCUAAAUUUAAUACGAAAUUUCACAAAUAUCCUAAAUUAAAAUUUAUUAUUUUAAUUAGAAUUUGGUAUAUUUUUAGAACAAUUUUAACCUUAUUUUCAUUAUUUAUUAUAUAUGAUUUUCAAAGUUAAUUUUAAAUUAUUUUCAUAUUCAUGUUAAGCUAAAUGAUAACUUUUUUUAUUUAUGUUAUUAUUAUGGAAAUAGAUAAAUCCUUUUUCUAAUAUGAAAUAAUAUAAUAAUUAAAUAUAAAUUUAUAUAACUAUUUUCAUUACCUUAUAAAAAAAUCUUAGAAAUUUCUUUCCGAGCUGGCAAUGAGUUCUUCAUCUUUUUUUUUUUGUGAUUUGUCACGUAUAUGUUACUGUAUAUAUUCAAUAAUACAUACAUAUAUUCUUUUUUAUGUUUUGUGAUUUUUUUGUGUGUAUAUAUACCAAUAUAUACACAUAUUAUAUAUCCAUUCAAUAUCUUUUUUAUUUAUUAAUAAUUCAUUUAUGUUUUGUGAUUUUUUACAUAUAUACUAUUACAUAUAUUCAAUAAUACACAUUUUCUUUUCAUGUUUUGUGAUUUUUUCUUGCUGCACUUAUAUACCUCUGUAUAUAUAAAUUAUGUGUCCGAUCAAUUUCUUUUUUAUUCUUACAUAUAUAUUUAUGCAUAAUACAUAUAUUUUUUGUGAUUUGUUACAUAUACACUACUUCAUAUAUUCAAUAAAACAUAAAUGAUGUUAUCUUUAGUAUAUUCAAUAUACCCUAAUAUAUUUAGAAUAUGAAAUAUAAAUUCUUAUUAACCUUAAUUUUUUGGUAAAUUUUUUUCGAAAGAUCACUAUACCAGUUAGUAACUGAUGUUCUUCUUCUUCAUCGUUCAUACUUUCACCACUUUUCUAUUAUUCUACGUCUUUUAUAAAGAAAAUGGAAUUAAUAUUCAACAUAUUCGAAGAAUGAAACUUUUACUUUAAAAAAAAAAAUAUAAACCCUAACCCACAUCCCUCAUUGUUCUUCUUGUUGGUUCACCUUCUAUAAACAAAUUGAUAUAACAUUUCAUUUAUAAAGUAUACAUUGUAUUAUUCAAUAUAUACUAUACUUAGGUGGAAUAUAUGAAAAAUAAUGCAAAAUGAAUGAAAGAAUGGAGGAAGUGAGAGAUUGGACAGUGAGAGAAAGAUCUAGAGAAGAUUUUUUAACAAAUUAAAUAACCAAAACAAAAAUAAUUAAGAAUUUUUUAAUUAUAAUAUUACCAUUACAGAAUUAUUGACUUACCAUAUUUACAUAGAAUAUCUAAUAAAUACAAAUAUUAAUCAUAAUCCACUUUCCUUUUUCUUUUUUCUAUUUUUUUAAUAUAUUAAUAAUAAUAAAUAUGAAUAAAUUAGUCAUUUCGAUCUUAUAUUUGUGUAAAAUAUUAGUCAAUUAAGAACAUUUAUAAAAAAAAUUGAGAAAUUUAUGUCAAUCCUAUAAUAUAGUAUACAAUUUUAGACUAUAUGAAUUAAAAACUCAACAAAUAAAAGUGGUAGAUGGACCCUUCUAUCUUGGGCUUUCUACACUUCGGGGUAGGCCCAUUAUCAUAAAUAACGAAGGAAAAUAUUGAGAAAUACUAGCAAUUAGAUUUUAAUUAAUAUAACAACGUAUUAACAAAAUCAAAAUUUUUUGUAAAUAUAGUAAAAUACGUCCAAGUCUAUAACUAAUAGAACAUGUUGCAAAUGUUCAUUUUACUAUAUUUGCAUUUUUUAGAAAAAAUUAUAUACGUCAUUUUUAGUUUUUGCGUUGGUAUGUAUAUAUAUAUACUUGUGUGUUUUCUUUGAAAUAAAUUUUGUGGAUGAAUGAGAUGGAAAAAUUGGAGUGUGGUUCCCACAAGCUACAAAAUCAAAAUGAAAAACCUUCAACCUAAGUUUAAUUUUUUUUAAAUCUUAUUGUAACAAUUGACAAUUGACACUACUUUUAUCGAUGAAUACCAAAAUUGUUAUCAAUGCAUUGAUAUUGAGUAUUGAGAGACAUUGAUAGGGAGUGUUAUAUGAGUGUAAGCUUGAUUAUGAGUCUCCACCUGAUUUUCCUACAGUGAGUAUUGAAUAUAUAGUUUAGAUAGUCAGUAAAUUCUACUACAUGCAUGUAUUUAAUAUCAAACCAUCUAUUUGAUAGGUAUGAAUAUAUAAAAGUAGUAGCAGGAACAUAAAUGAAAUAGAAAGAGUAUCAAAUUAAUUAUCUUAAUUAAUAACAAUAAUCUUUCCAUCUAUUUAACAAACAAUUUUUAAUGCACAAAACCAAUAGGAAAAACAAAGGAUUUGAUUUAACAUGCCUGUGUGUGAGUAAAUUGGAACAAGAAAUUCAUAUAUCUAACUAAUUACAUUUUUAUCAAUUAAUCUCAUCACUAAUCCAUAUAACAUUUCAGUAAUAAUUACACAAUAAGUUUCUCAAAUCUAAUCUUUUUUAGCACUUAUAAUCAAAGAGUGGCCCUUUGUUUCCAUUUUUUCCCUCCAAAUACUAAUCUCUACACUCAACCAUCAAAUACCUAAAGAUCUUAAUAAGAAUAUGAACAAGAACAAAGGUUCUAGGAACUAACCUGCAUUUUGAUUUCACUCCAUAUUUCAAGCAACAGCGGGCAAGUCCUUCAGCCAUGGAUCCAAUGGCUUCCCCACAGAGUAAACUAUGAAACCAAUGCGUCUCAACUUCACGGCAUCGACAAUGUUGCGACCGUCAAACACGAAUGAAGGCCUUUGCAUAUCGUUGUAGAUUCUUUGGAAAUCAAGUUUCUUAAACUCGUCCCAUUCGGUUAGAAAGCAGAGUCCAUGAGCAUCUUUUGUUGCUUCAUAAGCAUCCCAUUCGACGCGAACUUGUUUUAUAGCAGUCGGGCUCAUUGGCUGAAGAUGAGCCGGAUGAUCCCAAUCGAACUUCUCCGUUGAAAGGUCUCUUUCGAUGUGAUCUGCAGAAACUUGUGGAUCAUAUAUGCUUAGAUUUGCCUUUUCGCCUAACAAACCUUUGCACACAUCAAUGGCGGGUGUCUCUCUAGUGUCUCCUGUGUCUUUCUUGAAUGCGAAUCCGAGGAUGGCUAUCUUUUUGCCUGAGGCAGUGUUGAACAUGGAUGAAACCACUCGAUUGACAAAUCGGGACUUUUGGUAGUCGUUUAUUCUGAUGAUAUGUUUCCAGUAGUUUGCUACCUCUGGAAGGCCAUUACAUUCACAAAUAUACACUAGGUUUAAAAUGUCCUUCUGGAAACAAGAACCGCCGAAACCCUACACUCGCAUUCAAGAACUUCGGGCCAAUUCUUGUAUCCGUACCAACCGAAUGCGAUACUUCACUGAUAUCUGCACCAGUUGCCUCACAGAGGGCGGAAAUGGCAUUAACUGAAGAAAUCCUUUGAGCUAAAAAGGCAUUGGCAGCUAGUUUUGAUAGUUCAGCAGACCAUAGAUUAGUACACAGAAUGCUCUCAACAGGCACCCAGUUAGCAUACACAUUUUUUAGUUUUUCUAUCGCCUUUAAUUCCCUCGGGAGUUUCCCGUCCACCUAUAAGAACCCGGUUGGGAGUAAGAAGGUCUUGAAUAGCAGUUCCCUCAGCAAGAAACUCAGGGUUUGAGAGUAUUUGGAAGUUAAUCCCGUCGCUGUUGUGAGUCAAUAUCUUUUCAAUGGCCUCAGCUGUCUUCACAGGGACAGUAGAUUUUUCAACCACAAUCUUGUCCGAUUUCGAAACAUCGGCGAUCAUCCGAGCAGCGCUUUCCCAAUACGUAAGAUCAGCUGCUUUACCAGCUCCAAGGCCCUGAGUUUUAGUUGGUGUAUUGACAGAAACAAAGACUAUAUCAGCCUCACCAACGUGUUUCUCAACAUCACAGCUAAAAAACAAAUUCUUCCCUCUACAUUGUUUCACCACAUCUUCAAGGCCUGGCUCGUAUAUAGGAAGCUGUUCGCUAUUCCAAGCAUCGAUCCUCGAAACCGAAAUAUCGACUACAGUUACCUCGAUGAAGGGACACUUGAGAGCAAUCACCGCCAUUGUUGGGCCACCAACAUAGCCAGCCCCAAUGCAACAGAUCUUCACCAUUUCUAUUUGAUUCAAACAACAAUCAGAAGCAAAUGAAAGCAGAUGAUUACCUAAACUAAAUGCAACUAAACAAAAUCUCUAAUUUUCUCAUCAAUAACUCCACAUAACACAUCUCCAUUCCACAAUCCAAAUUCCAAACUACUAAAACCGUAAAUCCUUCCAACUCUAAUCGAGAACUAAAUUUUGGUAUAACAAAAUAGUUAAGACCUAAAAAUGCAUGCAAGUAAUCAAUUCAACAACCAGAAAUCCCUCUAAAAUCACAGUUUCCACAACAGCAUUCAACACCCAGACCUAAAAUAGAUUCACCCACCUACAAAAGUUUUGUUACUGGGCAAAAUCAAACUCAAAGAAGCAAGAAAAGAACAAAGUAAGCAAAACCCAGAACAUAAAAACACAAGACAGCAUUGUAAAAUCCAGGAGAAGCAAGAUGAAUGUGUGGUGCAAUCUUAGAACAGAGAUUAUCUUAGAGAAAUAAGGGGAAAUGAAAUCUUGAGAUGAAGAACAGAGAAAAUAUUACCUCGAAUAUUUGAAGACACUCAAAAUUUACUUGCAAAGAAUGAUGAAAUACAUUCAUUACAUAUAUAGGCCAAGAACAGUUUGCGAUUCAAUGCAUUAACAUUUUUGUCUUUUACUAAGAAAAUGGCCCACUCUGUCCUCUGUCCAUUUACUCAAAACCUAUAAAUUUGUCCAAUUAUCAACCGGUUUUGAUUGCUCUACCUUCCUCGUUCCUAACAAUUGAAAAGAUGAUUAAAUACACGAUACGAUAUUAUGUCUUCAAUCAUUAAACUAGUUUGAAAUUAUGUUUUUCAUUUUAACAUGUGUUUCUGUGUUGGGUUCUGUUAGUUGAGUUAAACUCUUAUUACACAAUUUGAUUUUAAAUUAUUAAAAGAACGAAAUAGAAAAACAUUUAUACAAAUAUUCAAUCUUGGAUUUUUCACAAGAUAUAUUCUUCUUCCUGGUUUAAAGUGUAUUUAUGUGAUAAGCAUUUAAAACACGAUUUUAAAUAUCAAACUCGUCACUCAUGCCCUCUUACAUAUUUUUGUUUUGCAAUGACCUAAUGUGGUUUGUUAGACAUAGAGUCACAAUAAGAAAAGACAAGUGGUUAAUUACUGACUUCUAUGAAAAAAUUGUUAUUAUAAAAUUUGGUGGAGAGACGAAUUUCUCAUGAAAAUGAUUGAGAAUGUUCCAAACAUAUAACAUAUAAUGAUAUAUAUAUCAUUGUAGAUAGGACAAUGAUAUGCCCAAAAACAAAGUGCAAAUAAUUUAUUGUCUUCUUGUCUUGGUAACCGAUGAGGUGGAAGCAAAAUGUGAUAUGAUUUCACAUGUGAUGUGAAAUAAUUUGUUCAAAUGAAGUCUUGGUCUAUAGUUUAUCAAAUAUCAAAUUUGAACUUGAAAAGGUGUAGAUAUUAGAGUACGUACAAGAUCGGAAUGGAAUAAAGUUUGACUAGCAUCAACCAAUCCCUGGAAAAAAAAUUUGAAAAAGUAACCUAUAACUCCAAUUUACCAUCGUCCAAACAUUUGAUUUUUGUUUUAAUUUGAUGCUUAAGUUUAAGAUUCACACUUCUAAUAUUGAUUUUUUCAACCCAUACUCAAUUUUCGAUUUUUACAUUUACGUCUAUUGAAACUUAGAGCACUAAAUUGAAACCGAAAUCUAAAAAGUGAGGAUUAAAAGUGUCACCAAAUAAAGAAAAACUAGACCAAAUUAUAUUUUAUAGAUAUCCAUCCUUAAUCAUUGAGGAGUGCAAUUCUACCAAGAUUGCUUUUAAAAGAAAAUGGAAGUAGUUAUAUAAAGGUAAUUAACAUAUAGUCCUGUUGACAUAAGUUCUUGUAGUAAAAUUAAUUAUGAAAAUAAAAACUAGUAAGUUCAAAUCUAUCACCGUAUGUAUAUAUGUAUGUAUGUAUUGCUGAACUAAAAAAUUUCAUGACAUUUUCACAUUUGCCAGAAGAAAUUAAAGCGCACAAUUAGGACAACUCAAACUGUAGCCAAUGACAACAAAAGCAAAAGCAUCAAACACUGUAGAAUUACCCUUCUUUCAUAUUCUCAGAUUUCUAAGAAGCCAAGAAAUUCUUGAACCAUUGAACCGAGUCCUUGGGGUAUCUCUUCAGCUUAUCCUUGUAAUCAACAAAGUAAAGGCCAAACCUUGAAGAGAAACCAGCUGCCCACUCCCAAUUAUCCAAUAGAGACCAUACGAAAUACCCUUUCACAUUGCAACCGUCUUCCCUGGAGAGCACACAAACCAUAUUUACAUGACCAGACAAGUAAAAUCACCAUUGACAAUUGAAGAACAUGAAGAAGAACUCACUUGAUGGAGGCCAAAAGGUUUGUUAAGUAGCCGUUGUGGUAUCUGAUCCUCUUCUCAUCCUUCAAUGCUUCUUUGAUUGGUUUGAAUGGGUCAUUUGGGUCGUCCAUCCCUGUUAUAAACCCAAUAACAAUGAAUCAGAACUUUACUUUUUGUCCAAAUUUUGUGUGCUUCGGAGAGCUUUGUAUUUACCAUUUUCAGUGAUGAUCACUAGUGGGUUUCCAUAGUUGUUCUUUAUGUAAUUCAUCAAACUUCGCAUCCCACGAGGAACAAUGUAUAACCAUAUUGAAUUUGCCUGCAAGUUCAUAAAAAAAAAAAGAUUGAGAAAUUAGAAUAGAUUAGAGUCUUCGUUUUUUUUUUUUUUUUUUGUCUUCUGGUUUUGCCAAAGAUUAAAAGCAGUAUCCUACCCUUUCUGCAAUGGUUUUCAAACCUUUGAAUGCUGCAUAAACAAAAAACAGAACCAGGGGAGAGUAUUAAAAGGGGUAAACUUCAAAUUCUGAUUCUGAUAUUUCUAAAGUAUUCAAAAGAGGUGGUGAUGAUCAGAUUAAGAGUUCUUACGAACGGUGAGGGCGCCAGAAUCAGCAAUGGUGUCAUUCAGUGUGGCACCAAUAAUGUUUGAGCGGUUGUGAUAAGCAUAAAAUGUGGUGUAGUGAUUUAUACCAACAAAAUCCUGAGACCCUUUCACCAAAGCCGCCUGCGACGGGGAAAACGUCGGUAGUCGCCCUCCGACCCUGCUUCUCAUGGAGGUUGGAUAAUCUCCAAAGAUCAACGGGUUGAGAAACCUGAAAGUGAAUGAAAAUAAAACCCAAUAUGAUCACCUCCAUUGCACCAACAGAAAUAGAAUGAAACUGAAACAUAUUGCUAUGAAUCAUCACCAUCCAAGCUGAAAAUCUUGAGCUCUUUUGGCUGCGUCAAUGUCUUCGGUGGAAUUCGAACCCGGUUCAAACCAGAUAACAUCGAGCGACAUCCCAAUCACUCCCUUCUGUAUCCUCUGCAAAAAUUCCACAUUCUUUCAUCAAAACAUUUCACAAUCUCAUUCAAAUGAAACCAGAAAGCAGAAACAGAACAAUGUAUCUGAGGAAUACGAAUUUCAAUGAAAAAUAAAUCUCAUUAUAGGGUUUUUUUUUUUUUUUUCUUUCUUACCUUGUACUUUCUUCUGUAAAUAUCGGAGACAGUAGCAUGAGAGAGGAGAAGAUUAUGGCCAACAAUGUAAGGCUCGGUAGCAGAGUUGCCAUCCCGACAAGUUAUGUGACCAAGAAUGGAGCAACGUCCCGGCGCCUGGAGACCAAGAUCGUAGCCCUGUGUAGCGAAGGUAUGGGGUUCGUUGAAAGUAAUCCAAUGCUUGACUCGAUCGCCGAACUUCUGAAAGCAUGUUUCGGCGAAAACCGCGAAAUCGUUUCUGCAAUUUCGAAGGUGUGAACUGAAAUGGAAUAGGAGUUAGGGUUAGGGUUAGAGUUAGAGUUUAGGGAAUUACUUACAUGAUUUGGGGACUGAGCCAGCCAGUGUAUUUGUCUUCUAGGGCUUGAGGAAGGUCCCAGUGAUAGAGAGUGACAUAGGGUUCAAUUCCUAAUUGAAGAAGGAGAUGCAGGAUUCAAACACCAUUGAAUUAAAGAACAAAGAAAAUGGCGUGAAGAUGAAGAAGAUUCAUACCAUUGGCUAAUAGAGCAUUGAUGAAAUUGUUGUAAUGAGCAACUCCUGCGUCAUUCACCUCUCCAUUUCCAUCUAAUAUAUCAACCAAAAAUCACAUCACACCUUAUUAAUAAUCUCUUUUUUUCAGUUAAUUACUAAUAAUCUUUUUAACCAAAAAACAAAAUAUUUAUUAAAAAAAACAAAACACCAACAAAAAUUCAAUUUAUUAAAUAAAAAAUUGCAAUUUAAGGUUGUGUUACAUAAAUUUUAAACAAUUAACUAGUUAAGUCAGUUUAGUCUCAUGAUUUUAAAAGUUCCAAUUUUAUCAAAUCGAACUAGAUAUCUUUGUUGAAAUGAAGAAUAGUAUAUAUAUAGGAAAGAAAAGAGGAUGAAUUACUUGGGAAGAUCCGAGACCAAGCAAUGGAGAAUCGGUAGGCAUCCAUACCCAUAUCCUUCAUGAGUUUAAUAUCUUCCUGUUUCCAAAAUUUUCAUUUUUAUUUAUUUCAAUUCUUCUAAUUACAUUUAAUAGUUUGGUUAAAUCUGUUCUAAAAAAUGUAUGUGUGUGGUUACCGGAUACCGAUGGUACUGAUCCACUGUCACGUCUGCAUUACUGAAAUCAAGCACCUUUCCUGUCAAUGUCAUUAAAAUAAUAUAUUUACAUAUAAAAUAUUACAAAAUUUUAUAAUAUAUCAGUGUUUAUCAAUACCAUUAAAAAAAAUAUAAAUAUUUAUCAAUAUCUAUCGUUAAUAGAAUUUAAAAUUUUAUUAUAUAUAUUUUAGUAUCUUCUCAAAUUCCUUUUGAUUUCUAAUGCAUAAACAAUAUCCUUGUUUAACCUAUCGUGGCAUUAAUAUUGAGAUAUUGUUUAACCUAUUGUGGCAUUAAUAUUGAUCAAGAAGACAAUGAUAAUAUGUUGACUAUAUUUAGAAAUUAGGUUAAAAUUAUGUUAUGUUUUAAUUCGAAAUAUAUAUAACUUAGUUGACAGAAAAUUAUGCGUUGUUUUUUUUUUAAAAAAAGAAAGAAAUUCAAUUUUGUUUUUGGUAUGACAUGCCUUAUUUAAUUGCAUCCUCACUCGAUUAAUAUUAGGAUAAUUAUUUUAAUAUCAAAAUUAUUGAAGAUUAUUUAUAAAUUUAAGAAAAUGUCACAAUUUAUUUGAAAAAUAUAUUUCAAUUAAAUAACAUUUCAAAAUUAUAUUUAUAAACAUUUGGAUGAUUCUAAGAAAAGAAAAGUUAAGUUGCAGAUCAAACUUAAAUUUUGUUUAUACUUUUUUAUUUUACUUUUUUAUUUUAUUUUUCACUUUUUUUAUAAAAAUAAAUAAUAAACAAUUACCAAAUGUAUGAGAAAACGUAUCCCAAAUUGUGGGUCCUCUUCCGUCAUCUUUUACCGCGCCUUCGUACUGUAUUCACGUAGAGUUAAAAAAAACAAAACUACAAUGAGUGACAGAGUCAAUAAUUACGUAUAGAGUAUCAUGUCACUAAAAGAAUAUAAAACUAUGGUAAAAGUAAUUCAUAACUUCAUAGUUUAACUAAUUUAAUACAUAUUACGAGUGUUCUCUACAAACAUUUUAUGUUUCAUAAUUGAACUAAAUUCCCUAAAUGAAAAGAUAUGAUUAUGAGACUAGCAAAUACACUAUUUGAAGAACUACAUAAGCAUCGUGAAUAUUAUCAUUAUGUUUUAAAAAAUUUAGUCGUACUAGAAAUUUAAGAUGAUGGCUCAGUAAUUUUGAUUGUUAAUUUUCUUUUAAAAUAUCUUUCCAUAUUGUCGUGUAUUGUCAAUAAAAUUAUAAUAUAUAAUUAACUAAGUAAUAGAACUCUCAAAUUUAUUUGAAAAUUAGGUAGAAAAAGGAAAAAUAAAAAUUAACAGUAUUUUUUAAUGGAAUAUUAUUGAGAUGUAAGAAUGAAAUUUUAGGUCGGAAUCUCGUAAAUUCCUUUGUUGUUAUUGUUUUUCUUUUUAAACUCAAAAAUAUUUAUUUUAGUGCUAAAUUCAUAUUUUAGACAGAAAAUUUGAUAUUAAAAUAAAAAUUAAAAGUACAAAUAUGAUUACAAUUGAAAAAAGAAACAGAUGAUAAAAACAAUUUAAACAAAUAAAAUGACAACAUGGUGAAGAAAUAUUGGUAUUCACACGUUCUAAUAAGAUUGUAAUGCAAUCCACAGUUCGUAUCUGAAUUGAUCUUUUUGAGUCCGAAUAAUAUUAUUAAACUUAUUUCGUUUUGAAUUUUUUUUGUUAAAACUAUAUUUUUCUUUGUUUCAACUUGGGGUGAAUAAUUUGAAUUCAUAACCUCAAUUCAUGUCGACAUUUCAUUUUUGUUUUGCCCUCAACUUGACAUGCACCACUAUAUUGACCCUCAAGGAUUAAUAGUAAGGAUUAUAUUUCAACUUUUCAAAUAACCCUUACCAAUAUUUGUUAACAUUCCAUUUUCUUGAAAGAAACAAGAUCGUGUGAGAUUUUAAGGAUAAUUUUCUAGAAUUCAUGAUAUUUUUGUAUCAAAAUGAUCAAAUUACAAAACACAGAUUGUUUGCUUAUUUUGGAAAUGCCUUUUUCUUUUAUUUCUACAAAGAGAAAACUUGUUUUCAAGUAAUUUAAAAACAUAAAACGUAAAAACACAAAAUGAAAGACAAAUAAAUAGUUACAAACCCAGAUUUAAAUUACUUGAAGCAAAAACGAUAGUAACAAAGGCGUGCAAGAAAAUAGAAUUAACCUUAGAGAAAAAGUGCAAGGAAACAAAUCAGCUUUCCUCUUAAAACCAACUCCAUUCAAAGCUUAGUUUACUUCAAUCAAUCUUCUUUCUAACAGUUUAAAAUUUGAGGAAAAUUAUUUCCCUCUCUCUAAAAUUCUUUCCCCCAUCUUUCUAAAUUUACAAUAAUCAAUCAAUUUACGUUACACAUUUUCAAAUAACCAAAUUUCCAAUUAUAUUAAUAUACAAUUUAAAAUUUAGCUUUUUGUAAAUAAGAAUCCAAAAUAAAUUUAUUUGGAUCGUUUUUAUUAUCGUUUUUUAUAUAAUUUUUUCAAUUUAUCAUUUUUGCUAAUUAAGAUUUUUUCUAUUUUUAUUUUUUAUAAUAAUUUAUCUUUAUUUUCUAACUCAAAUUGUCAAAAAUAUAAAAACUAACAAAAUAUUACGCUUUAAAAAUGGAAAUAGUUUUUUUUUUUUCUACUUUUGAAAAAAAAAACCCUCUUUCUAAACAACAAAUAUACAUACAUCAUAAUAGUUAAAAUGAUAUACCUAAUAAAUAGUAUAUUUUAAGGGUAUAUAUAUAUAUAAAGUAUACACCAUUAAAUAAAAUAACUAUAACAUUAAUUAAUAAUAUAAAAAAAAAAAAAACUGCACAAAUUAAAUCCUUGUCUCUUUCACAUGCCAGAAAAAUUCCAUCCAAUAUAGUUUUCUAUACUUUUUCUAGAAUAACAUUAAUAACAUAACAUAUUUAUUUCUUUUUAUGAUUACAAAUCAAAUCCUUAUCUCUUUCCUAUUAUCCCUUUUUUCCAGAAAUUAUUUCAAUCUAUGCAGUGUUCUUAUGCCCAAAAAACCAACAACUGCAUGUGUGUUCAAAAUAUACUUUUCGAGUAAUAUAAUAAAAACAAAGUUACAAAUAAUAAUAAAAAAAAAAGUUUUUCUAUAUUUUGUAAAUAUUUUUAAUAAAACAAAAGCACAUACCUCUGAUUGAGUUUAAAAUCACUUCGGUGGAGAAAUUGAUGUUGCAACGUUAAAUUUUAAAAAAAGUAUUAUAACCUUGAAAUUGAAAAAUACGAUUGUUCUAAAUAUUGCAAUAUUACAAAUAACGCCCUCAUAUAUUAUUUUAAUUAUUUCUAAAACUGGACAAAUUAUAUAAACUACCAAAAAGUUGGAUCAUAAGUAUUCCAAUUGUACCCUCACUCAAACUUCCUACUACCCAAACCCAAUCCUAAGCUUAAAAAAUUGUAAAAAUGGUAUAAGUUUGAGUGUUUAAUUUCUAUCGUUUUUUUAUUUAGAAGUAUAUUAUUUUCAUAUCUGGAAAUAAUAAUUAAGAAAACGUUUAAAAAAUAAGAAAUAAAUAAAGGAACCUGAAAAGCAGAGGAGGCAGUUCCGAAAACAAAUCCGCUCGGAAAACUGCUUCUGCUGAUCUGCGCCGAACAAAUCUGAACCCCUAAAACCACCAUGAUUACGACUAACACGCCGACGCCUUUGGUGGCGCCUCUUCCUCCGGCCGUCAUCAAGCCAAGAGAUGGAGAGAGAGAGAGAGAGAGAGAAUUUAAAAUUUUGGUUUAGGAAUUGGAUUUUGUCGGUAUUGCGUCGGGCAAAUUGAAGUGAAUAUGAAGAGAUGGAGAGAGAAUAAUGUGAACGGAGAGUGAGGGUGGCGAGGGUGGGGGAAAGAGCGUCAAAGAGAGAGGGAAUUUCUGGCUGUCCUUUUUAAAAUUGGCAGCGCAAUUAGCUUUUGUGUGGAAAUCCAACUAAAAAGAAAGUCCCUCAGUUCACACGCCUUCCAUUCAUUUAUAUACUUUUUUUUUAUAUAUAUAUAAAUCACUUUUUUUUUAUUAUUAUUUUUCCAAUUAUGCUUUUUUCUUAGGCCACAACGUAUUGUUUUGUUGUCAUCAAUCCUAACUUAACAAAUUUAUCAUUUUCAUUUAAUCUUUUUUAAACUAAAGUAUUAUUUUUUAUCUUCAAUUUAAGUAUAGUUUAUGAAUUAAGUAUCAAUCCAUCCAUUUUUGGAGGUUAAAACUUUCGUAUUUCAUCAAUAUAAUAAAUUUAUAUAAUAAGAGUACACCAAUACUUUUUAUCAUUUAAAGAUUGAAAAAAUGUGUUAAUUAACAUUAUUGUAAAGGUACCAUCAUCGCUAAUUGAACCAAUUAUUCAUCGUUCUUAAGAUGAGUCCAAUGGAAAUGAUUGGACAAGGCAUUCCCACUUCUAUCCAAUGUGAACAUGAAUUUAGUAUUUAUUGGUUGCAUAGGAGAACACAACCCAGUUGAUGAAAAUAUUAGUUUAGUUUCAAAUACUAUUUAAAUUAUCAACCUCCUUGUUAAGAAAUUUGUACGUAUUUACCAUUACAAAUUAAGCUCUUUUCUUUUUCUUUUCCUCAAAUGAGUAAAUAGUUUUUCUAAUAUAUAUGCGAAUUACUGUUAUCUUUGAAGACUAAAAGACCUAGAAUAAUACAUAAUACUUUGUUAAAUUGUCUUUUGUUUUUAUUUCAUAGCUGGUUUUUUUUUUAAUUUUAUUAUUAUUAAUUGAUAUGUUGAAAUUAAAUAGGCAUAAAUUUUAAAGUUAAAUGACUAAAAAUGUGUAGUUUUAUUUAAACUUUAUGCAUAAUCCCACGUCUAUGUAUUUAGACCAAAACGAAAAAGAAAAUAGACACAAAAUGGAAAGUUGUUUCCUUUUAUAAUUUAACUUAUUUUUAAAGUUUUACAUAAUCAUCAUUUCAAUAUUAAACCUUUAAGAGAAGGAGAGGAAAAUAACUGACAAAAGAAGAAGAAAAAGUAUUAAAUAUUUGGCUCCGUUUAGUAAUCAACUAAUCAUUUUAUUUCCAAUAAUUUGUCCUAUAGAAUUCAAAAUUUUAAGAUUAGAUGAGUGAUAUCGUUAAUCUAUGUCCACGUUAGCACAUGUUUAACUCAAAAGUGUAAAAAGUAGUGUUAAUAUUUGGGAAUAUUAGGAAGAUGUAGUUUGUACACGUCAUUAGUCAAAGGUCCAGCUGGGCAAUAACUCCUCCAUUUCAAUUGGAUAGGAAAAGAAAUUCUGACGAUCCUAUCACCUUUUGCCACGUUCACACUGCAUGCAUUGCGCGUGAGAUUAUCGUUUGUUAUCAAUUAAUAAAUUUGGAAUCACAAAUCAUAUAUGACAAGUUCCAGAAUGUUCUACACGCAACACUAUGCUAAGGAUGACGUGGUACAUUUUAUUUCUUUUUUCUUUUUUUAUAAACUCACAUGAUCACAAUUUUUUUUAAAAAUAUUUAUAUUAAAUGAUAAAUUUACAAGUUCAUAUCUUGUUAGUUUGAAAUUUGGUAGGAAAUAAGAAUAUUGAAGUUUAAUUUUAUAUAGAUGUUGAUGAAAAUAUAUUCAUGGCGUUUAUCAAAAUCUAUCGUAAUAUAUUUUAUAAAUAUUUUUAUUAUUUUAUCAUUUAUAAUCACUUUUAUAUAUUAUACUUUAAAUUUCACAUUUAAUUAUUGUUAUUUCAUAUUGUGGUAUUUUAAAAAUGGAAAAAUAUAUGUUCUAUAUAGUAUAACAUGUGAAUGAUGCAUGCAUCAAAUAGACCAAAAAUGAAAUAUUAAUUUUCUCCUAGCAAAGUGAAGAAAGAGUACAAGGAACAAGUUCUAUAUGUUGCAUUCUCUCAUACUCCAUUCUUCUUUAUUUCUAUUCAUUAAAUUUCCUAAAAUUAUACAAACUAUUUUUUAGAAGGAACAAAACACAUUUAUAUUAUAUAGACCAUUUUUUCAACCUAAAAAAAUAGACUUAAUCGAAUUUGUUCAAAUCAAAGAAAAAAUCAAGUGAAAAAGACUAAAAGAACAAAGUGUACGUUUCAAGGGCUCUUUGAGUGUGCAUGCGUUUAGUUCAAAAAACUUCAAAGGGUCCAACUCAACUGAGGUGGAAAAUUGAAAUUUUAGAUAAAUAAAUAGUGCAUAACGAGUCUUAAUGAAUUAAGGCAAGUUGUUAAGUCCCUAUUUCUGAAACCCUAAACUUAAGCAUGAAAUCUAGUGUGGUUAAACAAUACUCAUCAAACUAAUGUGUGUGCAAACGUCUUCUAUUAUAUUCGUUUUGAAAAAUUUGCUAACCAUGUGUAAACAAGCAUACACAGGUAUGUUUUAUAAUGAUUUGUGUAUCAUAUAUAUAUAUUUUGUUAGAAAAGCAUGUGGACCUUUAGCCUAUUAUAAAGUUACCUCUAUUGUUGUCCCACAUUGAUAAAAAUGGAAAAGAUAAAUAAGUAUAAAUAGUUAAGUGCCACUAAAAAUAUAUAAAUUAUGUUGAUGUUAAUAGUAUGACCUAACGGUCACCAUGCGUCUUGUCCCACGUCUACUUGAAUAUCACCUCAUACAUAUAUUCAAGUUUCAUGUAGACGUGAAAAUUCAAUUUUUUUUAACAUUGUAACAAUUGGGCUCCUAAACUUAUAUAAAGGGUCGAGAUACAUUAUUUCAAAAUCCUCCAUCUACUAUCGUCUUUACUAUUUUACAUUCAUCAUUUUCUUUUUUAAUUUUUCGCUAAUUAAAACGUUUACUAUUUUCUUAUCCAACUAAAAUAGUUUACACACUUAACACAUACUAUAUACUUUAAGUUUAAUUUUUAUCAUUUUAGAGGCUUAAAUUCUAUUAUUAUAAGUUUUGAGAAUUUACGUUUUACCAUUGAAAAUUUUACAAUAUGAUCACAAAUUAUUACCAUAAAUUAGGGUAUACUUAUUGUUUUGUAAUAUCUAUAAUGAAAUUUCAAUGGUUGAUGUGUUUGGUGAUUUAUUUGAUUCUUGAUGGAAUAAAACAUGAGAGAAAAAAAUUAAUGAGGAAUGUUGGUGUACCUAACUUAUUUAGUUUGAAUCAAUUAGUUUUGUGUAAAGAAAAAAGGUUUGCAAAUUAAAUUACCAAUAAUGUAAUAAUACAUUCAAAGAAGUCAUCCAUAGCCACAUUGAAAUAUAAUGUCUUUGUGAAUUGUACCCAUAUAAUAUUAUCUCUAGCCACAUGUUACAAACUUAUAUGCUUAAAAUCAUUAUUUAGUCCGCCAAUAUGAAUAAAAUUACUUUAAUGUAAAUUUGCUAUACGAGAUAUUUUCAAUUCUAACAAAAUAAAUUAAAUUAUUUAAAAAAUAUAUUAAAAUUUUAGAUUAUAUCAUCCAUUCAUUGUUUACUAUAAUUAUAAGAUUCAAAUAAAAAAUAAACUAUCGACUUAUUGUUGAUAAAACGUUAAUUCAUAUGAUAUAUCUGAUGUUGUAAUAAAGGUCCUAAAAAUGUCAAAAAGCAAAGAAAAAAAGAAGAAGAAAAGAACUACUUUUUAGAAAGUUGGAAACUCUUUUAUAAAUUUUGGUUUAAAAUUCAAAGAAAUAAAAGUAGAAUGUAGUUUACACUUUAUGACAAUGUAGACUUAAAGUUUAUAUUUGGUUUCGUGAUAAAUUUUAUUGAAAUCAAGUGUCAAUUUUUAUUACAUAGUAUUUAAAUUUUAUGAAUAAAUUUAUUUUUUAAUAAGUUUACCAACCCUAUACGUUUAAAAUAUUUGAGUAUAAAUAUAUAUAUUUUUAAUUCACGCUCAUAAUUCACACCAAAACGUGAAAAAGAAAUCAAACCAUGUUUUUAUAUUAUAUAUAUAUAUAUUGAUGCCUAUUUUUUAUAUAGAAGUAUGCCGGUAUAUAUUUAUUUCAUUUAGAGGUUUCUAUUUCAUACACAACCGCCGACUUCAACAUGUAUAUAUGUCUAUGCUAUUUAUGUUUAAAUCAUGUAAUAUUGAUAAUUUUUUUAAUGUAAACACAAAAAUCUUACCUAUAUUUUUCUCUCUCUCCUCUUUAAUUUUUCUACUAAAAUUAUUUUAUUAAUAAAAUGAUUGAAUGACUUGUACUUUAGUUAUGUUAAAACAAUGUAAAUAUUAUUAAAAUUUAUUAAAUAUACAUAAAAGGUAAUAAAAUGAAGCAAGAAAUAUUAAAGUCCUUCGUUUAAUUCUUUAUUUACAAAAUCAUUAAAUGAAAUUAUGAAUUCAUGUUUAUAAUUUCAUAUUUUCAAAAGAAGUAUGAUUUGGGUGAAUAUUUUAUCCUUUCAUUGUAAUUUUUUUAGUCUUACUUUAGCCACAAUUUUGUCAUUCACAUAGAUUGAAUGUGUGUGGUCAUUUUCACAUUAAACAAAAUAAAAAUUACAUUUCGUUAAUUAAUUUUUCAUUUCCUCGUUAAAAGAAAAAUGUUUUGAUUCCAUAACGGAUAUUAGUUAAUGCUCUAUGUUAUUAGGGGCUUAGGGCUACAAUGUAACUUUUCUAUAUGUUAUUUACACAACUAAAUUUUUUUUUAUCAUACUUUAUUCAGAUAUAUAUAGAUUAGAUGGUUAAGUUUGGAUAGUAUAAGCUUAAAAUAUUAAGAAAUAGAAUUUAAAUGGUGAAAAAUGAUACAUUGGAAGGAUGUAAAUAUAAAAAAGAUAUAAAUAUGUAAAUGUUGAAAUGAUUGUUGUUAAAUUAAAAAUUUUAUUGUUUAUUGCUAUAACUAAAUGGCUCAUUUUCGUAGCUUUCAAGUCUCACGUGCUCCACCCUCUCCUAUUUCUUUCCGUUUAGCAUCUCAGUUCCGCCGCUGCCGUUCUUCGGUUCGUGCUCGUACAGCAUCCUAUCUAACGGCUCUGCACUGAUUGGUAUUCUCCCAAUCUCCAUCUAUCUCUGUCUCCUCACUCGAAUAACGAAAGAAUGGAAGAUUUGUAUGUAUUAUCAUGAAUUUUCCAGCAUCUCCCUUCUCAGUCGAAGUAAUUCAAUUAUCUUUUAAUCACAAGCACGUCCGGCGGCUAUCUUUUAAUUGACCGAACAACCUCAACAAUAUUUCUAUUUUGUAUAUUUGUUUAACCAAUGAUGGUCUGAAUUUACUGAAUAUAAAAGCCUUCCUAGUUCCUUAUGCUUCAUACUUGAUACUCCACCCUCCAUUUAUUCUUCUUCUAUUGCUAUUAUUAUAUUUCUAUAGUUGAUUGUGUCAAAUUAGAGUCUGUGACUGUUUUGAAUGAUAGCUGGACGUGUUUCGAUUGAUUUUUUGUAUUGAAAAUGUUUAUGUUUUGGUUUUGUUACUUCUGACUAAUUGGAGAAGUUUUAUAGCUCCAUUGGUUUGGGCAUGCUGUCUUUUUUCGUGUGUGUGUGUGUAAAUUUCAUACAUCAAUGAAAUUUGUUUCUUAUAAAAAAGAUGAAAGGUUUGGAUGAUUUGAUUUGAUGAUUUCUUCUGCUGAGAUUGCAAUUUGAAACUGUGUGUUUUGUUUGAAAUGUUUAUGAAUGAUUCGGAUGCCAAAUCGAUGGUGUAGUUGUCUUUCCGCUUGCUAAUUAAAACAAAGUAAUAAAGUGUAAGUGAACUUUCUUUUGGGCCUGAAUAUCGAACUCGAUUGGGAAAACACCAGGACGGGCCAAAGAAACAGUUGGUUGGGAUGAAAUGUUAAUUACUAAUUCUGAGGAAGUUAAUGAGGUUGGACCUUAAUUAUUGAAAGCCAAGGAUUUUUUUUAUUAAAUACAACUUGCUUUUCAUUUUAUGGAUGGAGUUCAACUCUUUGUUUUUGGUGCUGUUUUUAGGUCAGUUUUUGUUUAAUCUCCCAGAAAUUUUUUAUGAGUGAGUGUCUAGAUAGCUUAUGCCUACCUUGAUUAAUUUCAGUCAGAAAGCAGAUGUAUUGAAGGUCAAUUAUCAAAUUGAAACUACCAAACCCAAAUCCACGGCUACGAUUUGAAAAAUGGAAGAUGAAGAUCCACCACUCGCUGUUGAGAUUGGCGAAACAAUUACAGCUGUCCAACAACAUGAAGAUGAUGGUGUUUCUGUUGGCGUUACAGUUAUCACUGGAUAUCUUGGAGCUGGAAAAUCCACCGUAACUUACACUCUGAAACUUUUCUCCUUACCCCCUCACUCGAUUUCUUUUUGCAACCAUCAAAUUUGAGCUAUAGAAUGAUAUUUCUUGUUUGGUGGAAUUCAGUUGGUUUAAUUACGUAUUGAACUCGCAACAUGGCAAGAGAAUUGCUGUUAUACUGAACGAAUUUGGGGAGGAAAUUGGAAUUGAGAGGGCAAUGAUAAAUGAAGGUGACGGUGGGGCGUUGGUUGAGGAAUGGGUCGAAUUAGCAAAUGGAUGUAUUUGUUGCACUGUUAAGCAUAGCCUGGUUCAAGCCUUGGAGCAACUUGUGCAGAGAAAAGAAAGGUAUUCUCUUGCUGUUAUAUUAGAUUUCAAUGGAGCUUCUGGAAAAAUACGUUGAUGAUUUAGUCCAUCUUACAUGUCUCUAGGCUCGAUCAUAUUUUGUUGGAAACUACGGGAUUAGCCAAUCCUGCUCCACUUGCUUCUGUACUUUGGCUGGACGAUCAAUUGGAAUCAUCGAUCAAGCUUGAUUCAAUUAUUACAGUCAGUUCUUAGUUCUUGUUCCUUCACGGUUUGAGUUAGUUUCCCCAAGUUUACUUUGAAAUACGUAUUAUAGUUUGGAAAUGUUUGUGAAUUACAUGCUAUAGUUCUUAAGUUUAAGAAUGUGUCAUAUUUGAUGUUUGAUUGAAAUUAAGAUAGCCAAUGAAGCUUAAGUUUCCCCUUGUUCUAAGGUUAAAUUUAUGUGUUGGCUUUCGUUUCUAUGUUGUUAUUUAAUUCGAUUUUGUCUGUCCAUGAGUGGAUGCAUGGUGUAGUAAAUACUUGAAUACUUCAAACUUUGUUUUAAAUUCUUUUUCUAGUGAUCUAAAGGUUUCACCCAAUAAUAACUCCUUAUGUUCAUUUGGAUGAAUACAUGCAAGUAGGUCGUGGAUGCUAAAAAUCUUCAUUUUCAAUUGAAUGAGCACCGUAGUUCAUCAUCCUUUCCGGAAGCAUUUCAUCAAAUUGUGUUUGCGGUAAUAUUCUUAUUCUUAGUUCUUUUAUGGUCUCUGCAAGUUUGCAAUCUACCAUUAAUUAUGUCAAGCAACUGCUGGGAUCUUCAUUAUUUAUCAUUUUUCAUUCCAUUAUUACUUAGUAUUUUUGUUUGUUUUAUUUCUGUCUCUCUUGCUAUAUGGUUUGUUUUAUUUCUCUCUUUUGCUAUAUGGUUUGAUUUAUUUCUCUCUUUUGCUAUAUGGUUUUCUCAAUAAUUGUCCAAUGUGCACGCCUAAGAAGUUGUGAAUCUGUUAUCCAUCAUAGGAUACUAUUAUUCUUAACAAGGUCGACCUGGUCUCUUCAGAUCGUGGUGAUGGUGCAUUGGAGGACCUGGAGUAUGAAAUACGUAACAUUAAUUCUCUUGCCAAAAUCAUUCACUCUGUUCGGUGUCAAGUAGACCUGUCUCUCAUACUAGACUGCAAUUCCUAUAAUGCUGCUGUUAGUCAUGAACUUAACUUUAACCCCUAGCUCAUUUUCUAUUUUCGUAUCUGUCCUCUUUAUCUGAUACUAUUCAGUUUUUCCCCAUUUAGAAUACAGCUCAUUUAGAAGCAUUAUUGAAAGAAAGUCGUUCUUUAUCUACUCAAGAUCUUCAUGAUACUGGUGUUCGAACCUUGUGCAUUAGUGAAGACGACAAAGUUGACCUUGAUAAGGUAGUUUCAUGUAUUUCCGUUAAAGAUUGUGUGGUUCCAUCUUAUUUUAAAUUGCUUAGGCAUUUAAGAAUUUCACGACCUGGAGUGUAGCUACAUCCAUGCUGAUUUAUGUUUUAGCCAAAGAUCCAUUGAAGUAAUAAUAUUCUGAACUACUAAUAUAUCUUUCCAUUGGCUUGCUGAUCUAUUUAACGAAGUAUUUAACUUUCGAAGUGAUUAUAUAAAUCGCUCAUCUUCACUAUGAGCAUGAUGAUUGAAGUAGGCACAAUUCGUACAAGCAAUAUAAGUUACUGCCUUGGAAAUUCAUGAUAUUUCUCAUUAAUCUGCAUUUCAUAUCCGAUCUUCGUGAUGGUGCUAUUCUCAUGCCUACCUUAUUUUCCAAUAGGUUCAUUCUUGGCUUGAGGAGAUACUUUGGGAGAAAAAAGGUGGCAUGGAUGUGUAUCGUUGCAAAGGAGUUUUAAGCAUAAAAAAUUCUGAUCAGCUACAUACUUUGCAGGUAGAUCAUGUGCUUAAUCCUAUAGUUUUUGCUGUUGGAAAAUCACUCCAAACAGGCUUCUUCUUUAACCAUCGUCCUAAUUUCCCAUCCUUUGUUAAUCCGAUUUCCAUGCAUUCCUUUUGGGUUUUGAACCCAAAUGAAAAGGUUGAGUUAUUGCGACGAUACUUCCUAACAAGAACACUCAAGAACAACACAGAAAACUCAAGAAGACUCAAAUAUAAAAACAUAUGGAAAUAUACUGUAAUAUAUACUAUAAGAGAAGUAGCAAGAUAACCUUGCCUUCCAAGUGGGCUAGUCCAAAGGAAAUCUCACAAAAUUCCUCACUCUUUGCUCCUUAUCUCAUUCCCUUUAUUUAUAAGCCCUAACAAUACCAACAUUCUACUACUAAUCCUACUAUAUCUCUAACUAGGGAGCUCUUUUUCAUGUUAAUGACUGAUUUUGAUUGGUGGCUGACAGGCAGUUCGGGAAUUAUACGAGAUCGUUCCUACACGGCAAUGGAACAAUGGAGAAAGUCAGACGAACAAGAUAGUGUUCAUAGGUAAAAGACAUACAAAAAUAUCCACGCCCACGAACUCUUACAAUGUGUUUAUUGUUGAAACUUACACAUUGUCCAUAAUAUGCAGGUCGUAAUCUGAACGAGGAUGUUCUCAGCAAAACCUUUAGAGAAUGUGCUUCUAUCUCCUAAAUUUUGUUGCUUUACUAUUUGUUCGACUACAUAGGCAAACAAGGAAGAGCAUAUGCGUAGGUGAAAUGGUUUUGUAUGAUUUCGAAGUCCUUUUUUUGUAUGUUAACUUGGAUAAGUGUUUCCUAAAUUAACUGUCUUUCGGUCUUGUUAGAGGUGUUCUAGAAAGGUUUUUGAUGGAAAGAUUUGUGAACGAAGGUACCAUUGGAUGUUUAUUUUUCUAAAUGAAAGUUCUUUUGAAAGUUAACAUUGCAAUAAAAAUAUCAAAAAUUAAAUUAGUUAAAUUAAAAAAAAAAAAACAAGAAUAACCAUUAAAUUAUAAGAUUCCCAAAUUAUAGUUUUAAAAAUUGAUUGUUCGUUCUCUUGCGAUUCGUGCUUCUUCCAUUUGUGAGGGUGGUCGCUAUUGGCUUUCUUCUCUUCUUGUUAGGAAUUAAUGAAGUUUAUUUUCUUCAAAAAAAAAAGAAAGAAAGAAAGUUAACUUACAACGUGUACAUUGAAGACAAAGAAGCACAUGUUUUGAAUUUCCUAACUUAAAUUAUGAAAGAUCAAAAUAAUAUUGCAAUAAAACAAAAGUUUAGAUUAUAUAUUGAUACUCUAUAUUUUAAAAUGCCUCAUAUUUAAAUUAUGAAAUAUAUUUUAAAAAGUGCUGUUUUUUUAGGAGUUCUUAUGGAUUAAAAAAAAAAAAGAAAUUCUUAUGGAUUUAAAAAAAUUUAAAAUUAUUUGCAAAAUAUAGAGAAAAAAAGAAAUUUUUUUUUGACAAAAUAUUUACCCAUCCUGAAACAAAAUUUACACUUGAUUAAAUAUUUAAAAUAUUUUUUUUAAAGGUUCUAUUUUUAUGAUUUAUAAAAAAGAAAAAAGUAUAAAAUUUAUUAAAAAAAAUCAGAUAGAUUUUGCUCUAUUUUACAAAGGAAAUUUUUAAAAAUGGAAGAAUUUGCAAAUUAUCUAGGUCUAUAGCAAAAUUUUAAUCCAACUACAAAAUGGAUAACUAAAAUUUUAACCCGAAUUCAAACUAUUCAUUUUUUUUUUCUACAUGUAAAUAGUUUUCAUUUUCUUCUUUCAUGUAAAUUCUGGUUUUGUUUUAUAAAUAGUUUGGAUUUUUUUGAUACGUUUAAAAAUGUCAUUCUUUUAAUAAUUCAUUUGUUUGUAUUUACUCCUUAAAAAAAUAAAAAUAUACUUUGAACGGCUAAAAUAUUGGUUAUCAUAUUGAUUAAAAUUCUGUCAUGAAUUGUAUAUAUUUUGUAAAUUCUUCUUAGUUUUUUUUUGAGUCGUUCCAUUUUUUAAAAUAAAAUGAAAAUAAGUAAAAUUGAGCCCUAAACAUAUGUAUGUAUCUUCCUCUCACUUUCAAGUCUCACGUGCUUCACCUUCCGUCUUUAGCAGCUCAGCUCCGCCGCUGCCACUUUCCAGUUCGUUGUCGCCGCCGUUCUUCCGCUCGUGCCAGCGCCGCAUCCCUCCUAACGGAUCUUCACUGAUUUUCCACUCGGUUGUUGCUACUGGUAUUAUCCCAAUCUCCAUCUAUAUCUAUCUCUUCACUUCAAAAACAUAAAUUAGGGCUUUUCUAAUGAAAAAAUGGAAUAUAUUUUUUUUUUGUUUUUGUUUUUCUUAAUAACCAUACCCGAAUAGCAACGAAAAUAGAAGAAACCCACCUUUUGAUUUGCUGCAUAUGUCUGUCAAUUGAGGCGUCCAUAUAUCUCUUUGGUCUCUGCUGAAAAUUUCCUUGCUUCUGCACCAAUGAAUUUUCCAGCUUCUCCCUCGUCAGUUGAAGUAAUCCAAUUCUCUUUUAAUUCCAAUGAGUGUUUUAUUUUAAUUGACUUCCUCAACCGUAUUUAUUUUUGUAUAUUUGUUGAAGCAGUACGCUGACCAGCGGUACUUUAAAUUUACUGAAAAUAAGAGCCUUCUCUAUUCUUUGUUCUUCAUGUUCUUGAUUUAAAAUAUGUAUAUUUGGGGUAAAAUAUACAUAUUUUUGGAAGUGGAGGGCUCAAGGGACCUAAAGAUUCUGCUUUUAUAUAUGGUAUGGAUUUUUUUUAGGAUUCUCUUAAUGUUUUUGGAGAGAAAACAAUAUCAAUGAUUCUAUGAAAUUUACAAAUUGAGUAAUGGUAUGUUGAAAAUUAUAAUUGUUGUAAGCAGAGACGUGUGAAGUGUGUACAACAAUAUGAACCUAGAAAAGGUUUCUUGUGAAUCAAAGCUUCAGGAGAUCUACCAUUAAAUUUUUGUUGUUGUUCCUUUAAUUGCAUAUAAUCCGAUAGAAAGAAAGAAAAAGUUGUUGAUGUUGAGCCGGAGUGCCUGUUUUGCCUACUUGAAUGAAUGGUCCUUGAACAGGCUGAGCUGCCAGUAUUUUAUGUUGAAUGAGAAUGGGAGUGUCAAAAUCCAACAAUUAAAGGCUGUUUGAAAGUGAACCCAAAUCCUGUUUGAAAAUUGGCAGUGUAUGAAAAGAUGGUCUUGAGUCUCAUGAUCAGAGCUGCAUAAACAGCAGCAAUUUGGGGAGAGACUGAUCCAGGGGUGCUUUAUUUGAAUUGUGUUCCUUGUGUGGUUUCAUUUUAGAAUUUUAGGCUGAUUUCCCAUAAAAAGAAUUUUAAGUGUCUUUUGAAAGAACCCCUUUCUGAAUCAGUUUGUAUUGUCUGGAUGAUUGCUUUCUGACAUAGUUGAUAGGCCACUGACUUUUUUCCCAAUUCCCAGUUGACGUACUUACAGGGUGUAAUGAUUUCUAUUAACUAUUAUUUAGCUUACCGACUGUUUUCAUGACGAGAAAUGAUUUGUUUCCCAGUGGGCACAGUAGGUGUCUAAUUGAGAGAGAGAGUGCUGAGUGUGUAAUUUUCUGCUAUUGAUAAGGGAGAUUGAGUUACUUGUUUCUGAAUAUGAGAAGUUUUGAGUUUAUGGCCUUAACGCUUGACUUCUUGCUUUUAAAAUCAAGAUUUUGAUAGAACACUGAUACAAUGUUUCUAUUUUAUUGAUACCUUCAACAGAAUUACAAUAUAAAAGAAGUAAAAUAAUAAGUGAAAAAAGAACCCUAAUCGUCUGCCCUUCCUCUCUUUCAAGGAAUAGAGAAAUUUUGCAGCCUUAUUUCUUCACCAAAUUCUUCAUACCCUUCUUCCCUCCCCAACUUCCUAUUUAUAACCAACCAACUACCAACAAAUCUAAUUACACUUUUACCCCUGUCCUAUACUAAUCUAGGUAUCUAACAGAUUUCCUCUAUCCAAAACUUCUACCUCCAUCCCUUAUUUCGCCUGAAGUCUGUUCAAUCAGCUGAACUUCAGAUUACAAAAAUUAGCCAAGGGCCACAAAGAAUUUGUAGAAUGGUGACAAAUCCAUUUAAAUUCCGGUUUGGUGCAGCCACCACCCACACCAAUCUUUUAUACUGUUCUUUGGAUCUGAAAGAGUAAUCUGAACCUCUUUCUGUCAUCUCUUGCCACUCUAUAUUCUGAAUCUAGGUAGCUUCUCUGGCUUUUGUGUAUUUCUUCACUUUGAAAUGUUCAUAGUAAAUAAUUAUUGUGAGGAAAUGAACGUGGCCAGACCUUAAUUAUUGAAAGCCAAGAAUUGUUUGACUAAAUACAACUAGCUCUUCAUUUAAAGGAGUUCAAUCAUUAAGAGGUAAAAAGGAAGACAUAGUUUCAAUAACUAACUAAGAGGUCAUGUAUUCAAUUCAUAGUAGCCGCCUAGGAAUUAAUUUCCUACAAGUUUUCUUUCACCAAAAUGUUGUUGGGUCAGACGAGUUGUCUCGUGAGAUUAGUCGAGUUGUGCGUAAGCUAGUCCAGACACUCACAGAUGUAAUGGAUGGAGUUCGACUCUUUGCUUUUGGGUGCUGUUAUUUUACUCAUAGCUAUGUUUCUGUCUUUCUUAUUGCAUUUGCAUCUGUAAAAAGUUUUCUUGUAGUGUGUGAUAUUCAAUCAUAAUUUAUUUGUGUUAUUUCUCUGAUCAUUUCUUUUAAUGGUUCUACUUAUGUUAUGGAAUUACUUUUUUUUAAUAAAAAAGACACAUAUUCUUACUCGAAAAGUUAUUGAUGUUUGUUGUUUUUUCUUUGACUAUUAACAGUUGGAACUUCUCUGCUUGGAGUUCUCCAUAAAAUGGCGUUGGUUGUGAUCUGUGGCCAGCCAUGCAGUGGGAAGUCCACUGCUGCACUCUGCUUAGCUGAAGCUCUCAAGGAAUCAAAUGUAAAAGAAGCCAUUAAGAUUAUCGAUGAAACUUCUCUUCAUUUGGAUCGGAAUCAGAGCUAUGCCAACAUGCCUGCUGAAAAAAAUCUAAGAGGAGUUCUCAGAUCUGAAGUUGAUAGAUCUGUAUCUAAAGAUAGCAUUGUCAUUGUAGACUCUUUGAACAGUAUAAAGGGUUAUCGAUAUGAACUGUGGUGUUUGGCUCGUGGAACAGGAAUCAGGUAUUGUGUGCUGUACUGCGACGUGGAAGAAACCAAUUGUAGGAAGUGGAAUGAAGAGCGUCGUGAGAAAGAAGAAGCGAGCUAUGAUGAUAAGAUAUUCGAAGAUCUUCUCAGAAGGUUUGAGAGGCCAAAUAGUAGAAAUAGAUGGGACUCACCAUUGUUUGAGUUAUUCCCACAUAAAGAUGGAAUCGAGAAAUCAUCUCAGGUUAUUCUAGAUGCUGUAUCAUACCUGACUAAAACAGUGGACUCAAAGUCUCGUGAUGUAAAAAUUUUACAGCCAACAAUUGCUACUCAGAGCUCUCGAUUUUCGGAGGCUAACUCUCUAUAUGAGUUGGACAAAGCGACGCAAGAGGUGGUUAAUGCUAUUGUAGAAGCCCAAUCUCUGGGAGGGCCUCUGAAUAGUAUCUCUCUGGGUCAGGAAUUACCAACCAUUGACAUUUCAAGGUCGGUUGGACUACCGGAGCUUCGAAGACUACGGAGAACUUUCAUCAAACUAACAGGGCAAACUAGUUUAAGCGGACGACCACCACCCUCUGAUGCCGAGAGUGCCAAGAGGAUGUUUGUUGACUACCUGAAUAGGGAACUGGGGACUUCUUGAAAGUUGAAACUAGAUUAACCUGAAUGAUAAGCUGUAUACUUGUAGCAUAUGAACUACCAAACUUUACAAAGCAAGAGGUAACAGAGAUAUCACUCUUCUUUCUGGCAACUUUGCCAUCAAUUAUUUAAGCUUUGUUGUUAUCGAUGUUUUUUCUCUUAGUAAUCAUAAUAUCUAUGUCCUCGCUGUUACAGAACUAUAGUCAUAUUCUGACAUGAGAUUUUCAGCUCAUACGGUUCCUUGAGGGUCGUAAAUAAAUCUAAGGAGCACAUCAGGAUUAUUUGUAGAUUAUGCUUUGGAAAAUUACGGUCCUUAUAUAUUCACACACACAUGAUAUAUACAUAUACAUAGUUAAUGAGUUAAUUCAAAGAGAAAAUGAGUGAAUCUUUGGUUUCUUCUUUAAAACGAGUUCCAAGAUUGUGUAAUUGUUCUAUUAAUGAGUUCAUACUUUGUUCAUGCUUUUGAUGUGAAUGAGUUUCUUUCUUUGAUAAUGCAUUUCAUGGGUCUUUUAAUGAGUUAAUUUUAUGGUUCGACUGCUGCUCAGACAACUCUACAAGAUAGGGUAUCUAUCGAGACACUGGAUAGGAUCGGGGAAGGGAGGUAUUAUAGAAGUGCAUUUAGAGUCAGAAGUACUUUCUUUAUAUGAGUAGGAAUAGGUACACUGAGAAUAGAGGAAGGGUAUCUAUCAAGGUCUUUCUUGAUUCCGGAAUUCUUAGAAUAAGAUCUCGAAUGAGACAAAGCAAUCACUCUUCCAGAGUAUCUUAGAUUAGGAGUCUUGCUUCCCGUAUCAUAAUAGGAGCUGCUUGACCAAUAGAGAAUAGAGCCGGAAGUCUCUCUUUUUGUUUCAUAGUCAGAAGUACUCUCUUUCUUGAGUUGCAACAAUAGGAAGAGCUCCUCUCAUUGUGCACAUUGAAUAAACCCUUCUCAGUUGUUUCAGAGUCAGACCUGGACAAGUUCUAGAGUAAGAAGAAGGGAGGGAGACAUGAUCGAUUGGAGGAGAAAGAGUUAGAGGUUAGAGAAGUUUCUCUUUCAUGAGUCACUGAACUAAAUAGGGUUCGAAUCCGAAUUGCAAAGAAACCUGUGGGGUAUGCUGCAAGACAAAUAUCUUAUUUCGGACUUCUUAUCAUAUCUAGCCUCUUAUCUUCUGCUGCUGCACGUCUUGGGUUGAGUCGAGCAACUUUUCCCUUCAUUAACUUCUUCCACGGAGAAUGACAUUGCACUUCUGUAAGAGUGAAAGAAUAGUGCGAGCUUCCCCCUGAUGUAGUCGAAAGAUCUAAUCCCACCGACCACCCUACAACGGGGGACCCGGACUAUGAAGAAAGAUCUCCUGCUUCCGCAACUUAUGAAAAGAGGUCAAGCUCUUGGCUCCUUUCCAUGAGAGAGAUCAGAUGUGCUCCGGUGGGGAAAGCUGAGUAGUUCAGUUGCCUUUGAUUGUGAGUUCAUUGGGAAUCUUUGAAAUCACCUCAAGGCUCAACCUAUAGAGGAGAGGAACUUGGUUAGUUUAUCUUUUCCAAUACUCAAAUAAAUAUUAGAUAAAUGUCUAUUUUUAUCUUGAAUUUCAAUUCUCAUCAAAUUAUUGAAGUUAAGUGCCUGGAAAAUAUUUUGUUUUUAUAAAAGAUUAUGUUUUACAAAUAUAUUUUAAAAAGUGAUUUUAAAAAAAUAAUAAUAAUAAAGAGCGCUUCAUAUACUCUUUAUAGAAAAAACCACUAAAAACCAAAUUUUAUCACAUUUAUUUUUCUAUGGAGUGUUUUAAGUUAUAAAAUAUUAAGUAUACAAAAUUGGUAAAUUUUCAAAUAAUGAAGACAUUAGGGAUUUUUCUUUUAAUUAAAAUUAUAUACUUUUUAAUUGGAAAAUUGUCAAAGAAAAAAUUGAACAAAAUACUUACCUUUCAUAAAAAAAAAUGAAUUAUUAUUCUUUUAGUGGUUUUUUCUUUAGAAAAAUGAUUUUUUUUUUAUUUUUUUUUGAAGUUUAUAGUUUGUUUUUCUUUUUAUUACUCUUGAAAGUAAACCUCUUUUUAAUUUGAAUAUUAGUCAAAGUUGAAUUUUUACAAAACUAUUGUUGAAAUUAUUGAAUUUAGUUUUACAUUACGUUUGGUCAGACUAUUGGAUAGAACUUAGAAGGUGGAAAUCGCAACAUUUAAUUUACCAAUUGAUGGAACAAUGAAAUUAAUUUAAACGAAUUGAUAUUCAUAUUAGAUUACGGUAUCUAUCUCUCACAAAUGUUAAAGAAAAAAAAAUAACAUAUAUACACACACAUUGUAAUUAUCAAGAUUUCAUACUGAAUCUGAUUAUUUUUCUCUCUCAAUAUUUAAAGAAUUAAAAUUUUUAAUUUAAAUUAGUUAAAAAAAAAAAAAUUCUCUUCUCCCAUUUAAGAAUAUCAAUGUCGAGAUUUCAAUUUUAAAGAUACAUUGAUGAUAGAAUAUUAAUACCAAAUUUAUUUAGAUUAAUAAGUAACUUAUUCUUACUCAAAAAUAAGAUUAAAAAAUACUGUUAUUAGUAGUCAUAUUCUUAAUCCAUGAUUAACAACAAUCCACGGAUUGUUCUAACCCUAUAAUGAGCAUUCAUGUCCAUCACAUUGCGAAUCAUAUUAAAUGGAGGCAAUGGGUUUUCUUGAGUCAGUCUCCUUGGAUGAUCAGAGAAAAUUAAUGGCAAUUUUUCACAAUUGAGCUCCAUUCAUUCAGUCUUUACAUCUUGCAAGUCUUCAGCCGUCAGUAAAGCAAAAAGGAAUAAUUAAUUUGAACAACGAUGAAUGAAUCUGUGAAUGUUUUGCUAAUCAAGCUACGCACGGACAAAACUUGAGGGAGGAAAACUCAAUUGAACGAAAAAAUCAAUCGCGUGAUGAAAGAAAAUAUGCUGCAUUCAACAUAGAAGAAUGUACUGAUAAUUAAAAGAUAACUAUUUAUUACCAAGUUGGUUUGUUGUUUAAUUACAUUACAUAACUAAUUUUCAUUAGUAGAGACGAAAUACUAACCAUGAACAUCUUCCAAAUAAGUUGAACCCAACUUACAAGUUAUGUUCUGGACUGCAAUCCACCUUUUUGUUUGUUGGUUCAAUCAAACAUGAUGUGAGGGGCUUACAACAAGUUUGAAUGUCUUCCUCCAUUCCCCACAUAGGUAUGACCUCUCCCUUUCUGUAAUCAGGCAGAAUCAGCAAAUCAGUUUAAUAAGAUCUUUUUUAGGUGGUUUAGCCAACGAGUAAAGUUGUAAAUUUUAGGAUAUUGUGAACUCAUUAGAGCUGAGUUCACAGGGUAAAGAGGUAAUAAAGCAUAAAAUUGAUGUUUUUUAGUUUGGGACCCACAAACUCUUAGAGUCAAUAAGGAGGUGAGUUCGCAAAUUCCUCCCCUUCCAACUCGUCCUCCUCAAACCCCUUGAGCCAAACACCUUCAUGACACUUCUAACUAUAGUGUUCAGAUAGAACAACAGAGACAACAUAGAAAGCUUAUCAAAGUAAAUAAUUUGCCUGAAAUAAGUUACUGUUUUGAGAGCAUUAACAAGUCAUUUAGCCAAAGCAGUAAUUGCUACGACCAUCCUAGAGGUGAGAGGUCAGAAUUCCCCAACAUCCAAUUUUUGUAAAAAGAAGAAACAAGCAGUUAGUUCUGAGUAUAGGAUCCUUACUGUGACAGAUAACAGUUAACAACCGCUGAUUUUUGCCACACGAAAGGUUCUAAUAACCAACCUUCACUUUUCCAACAACAUCCUAACAUUUCAACCAUUUUUGAGAUGUAUCUUCCUUUCCACCUAGUUACUGCUUGGCUGCUAAGUGAAGUCACUCUCGAACUUCUUUCCAGUUUCUAAAGUUAUUAAACAAUUAUACGUUUUAUAAUAGACAUGCAAGAGAAAAUAUCCAUUUUUUUUCCUCGUGUUGUUAAUUUCAGUAUCUCAAAAUGCCUAUCAUGUUCCUACUGGAAGCACAAUGACUGCAAUGAAUCCAGUCAAUUGACAGUGAUGGAUAUGGAAGCUGUCUUGUACAAUUUGAUGUGUACAAUUGCUAUACUCGAUAGAUCCAGUUAUGCAGUUACUAUAGUCGUUAGAUUCAGGCUCAGAAGCUACCAGUUCAAAGAUCCUAUCCGUAGAAGAUCCUCCAAAGACUGUUUUGAUCGAAGCUAAAGUAACGAUGCACAAGAGUAACCAGUUUAUAAUCGAUCUACGGCGAAAAUACACAAUGAACCAGGAGCUUUCCAUAUUCAAUUGUGAAACUCAGUUAUACAUGGAGUCGAUCAGCCUAAAUUCAUAAUCCAUGAUUAACAAUCCUCAUGUUCUUGUAUAUUUACUGCCUGUUAAUGACAGGGGUAGGAAUCAAUUGACUUCAGGUUGAAGGUGAUAAAGUUUUGAAGAACUGGGUUGAGGCAGAUUUGAUGUGUAGGGUUAGUUUUUUUUUCCUUUUUCCAUGUCAGCAACGCCAAAUUUUUUGUCCAAUUUUGUGCAGUCAUUCCUUGAGGUUCAUGGAUUCUCUCCUCAAAGGGGAAAUUGUUUAUUAUGAUUCUUUUUCUCUGUACAGACAGUACCUAAUGUACAAAUAUUGAAUAGGAAAAACAGGCACCAAAGCCAUAGUGGAUUUCUUUCCUUCUUCUUUGUGGCAGUGUUAUACAGUUGCAAUGUCAAACUCAAACUCACAUCGUCCAAGGACUUUUUGGGACUUGGCACUGCCUCUACCUCUAUUUUGGACCUGAAAAGUUCAACAUAAGAUUCUCCAGAAUGGAACUGAAUAUCCUUGACAGAUUUAGGGUGGUGUGUUUGUGAGUGAUUUUGAUAUGGUUAAUAUCAUUUUCUGUCAUGUUUAAAGGAUGCCUUUGUUGUGUCUAAAUCCACCAUAAAACAUUAUUAAAUCAAGUUAAUCAAAUGCGUUGAAAUUGAUUUUGAAUCAUUAAAAGUAGUUUCAAAUUGAUUUUAAAAAUGACAAAAGUGACUUUAACUAUUUGAAAACCACUCCCAAAGAUGCAAAAAAGAAAAAAAAAUCACCCUGAAAAAUAGUUUUAAAUUUAAUCAUUCAAAAGCAUUCUUAAAUUUUAUUUGUUAAGAAACACAACUAAAAAGUGUGAAACCAAAUAUUAAUUUGAUUUUGAAUAAUUAGACAUGUUUUGAAGAGAUUAUGAACAUGACAAAAGUGACUAACCAUUUUGGAAUCAUUUCUGAAGAUGCCUUUAGCAAUAUGUUACCAUUGAUGAAGAGUUAGGGUCAAGUUUGUUCUUUGCUUUGACAUUCAUAAAUUAGGGCAGGCAUUAAGAAUAAGAAAAACAUCCUUACCCACAAAUAAAUUUGCACUUUAUCAACUAAUGUUGCCUUUUCAAAUCAGCAAAACUUCUCAAGUUCAAGCAUCUGCUAGAGAAAUGUAAACAAUGAAACAAACAUAUAACAGAACAUCAGAAAAACGUAUUAAAUAACUAAUGAAACUAAAAUAGUACCUCCAACACAUUACCGAAGAAGUAGAUGGAAAUCACGCCUCAAACACUUAAUCCUUUCAACUUAACACAGUAGAUAAGUUUGCUCAUCAACGUCAUGAAGCAAUUCGUUAUCCAGUAACGCAUUUCAUUUAUCUACAACAUAUCACAGAAAUAGAUGGAAAUCACCUGAAUGCCUAAUCCUUUCAACUCAACAUAGUUGUUAAGUUUGCCCUCAACGGCAUCGUGAAUCGAAUCAUAAUCCAGUAAGGCUUUUGAUUUAUCUUCAACACAUCAAAGAAGAAGGAGACGGAAAUCACCUGAAACACCUAAUCCUUUCAACUCAACACAGUCAAUAAGUUUGCUCGAUAACGUCAUGAGGUGGUUCAUAAUCCAAUAAGGCAUUUCAUUUCAAAUCUGUUACUGCUCGAUUUCUCCUCCUAUCUCUAGUGGUCAUUUUCUCCCCAUAUCUCUGAAAAAUAUCAGCCAAAUCAACCAAUCCAACUUCUCUCAACUUAUUCCCCACCUCUCUAAACAUUACCACCCCCUCCUCAUUCGAAUAGUAAUGUAAAAAUUUGUUGUAAUCAAACCUUGGCACUUCAAGCCCUCUUUUCAUAAGUCUCUCCACAUACUUUGUAGCCUCCAAUGACUUCCCAUUCUUCACCAACCCUCCAACAAAAAUACUAUCAAAAUUCACAAGUGGAUCCGAUCCUUUCCUCCCCCUUUUCCCUAGAUGUCCUUGCAACAACAUUAUAUAUGUAUGCAUUAUAGGCUCACACCCUCUUUCUAUCAUUUCCCUGAAAACUUGAGUUGCUUCAUUUGCCCUUUUCAACUUCAAAAGUCCCUUGAUAAAUGCAUGAUACACAUCCAAAUCAGGAUUCUCAAUUCGUCUCAUUAUAUUAUAAGCUUCUCUCCUCCUCCCUCUUGCUAAAAGUCCAUAAAUAAGUGAAGAAUGUACCGAAUUAUCAACUUCAAGUCCUCUCUUAUGCAUUUCGUCAAACACAAUGAAUGCUUGUCCCACCUUACCUUUAUUACACAACCAUCUUAUCACAAGACUAUAAGUUGAAGGAAUCAAAUCAUUCAUCCUAUCUGAUCUAAGUGCCUGGAAAAGUUUCAAAGCUUCGUCCAAUUUAUUGGUCUUGAAAAGAACAUUCAUCAUCUCCUCCACAGCUUCCAUUUCAGGCUCAAACCCUUCAUCCACCAUUAAGUUCCACAUCUUUGAAGCCUCAAUCAAAUCCCCCACAUUGCAAAACCCCUUAAUCAACAACUUAUAAGUAACCCCAUCAGCUUUGAUCCAUUCAUUCAAUUUCAUAACCAAAAACUUAGCCUCAUCCACUAGUUUACAGCCACACAAUUUCUCAACUACUCUAUUCAAAGUUACUAAACUAUAACAAAACCCAUACCCAUUCAUCAAAUGGAAAAACUCUACACAUUUCUUCAACUCUCUGGCCGUCGCCAGAGUUCUCAGAGCAACAACAAAGGUUUUUAUCAUUAACCAACCGCCGCCGCCCCAUUUCUUGAAUCAAACCCCACAAGAGAUCGAUAUUUCGUGACUUCCCAACAACAUCAAUCAACUUGUUGAAAGAGACAGCCGUGUGAGUGAAAUUGGGGUGAGUUUCGGUGAAUUGGAAGAAUCGAUAAACGGGACGCCAUGAGAGAGGGAAAGUGUUGCAUACCUGGAGGAAGAAUUCGUGUGAGAGGUUGAAAUUACAGGCGAGAAGUUUGGUGUGAAGCUUGAGAUCGGGGGAGUUCUGUUGCUGAUACAAAACGGUACAAACACGGCGGAGAUGGGUCGAGUCGAUUGGCUGAGGAAUGUUGUCGGCAGCCGUGGAGGAGUCGGAAGUAAAGGGAGAAAAACGUUGAUGAAAGAUAAAGGAAAAUGAGAAAUUAUUGAUGAUGAUACGUCGAUAGGUAAUGGCUGCCAUUUUGUUUCGCCAUUAGAGAGGGAAAUGGAGAAAAACAUAGCAGCUCGAAUUUAUAGAGAAGGAGAGAAACCAAAUAUUGAAGGGGAAAAGUAUAAAAGUAUAAAAGUAUAAAUAAAAAAUGGAGAUGCAGGGGAUCGAACCCUGUACCUCUCGCAUGCAAAGCGAGCGCUCUACCAUUUGAGCUACAUCCCCAUGUUUUGAUAACCAAUUUAUAUCAUUUUUAAUUAUUAAAAUCUUAAAAUUUUUUGAUGGAAUAGUUUCCUAAAAUUUAUUAAAAAUAUAUAUAUAAUUAAUAAAGUAAAUUGAUUAUAUAUAAUUAUAUAUAAUUAUAUAUAAUUAUUAAAGUCAUGUGUAUUAGAGUACAAUUUAUUAUUCUUAUUAUUAUUUGGUUAUGUACUUGAAACGAACACUUGAAUAUGUGCUAAUGAUAGCAAACCUUAAUUGUGAUAUUAAAAACAAUGGUUUGAAAAGCAUAAUAGUAAUCUGUUAUAUGUUUUAAUAAUAACUAAAAAAACAAUAUAUAUAAAUUUAAAAAAUAUAUUUGAAAAAAAAAGAUAAUUAUAUAUACUAACAACUACCCGAGCCUAUUAUCCAAAUAUAGCCCGAGGAAGUCAUAGAAUAGCUGAAUUUUGAAAAUAGUGAAUUCAAAUCAUAUCUAACCUAUCGAAUAAAUGGAGGAAACCGAAUGUAUCCCAAAACUUGAGUGGAGCCAACCAUUAGAUUUGAAACACUGUGACACUCCAAAACUAGCAAGUUAUUUUAAUUUUUUUAGUUGUUAGUUUUUGGAAAUUGAAAUUCUAUUUUUUAGAAUUUAGUUUUGGAUUUAUUGGUUCGUGAAUUAAAUAUUUUUUUAUUUUGAUUCUAUCUUAAUUGCUUAUUUAUUUUUAUUAUUUAAAGCUUUUCUUCAAACUUUAAAUUAUUUUCUUAUAUAUUUAAAUAAAAAAAAUCUAUAAUUAUUUAAAUAAUAAUAACCUCAAAAGUUGGGUUGUUCAUUAUUGGUUAUUGAGCUAACACAAAGGUUAUUGACAAAAGUCAUAUUUUCAUUUACAUGAACGGUGAGUUAAAAAGCAUAUUAUCCGUCUAUGGAAUCCAAAGGAGAGCUUCUAAUUUCUAAAUCCCAAUUCCCACUCCUUCAAAAAUCACCAUAGUGAUAAUUUAAUACAAUAUGUAUCAUACAGAAUUAACAUUCUCAUUCCUCCAUUAUCCAACCAAACAAAAGAAGGAAUUAAAUACCAAAGCCUUUUUUUUCUCUCUCUCUCUUUCACAAUUUAUUAAAAUUUAUUUAUUCAAUGCAAGUUCAAAUCACAUUUCUUGAUAAGUACUUAAAAUUUGUGAACCAGACUUGUGUGCUAAGGCAAUUUCAACGGAGGUAUUUACUUGAGUUUGUCAAAUGAUGCAUCACCAAAAUUGCUUCCCAUUGGAAUGUUAUCUGGUGGAACAUGAAAACGGAGAUCACCAUCCAAACGCCAAUGUUUCCUGGUCAAUAAAUUUGUGGAUAAGUGAACAUUGAUGAAGCAUGCACUAAGAUUUAGUUAUUCAUUUACCAUUCAACAAAAAUUCCAAAUAUAACAAAAUUUAUAUUUUAACUUCCAAAGUUUGUCUAUUAGUAAGACUAUGUUGUAGAAGUCAAUCACCAAUAAAUUUUGGUGUAUUUAUAAAAAAAAAUUAAAUAUUGAUAUACACUUAACUAUAGACCUAAAAGUGUUGCCAUGGUUAAUUACCCUGUUUUUCAUGAGAAUUGUUAUUAUUUAACCAAUUUCAAAGAAGUAGAGGACCAAAAUAACUUAACGAAAUUCUAUUAAGAUGUCAAAAUUGCCCUACGGAAAGUAAACAGAUUUCCUUGAAAAUUUAAAGAAAGAAGCUAUUCUUGCUUCCGAUACGUACCACAAAAAGAAUUCUUCCUAAAUCUUGACUUUGAACUUAUUAGUCAACUUCCAAAAAUAAUGUUGAGAAAAAGAGGAGAGAUUACGUAUGUACCUGACCAUUAGAAGAUAAAUCUUGGAUUACAUUUCUAAAUCUUCCUCUCCAGAGGCUUUUCUUGAUUCAUUUUCUGCCACCUAAUGCAGGAAGUUUCCAAGCAACCUCUGAUCGAAAAUCAUGUUUGGAACCUAGAAGAAGAAGCAAAGCUACUGAGUUAGGUCCUAGGCAUCAAUGCAUGUGAUGUAUGACAGUAUAAGCAAGAAAACAGAACGUGCCUUGUCCCCGAAGAAAAUCUUUGUAUUAUCAGCAAUGGCCUCGAUAAAUUUUAGCUCAAGAAACUGGGGUGUAAGCUUCAACUUGUUAGCUUCAGCUUCUUUUAGUACACUGAGAAGAAGGAAGAUGAGAGAACAUUUAUGUCAUUAGGUAUUCGGUAUCGGUGCAACAGGCAUUCAUUCCUCACUUUGAAAGCAAAAUGAGAAAGUACCGGUAAUAAUUGGCAUCCGCGAGACUCUUUUCACGAGCAAGAUAGAUAUGGUUAUCAAUUUCUUGUUGUCUCCUGGAACUCUCCUUCUCCAUCAAUUUCUGUUCCAUGAGGAUCCUGCUAACAUUAGCAUUCUUCUCGGCUUCGCUAAUUGCCAUUUUUUUUUUGGUCUCUGCUUCUUUCUCUACUACCCUUUGGCUCUCUACGGCAAUUAGAACCUAUCCAAGUAUGCCAAGAUUCAUUAGAAUAAAUACAAGCAGAAAUAUGUAUUUUAUUGAAAUAAUAAUAAUAAUUAUAAUAAAAGUCUUGAAAGGAUGAACUUUAGGUUUCUAGCUGCAUAAAGCACUAAAUGGUGUAAAUUUGGACGAAAUUUGGUCCAAAACAUUAAGAAGUAGCAUGAAAAUAUGGGUUUCUAGGUUUCUAAAGCUCUAAGAAUCGUCUAAUGAACUUUGGUUCAAAACGUUAUUCAUAUGAAUAUUGUGGACCUAAAAUACACCUUCACAGGUAUUCAUGCUAAUUUUUUUAAUUAAAGAGGUAAACUCUAUUUUGAAUUAUUAUGACGUGUAAGACUAAAGAACCAACAAUACACUUAAUACAAGGCACAUACUUUCAGCACUAGCCUUUGUGAGCCUCUGAUUUAUACCUUGUUUGAAACUCAAACAAAACGAGAAUAAAGUUGGUUUCCCAUGUUAGAGAUGUACCUUUGUACGUUCCACUUCCAUGUCUUCAAAGUUCUUUCUGAUAGAAUUUGGGAUGGUAGGUUUGGUUACACGAACACUGACUAUUUCAAUACCAGGAGCAUAACGUGUACAGUCACCUUGGAGGGCAUCUUUCAUUGUUUCAUCGAUCUAAACAUGAAAACCAGUCACGGAUCAUUCAUACUAAAGAAACGCUUGAUGCCAAUCAAGAAAGAAUAUACGAGAAGUUUCAUGGAAACAUAAGCUUUUACAGCCUCAAUCAGAUUCCUUGAAAGAAUGGAAAGCUGAAGAAAAGAAAAAUAUCUGGCACAAAUGAAUACAAAUAAGGCAGUAAGUUGCCAAAAUACUCAAGGUGGACAAUUUCACUAGCUAGAGUUUACAAUUCGCACGGUGCUCUUAUCAGCUCUGCAAGCCGUUUGUGAAAAUAAAAAGAUGCAAGGCUUUAAAAGCACACACCUGAUCAAAGACAUCAAUAUAAACUUGUUGAAGACUGUGGGAGCUACAAAACUGAUUGAUCUCAUGAUGAAUUUUAUCAUAUAUCCAUAUGUUAUCAUAAUUCACACCAUAGUUGACCAGGGUGUCAUACACAUAUUCUUUGCGGAGGCGAUUGACAACCUGAAAGUAGCAUCCUUAUCAACUAAGAUGAAAAACAUGAAAAUCUAACAUCAAUAAUUGUGAAGGAAUUUCAUAGUAAUUGCACCUCUAUUUUCUCGAAGUUGAUCAUCACACCCCCUUAGUACCACAUGGAAUGUCCCUUACCUGGAUGUGGACAUCAAUUAGAACAUCUUCAAAAUAUUGAAAUCCUAGAAUCGACGUUAAAUUCUAACUUACUUGAUCGGUCUGGAGGGUCACUUGAACAGCCACAAACUGGGUUAUCAGUGGCAACUUCAGAUGGAAACCUGAAAUUUUUAACAUGAAAAAAAUAAAAGGACAUACGAUAUGCAUAACAACAAAAAAAGGUAGGAAGGAGAGACUUAAACCUGGAUCAGUUAUUGUCUUCAGAAGGGCACCUCCUCUCCAAUAUACCCCCACGUGACCCUCCGGUACUUGAUGUAAAAUAGAAAGAUUAUUUGACAAGUUUGAUUGAGAUGGAAAGAGCACCUACAUGUAUGUAAUACAGUUAUACAGCCAGUAGAAUCAACCAGAUAAGUUACAGUGAUUUUGUAAUUGUUCAUUGUACACACUUAGGCACAAAAAAUGGGAAUGCCAAAUAAACAUUUAUAAGGUGAUACAACUUCUUGACCACGUUUUGUGUAUGUUAAUCAGUAUUUGGACAACUAGUACGGAUCCAAUUGUCAAUUGUGCUUUCCCUCGGUUGAUUGUCCUAUGAAAACUAAUACUGAUCCAAAAUCUACUUUAUAUAUUAAACUUAGCAGACCUGCCAUGUGUGAAACGUAGAAUUUAUCAAGUUUACAUAAACCGUCCGCUGUUUGCUUCAAUUUGUUGAACCUUUUUUCUUAUACGACAAAAUUUGGCCAAAAUUUCUCAACUAUGUCAGACUCCACAUUUAAAAGCCAUGGCCGAACUAGCUACAAGAAGAUCAGAGAUUCAUAAGACUACUCUGUAAUAGAAACUAGAUAGAAACUUCUUUCUUCAUUUUUUAAUAGUACAUCAUUGGAUUUUGCGAAUCUCAUACUCAUACGCUUGAUGUUUCCAUCGAUGGCACUACUCCAUGUGUAUUUUAAUCAAUUGGGUAAUCUCUCUGUAACUCCCACAUACGGCACUGGAUAUGACUUAAAAACAAGUAAACAAACAAGUAUGCAAUCAAACAGUAGUACUGAUGAACUUAUUGUAAAUCGAAGAAACGCAUUCUUUAAUACAUCAAACCAACAAACUAACUACCAAAACAAACAACGUAAAAAUCGAACGUAUUAGCAUUCUAACUCCAUUUCACAACGGAGAAAAACAUAGACGAAGAAUCAACGCAUCUAGUUGAGACAAAAUACUUUGACCUCAGAUAGAAUAGAAACAAGACGGUGUAUCAAAAAUCAAUUGUCGGAAUCUAUGGCGUAAGAAAAUCAAAAUGAAAUUUCAGAAACAAAAACACGAAACCUAGCGUGUUUUGCAGUUGGAUAAGGAAUGAAUAAGAUAUACCAUGGAAAAGAUGGCCAGGAAGGAGGCGAAAACUAGGAGUAUGGAUGAGGAACUCCCGGCGGAUUCUGGAGGACGAGGCUGCGGAGAUGGCGGUUGCAGCGGCUGAUUACGAUCCAUGGCGCGGUCUCGGUGUAGAGAAGACUGAAUCAAAUUAGUGGAGUUUUGUGUAGACUCUGAUUGGCGGAUUGAAUUUAUACUGUUUUGCUAACGGAAGGUAAAAAGAAAACUGCUGCAAGAAAGGAAUUUCUUACCUCCUAACCUUUCACGUUGGGCUGAAAAUAAAAUUAAUGGAGAAAUGUCUUUCUAUUUCUUGUAUUUUUAGAUUUUUUUUAACAUCACUUUUACGUUAAAGGUUGAUUUAGUUCCUAAAAUGGACACUUACUCAUCAAUCAAUAGACUUUAUCAGCAAUAAUGGUAUGAUUUAGUUCCUAGAGUUUACAAUAGGUAUUGAUAUGAUUUUGUUUGUGUGGGUGUUAAUUUUAGGAGAGAUAGAUAUGAUGAGAAUUUUUCAAAAACAAAUUUUGAUGAUUGGAGGGACCAUACCCUUCUCAAAAGGGCUUUCCACGUGAAAUAAUUGUAAAGUUGAGUGAAGUUUGAAUAGUAACAAACAAAAAGAUAGAAACGAAGGAGUAGUUUGUAACUUCCACGUGAAAAAUAAAACAGCCUCUCCAUUUGGAUUUGGAUAGAGAGAGGAAGAAAAAUUGCAUUUGCCCGCGCUUCCAUUAGCAAAGAUGCUGUCUCCAACAAUGGCUUCGACUUGGGGCUCGGCUCCAUUGCACAUUCAAUGGAAGAAACCGAAGCGUCCGGGUGUUAUCCUUAACGAGUUACCUUCAUUUCUUCCCAAAGAAGUCUACAACAUCAAAGACCAAUCUGCUCGAAACCUCGCUUCAAGGAUUCAGAGGCUACCCGUAAGUUCACACCUGGAAAAUCUCGUACCAUUUCGUCGUUUGCUAGUUGUUUUAACAAUCAUUUAAUGAUUAUUUCACAUGGGUUGGGGAAAACUGUAAUAGAAACUCUCAAUUCGAGGAAGUUCAAGCUAUGUUUUUUGUGGAAUUCUACCUGUUAAUGUGACUUUUGAAUCGAAGGGGUUUUAAGCUAAGAAUUGUUCUUGCUCUGCAUGUAGGUCAGCUUCUCGGAUUUUUGUAUUAUGAGUAGUUGCGUUAAGCCGUCAAUACAGAACAAAGACUGUCCUGUGGUUCUUCUCCAUGGCUUUGACAGGUUUCUUUCACUAGUUAGAAAUAAUAUUCGUGUAAAAUAAAUACAACGCUGUUUGUUGGUUCUGUUAUUAUUGUUAUUAGUUUAUCUUUUCCUCGUUCAUCACAUCUUAUUGUUCAGCUCCUGUUUAGAAUGGAGAUACACAUAUCCAUUGCUUGAGGAAGCUGGUUUAGAAACUUGGGCUGUCGACAUUCUUGGCUGGGGCUUCUCUGAUUUAGGUUUGUCUAAUUGCUUUGUGUUCCUCUAUUCAUUGAUCGAUAAACCAUUUUUUCUCUCUAAUUUUCGUAGUUGCAUGUGAUAGAAAGACUCCCACCAUGUGAUGUGACUUCUAAACGUGUUCAUUUGUAUCAGGUAAUGAAAACCCUCCUGUUUAGAUUGUUUUCCUGUAUGUAUUUGGGGCAAAUUUCUCUUCAAUUCCAAUUCUGUUUCCUUCCUGUAUGAUCUUAAUAUGCUGACACUUGCUUCAUUGUUAUAACUUAUAGGCUUGUUUUAUUUUUUCAUCAUUGCUAUAAGCUUUUGCAUUAAUCAUUAUUUUCCUGUUCUCUUUAAGUUUUUUUUUUUUUUUCCUGAAUAAUUCUUUAUUAUCAGUCACACUUAUAUCUUGUCCAGUUAUGUUGAAACUAAUUAAGUUUUCCCUUAUGCUGACUAUAGCUUUGGAAAUCUUAUAUUAAAAAGCCAAUGGUAAUUGUUGGACCAAGCCUUGGUGCUGCUGUUGCUAUUGAUUUUGCUGUCAAUUAUCCAGAAGCUGUAUGUAUCUACCAGCUGGAAUUUAUGACUACAAAUUUGAAGUUAUAUCCUCAUGUAAAGUCAUUCCAGAGAGUCUUCCGUCCAAUAUAACGAGAUUAUUUCAGGUCGAUAGGCUUGUGUUGAUUGAUGCAAGUGUAUAUGCAGAAGGUACAGGAAACUUAGCUACCUUACCAAGAUCGAUUGCCUAUGCUGGGGUGAGACUUUGCUUACUUCUGUGAACAUUACAUCAAGUGUGCCAAUGCUAAGCACAUUUGAUGAGAGAUUGAUUUUAUGCAAUUACAAUUUACAAAACCACAAAAUUUACUUCAUCUGUACAUCCUUUCCCAUCCAUUUUACCAUACCAUUAUUGCAUCACCACAUGCUUUCAUGAUAAUUCUUCUGCUAAAAUCUUCUGGGAGAGAAUCGUUCUACUAAUUUUUUAUCUACAAAUUUGAUUUUUUGCAAAGAAAUUGACAGUUUCUAGGGGGGAAGAUUUUUACACUUGUUUCUUUUCUGAAAAAUCGUCUUGGAGACACUUCUUAUGUUUGCUGAUUUCUAUGUAAGUCAUAAGUUUUUUAAACUUUUUUAUCAGGUAUUUUUAUUGAAGAGCAUUCCUUUGCGCGUAUAUGUGAAUGUUUUGACCUUCACUGGUAUACCAUUUAGUACCAGCCUGGAUUGGGCCAAUGUAAGUUUUCCCCGACAUUAAGGUGCAUGUUUAUCAUGUAGUUGUUGACUUGAUGUGUAUUUUGUGAUAUUGGAAGUUUUGCUUGACAUGAAGAUAAAAUGUCAUGUCCAUAACCAAUUGACUUACAUCCUGCUUCGACUGUUCUCCUUCUACUCUACUUAUAUUUUAUUAGAUUGGCCGCCUGCAUUGUUUAUUACCUUGGUGGGAGGAUGCGACUGUUAGUUUUAUGUUAAGUGGGGGAUAUAAAGUCAGCAGCCAGAUUGAAAAGGUUAGCACAACUCUUUUGCAAUAUGGUUGUUGGAAAAUGCAAAAUGUAUCUUGUUUUUUGAAUUAGAAAAUUGCAAAUAUAUUGGUGAUCAUAAGGAAAAGUUUCCAUUCCUCGUCAAGUUAUGUAGGCGUUUUCAUCAAGGGUUGUUGGAAUGUUUUUUUGUUCUAAGGUCAUUUUCAUAUUGUUCAUUCGACAAUUAUCAUAUCGACAUUUGAGAAUCAUUAGGUACUUCUGAGAGUUACGUGCAUUUUGGUUCAACAGGUGAAGCAGAAAACGCUUAUUAUAUGGGGUGAGGAUGAUCAAAUCAUCAGCUACAAGCUUGGAGUGGUUAGUGUUGUAAUUUAGAAUUCAGAAACGUAUAUGUCUUAUUCUCAUUGAGUCAAAGCAAUGUUACAUAUUUAUAUAGAGAAUAAACUAAACCCUAGAGACUAAGUAAAAUUACAAUAAAGGACAUAUGUAUAUAUAUAUAUAUAUCAUAACACUCCCCCUCAAGCUGGAGCAAAUAUGUCGAUCAUGCCCAGCUUGUUGCACAGAUAGCUUAUCCUUGUUCCAUUUAAAGCUUUAGUUAGAAUAUCUCCCAAUUGUUCUCCGGUCUUCACAUAUCCUGUGGACACCAACCCAUCUUGGAUUUUCUCACGAAUGAAGUGACAAUCCACCUCAAUAUGUUUAGUUCUUUCAUGAAAUACUGGAUUAGAUGCAAUAUGAAGUGCAGCUUGAUUAUCACACCAUAAUUUAGCUGGCACGGUAAUACUGAAGCCUAUCUCAGAUAAUAGUUGGUGAAUCCAUACUAUUUCACACACAGAUUGUGCCAUAGCUCUAUAUUCUGACUCAGCACUCGAACGAGAAACAACAUUUUGUUUCUUACUCUUCCAUGAAACUAAGUUUCCACCUACAAAAACACAAUAUCCAGAAGUCGAUCUCCUAUCCUCACGAGACCCCGCCCAAUCAGCAUCAGAAAAACAUUCAACUCUCGUAUGUCCAUGAUCUUUGUAUAGGAUCCCACGUCCAGGAGCAGCUUUUAGAUAACACAAAAUCUGCUCUACUGCAGCCCAAUGAUCCACUGUAGGGGAAGACAUGAAUUGACUUACAACACUUACAGAAUAUGCAAUGUCUGGUCGAGUCACUGUUAAGUAGUUCAACUUCCCAACUAAUCUCCUAUAUCUCUCAGGAUCUUUACAUAAUUCUCCUUCUUUAACAAGUUGCUGAUUUGGCAUCAUUGGAGUGCCACUUGGUUUGGCGCCUAAUUUUCCUGUUUCAGACAACAAAUCAAGUACAUAUUUUCGUUGAGACAAAUAAAUACCUUUCUUGCUUCUCAUCACUUCAAUGCCCAAAAAAUAUUUCAAUUGGCCCAAAUCUUUUGUAUAAAACUGACCCUGAAGGAAAGUUUUGAGAGACGAAAUACCCAAUACAUCAUUUCCAGUAAUAACAAUAUCAUCAACAUAUACAACUAGUAGAACUAUACCCUUCUCAGAUCGGCGAUAGAAAACUGAAUGAUCAGAUGUACUCUUCUUCAUACCAAAGCAUACAAGGGCUUGACUAAACUUACCAAACCACGCACGAGGACUCUGUUUCAAACCAUACAGAGAUUUUCGAAGGCGACAUACUUUAUCACUCUCCCCCUGAGCAACAAACCCUGGUGGUUGUUCCAUAUAAACUUCCUCUUGAAGAUCACCGUGAAGAAAAGCAUUCUUAAUGUCAAGUUGAUGCAACGACCAUUUAUUGGUAGCAGCCAUGGAAAGAAAUAGGCGAAUGGAAGUUAACUUGGCAACCGGAGAGAAUGUAUCUGAAUAAUCAGUGCCAUAGAUUUGAGCAUAACCUUUGGCAACAAGGCGAGCCUUUAAACGAGCCACUGUUCCAUCAGGAUUCAUCUUGACAGCAAACACCCAUUUACAACCAAUGGCCUUCUUUCCUGCAGGACGAGAUACCAAAUCCCAAGUACCAUUAUCAUCUAAAGCAGUCAUCUCCUCAAUCAUUGCAUUUUGCCAGCCAGGAUGAGACAAAGCUUCAUGAACAGAGUUAGGAAUAGAUGUGGACUCAAGAGACGUAAUAAACGCAUAUGUGGAGGGAGAUAACUGGUGAUAGGAAAUAAAGGAAGAAACGGGGUAAGUACACUUGCGUUUACCUUUGCGAAGAGCAAUGGGAAGAUCAUCACUUGGCGCUGGAUCACAUGAUGAAGGAAGCAUUGAUGGAGGACAUGAGUCUGAAGGUUGUGGUGGAGGUCGUCGGGAGUAGACUUGAGAAAUCAACGGGCGGGAAGGAGACACAUCAGUAGACAAGGAUGGUGUGGGAGAGGUAACCUCAUAUAUAAAAAGAUUGUCAUCCUCCCCCUGACACAAACUCGAUGGUGAUGAAGUAAAGGGUGUAUCUUCAAAAAAGACAACAUCAGGCGAAACCAGAUACCUUUUAAGGGUAGGACAAUAACAACGAUAACCCUUUUGAACACGUGAAUAACCCAAGAAGAUACACUUCAAGGAUUUGGGAUCUAACUUAGUAUGAUGAGGACGAACGUCACGAACAAAACAGACACAACCAAAUAUCUUAGGAGCAAUAGGAAACAAAUGCUUGGUAGGAAAAAGAACACGAUAGGGAAUCUCACCAUUAAGAACAGAGGAAGGCAUUCUAUUAAUCAAAAAACAAGCUGUAGAGACAGCAUCAACCCAAAAGAUUUUUGAAACAUGCAUUUGAAACGAUAAAGCACGGGCAGUUUCAAGUAAAUGCCUAUUUUUCCGCUCUGCAACACCAUUUUGAGAUGGAGUGUCAGCACAGGAAGAUUGAUGAAUAAUGCCAUUUUCACACAAGUAAGAGCCAAGAGAAUGAGAAAAAUAUUCACCCGCAUUAUCAGUACGCAAAGUUUUGAUAGAGACAUUAAAUUGGUUUUUUAUUUCAGUAUGAAAGGCACAAAAAUGAGAUAAUAACUCAGAACGAUUUUUCAUUAAAUAUAACCAAGUUAGACGAGAAUGAUCGUCAACAAAAGUAACAAAAUAACGAAAGCCUGUUUGAGAUACAACUGGACACGGACCCCAAAUAUCAGAAUGAACUAACUCAAAUGGAGCAAUUGCUCGUUUAUCGACUCGAGGACUCGAACUAAGACGAUGAAAUUUCGCAAAUUGACACGAAUCACAAUUUAAAGAGGACAAAGACCUAAAUUCUGGAUAAAGUUUCUUCAACACAAACAAAGAUGGAUGACCUAAACGACAAUGGACUUCAAAAGGAGAGGGAACGACAGGACACGCCACAGCUUGCGAUACUUGAUGAUCAAAGAGAUAAAGGCCUCCUGACUCAUAUCCUCUACCAAUAAUCUUCUUCGUCACACGAUCCUGAAACAAGCAAUAACCAGAAAAGAACAUGACAACACAAUUUAGGUCAUGAGUAAGUUGACUAGUAGAAAUUAAAUUAAAGGAUAAGUUAGGCAAAUGUAACACAGAAGAGAGAGAAAAGGAUGGGGUAAGGUGAAUAGUGCCAGAGCCAAGAACAGAAGAUGUGGAGCCAUCGGCCAAUGUAACAGAUGGGAAAGGGGCAGGGGACAACGGUCUAGAAAAUAGGUGAGAAUUACCUGUCAUAUGAGCUGUGGCACCAGAGUCUAUGACCCAUUUGGUAGAUGAUGUAAGAAGACACUUUAUAUUACCUGGGGCAACAGUGGAUGCAAUCGGAGUAGAGGAAGAUGACGCUUGUAAUGACUCUUGGUAAUUCUGAAACUUAGCAAACUCAUCUGCAGAAAUAGUAACUGACGCCUCUGGUAUAUCGCAUGUGGAGGCUAUCUGAGCAUGUUGAGAUCGUUGACUAUUCUUAUAUAGCAAUUUCCGACAAUCACGUUUCAUAUGGCCUGGCUUACGACAGUAGUUACAAACAAUCUCUACAGACUCUGGUUUUCGAUGAUCAGUACUAUUCCUCUGAGGUGCCCGAGGGUUAUUGUUCUUGCUAAAGAGAGCACUACUGGGUUGAGGAAUAGACACACUAGUCGGAGAGCUUUCAAUGCGAAGGACUCGAGUGAAGGCAUCAUCUAAUGAUGGAAUCUUGGAGUCAGAGAGAAUCUGUGUCUUUGCCAUUCCAAAUUCAGGUAAGAGUCCAUUCAGAAAAAUCAUAACAGCCAUCUUCUCUCGUUGAACUUGUUGAACUUUAACAUCAGGACUAAAAGGUAACAACAAGCCAAGCUCGGCAAUGAUCUUCUUAAGCCGCAUAAAGUAGCUGGUGACAGACUCAGCUUUCUGUUCCGCACGAAAAAAUUGCAUACAAACUUCAAACAUUCUAUGCACUUGCUCUUUACCUGAGUAUAGAAAAUCCAAAAAUUCCAAAAGUUCUUUAACAGACUCACAGUGAUCAACCAAUCCAAUUAUCUCACUCUCAAUUGAAUUCUUGAUCUGAAGAUAUAAACGGGCAUCAUCACGAAGCCAAUCCUUCUUCUGCUUUGCAUCUUUUGGGGGAUCUUCAGUCAUAUGAUCAUCCAUAUCAGUACUUCUCAAAUAAAAUAAAAUUGUCCGACGCCAAUCGUAAUAAUUGGAUCCAUUUAACUUAUGUUCUGUGAUCUUAGAGGCCAAGGGAAUAACGUUGGAGACUACCAAAUUUUUUAUGUCGGCCAUAUUGAAGUCACACGUUGAUUGUAGUCCACUCGAACAAAGAGAAAAUCAAUCCAAACAGCUGCAAAAUUGGAAAAAGAGACAAAACCAAUCGUGUAACCUUCGGUUUUCGUCAAACCCGAAUGUUAUUUGAUAGACCCAAUGGUACAGACUGGCAGGAAACAAUGGUUCGAGACAAGCCCAGAAGACAGAAGACAAAUCGGACUUCUCACGCGCUCUCACGCGCCGGCGCGUGGGUGAAGGUGACGAUGAUUCCGGCGGCGCGUGAAGGUCACGCGCGGUGUUUUCCGGCGAUCGGCGAAGACAGACUUGGGCGGACGGAGGUGGUGCUUCUUAUGGUAUGGGCGGUGUCGACAAAUGGUCACCGGAAGGUAACCCAAACUCCAAACCUAAUGGAGGUUGACAAAUGGUCACCGGAAGGUAACCCAAACUCCAAACCUAAUGGAGAGCUCUGAUACCAUGUAAUUUAGAAUUCAGAAACGUAUAUGUCUUAUUCUCAUUGAGUCAAAGCAAUGUUACAUAUUUAUAUAGAGAAUAAACUAAACCCUAGAGACUAAGUAAAAUUACAAUAAAGGACAUAUGUAUAUAUAUAUAUAUAUAUCAUAACAAGUGUUAUUGUAAUUCUGAAAAAUGAGACUUGGAUAGAAAUUGAAUUGGGUUGACAGAACAGACUGACAAACCCCUUGAAACUAAGUAAUUGAAACAAAAUAGAGAUUGAAUGUGAAAUACUUUGUUGUCUUUUGUCUUUUGAAUUGAAACAUAUAUAAUAAUAUUGUUACAAAUAGAAUAACUUCUCAUUAGUUGAAAUAUGCAAUGCAGAGGUUGCACUGUGAGUUGCCAAAUGCAGUUAUUCGUCCAAUAGCCGAAUGCGGGCACCUUCCUCAUGUUGAGAAGCCAAAUCUUGUUGCCAAAUUGAUUACACAAUUUGUUCAUGAAGAUUCCAGAAAAGAGGUUCAGUUUGUUAACAGUGAAUAAUUCUUCUUUGCACAUGCUUACAUUUUCUUCAUUUUAUUAACGAAUUUGCUUCACCCUGCUCAUGGAUUUUCAACCCUGACGUGUGUUCUUCUGAGGGCUGGAAGGUGCUCUACAUGUUUGAAAUCCAAUAAAAUAUGACGUCGUCAAUAUAAACCCAAACAAAAAAUCUGCUCUUGCUUGUUUCCUUUUCCUUAUGAUGGUGGAAAUAAACCCCUCCCUCGAAAUCAAGACAAGUAAUCCUAAGUUGAUGGAUACAUAUAUCUUCGAUCAAGAAGUUCUAUCCGUCUAUGUUAUUAGGUAAAUAAUAUUCUGUCCAUUAGAAUGGUGCACUGUAUUGGGGAAAGGAACCAGAUGAUCUCAUUUUGAUUCUCGGAUUGUUGUGGUCUUGGUGGGGCCUUGGUCUUUCGAAAUUGAUGUUCCUUCUUCAUUGGAUCUUUUAUCCUAAGUUUAUGGUAAAGUUUUAUGGACCAAUUUUGAAUUAUGGGAUUUUUUUCACUUUUUUUUAGAAAAUAAGGGUCCGUUUGGUAACGUUCCAGUUUAUGUUCACUUUUUAAGAAAUAGAAGUGUUUGGUAACGUUUUCUGUUUCUUGUUCUAAAAAAAAUAUAAACGUUUAUCAUUUUAUAAAGAAUUAUUGGGAACAAAAAAAGUAGUGUCACCCGUUUCCGUUUUUCAAUUAUUUCUAUUGGUUUUUUUUUCUCAAUUAUUUCUAUUGGUUUUCUUUUCUUUUUUUCAAUUCUUUUUAUUGAUUUUCUUUUCUUUUUUCUCAGGUUUCAUUUUCCUUUCCAAUUUUUUUUCUAUUUCAUUUCCAUUUUCCAUUUUUCUUUUGUGAUUUCUUUUUUCUUACUCUUAUUUUCAUCUUCUUUCCCAAAUAACCACUUGCCUUUUUCUUCAUUUUAUUUCCAUUGUCUUUUUCAAAUAAUCAUCAUCUUCCUCUUCCUCUCAUUGCCUUUGAUGUCUUCCUCUUCCUCUCAUCAUCUUCCUCUACACGACGCAUUCUUCUUCGUUGGAUUUGGGUUUUUCUCUUCCUCUUUGGGUGAAUUGUGUUUUCGUCGAAUUUGUGGGUUUUUGUCAGAUAUGUGUCUUAAUUGUGAGUUUUUGUCUUCCUCUUUGUCUUGGGUUUUAGUCCUCUUCAUCGUGAGUUUUCGUCUUCCUCUCGUCGACUAUGUUCUUCAUAUCUCAAUCUUCAUCUCAUUCACCAUAAGAUUACAAGAAGACCUUCUCUAAGUUUGAUAAUCUUAUGUUUUAUGUUUAAUGGAUGACAUAUAUUAAUCACACACAUUUUCUAUUUCUAUUUCUUUUUUAAGGAAACCUAAACCUUAAACAGUUAUCAAACACAUUCAUGUUUCUUAUUCUUAAAAAAGAAGGAACAGGGAACAAGAACGUUACCAAAUGGGCUCUAAAAUAUUUCACAUUUUAGCUUCGAUGUUUAGAUUGAUAAAGAUGGUAGUUAAUUGGUAUUAGAUAGUUCAAUAUCAUUAUUAACUUCUUAAAAAUAAAUGGACCAAUUGGUUAACUUGAAAGAAUAACAUACCUAUACCUCUUCUAAUAAAGUUGGAGAUUUGGAUGGCUGUAGAGGACUAAGUUUGUCAAUGAAUUCUAUUAUAAGUUUGUGUUAAAUAAUUUUAAGUAUAAUCGAGUUCAUUCAUAAAGUUAUACAUUUAUUAAGAAAUACAUCUCUCUCCAUUAUUUUUUUUUUCUUUAUAGAACCCUAAACAUACCAACUCAAUCAUAGCAUAAUAGCAUUGACCAAAAGUCAUAGGGAAAAAAAAAUAGUGAUUAGACUACACCUAAUCUCAAUAUUCUUUUAUCCAAAGUAAAAAUGUAAGUAAAAAAGUUUUUACUUUUUCUAUAACGAAAGGUGAUGGUCGGCAAAUUGUUGAGAUGGAAACCUUACUAACCACACACAAUUAUAUAAUAUAUUAAAAAUGAUAAAUAUUACUAACACACAAUUAUGUAAUAUAUUAAAAAUGAAUGAUUUAUUCCUUUGUAAAUGAUAAAAUUAUUAAAAAAAUAUUUAUAAAAUAUAGGAAAGUUUCAUAUUUUAUAAAUGAUAAAAAUAAACUUUUAUCACUGUUAAUAUCAUAUUGAUGAUAUUGCUGAUGUUUGUUCUAGUUUAUUGUAAAUAGAAUGUUAAAUUUGCAUUCCAACCAAAAAUUAAGUCAAAUGUGUUUUAUUUUUCUCCAAUGACUAUUUUCUUUCUUUAGUUAAAUAGAUUAGUGAAAUUGCUUUUUUUCCAUCUUGUCAGAUUGAAUUAAUUAAGAUUCCAAAAACAUUUUUCAAAAUUAAAGUUUCACUGGCCAAUAUGAGUUUAUAAAAAAUUGUUGUCAUACAACAUUUACUCAUUAAAUUCUGGGCAUGAGUCUAUAUAGCAAUCAAACAAAUAGUUGGUAGGUAGUUCAUUAGUCUAUUCACCACACCAAAUGUCAAGUGUUGUUUGGAUGAGUUUAAAAAACUCAAAAUUCUUUUAAAGAUUUAUAUACAUAACCUCAUUAUUAAAGUUGGGUAUCAUGUGUUUUCAUUCCAUUUCUUGUCCCACCCAUGUUGUCAUCCAUUCACCUCAUAAAUAUGGACCUUAUAUAAAUCUUAAAACUAUAUUUACCAUAAUCAAAUUCCCAUAAACUACUUACUUAGAGCAUAUUGAGUAACACAACUCAUACGACUUUAUUAUUAAAUGAAGAAAUUAAUAAUGAACAAAAGAGCAGAAUAAUUGAUUAGUGGGUACAAAGUCCCAUUAAAUUAAGGAAAAUACAGCCUCUAUUAGAUACACAAAAGUGAAAAAUAUCUAAGAGGAUCAGGUUCCAUUCUAG
rnacentral:lncRNA from 1 species